rnacentral:lncRNA from 1 species
UUUUUCUCUCCUCUUGCUAACCCACAAUCCAAAAGCAAACCAAAGAAUUAUGGCAUGGAAUCUCUCAAAUUACAAAUAAUCAGAUCUAGAGUUAUUAUUGUAGAGGACGAAGUAGAAGCGAAGGAGUGUCCGAAUUGGGGUAUGGGCAUAUGGAAAGAUGGAGCUUCAGUAAGAAUACGUUCUCCUUCUCCGUCUUUUUUUACUUCUAUUUCUAUUUGAAUUUUCUAAACGUUUUCAGCAGACGAGUCUUACUAAAAAUCAUGUUUUGAUAUAAGAGAGAUAUGUUCAUCUUUUUCUCUUAAGUAGCUAAACUAUUCAUCUUUUUCUCUUGAUUUUUUAGUUUGAUCUUCAGAUGUUGAGNNNNNNNNNNNNNNNNNNNNNNNNNNNNNNNNNNNNNNNNNNNNNNNNNNNNNNNNNNNNNNNNNNNNNNNNNNNNNNNNNNNNNNNNNNNNNNNNNNNNNNNNNNNNNNNNNNNNNNNNNNNNNNNNNNNNNNNNNNNNNNNNNNNNNNNNNNNNNNNNNNNNNNNNNNNNNGUUAGUGUGGUGUGUGACGUUGGCAGGCGCUUGAAGUCUUUGGGAUGGCGGUUGCAUUAAUCUAUUUUCUGUACAAGUUAGCGAGAAGAAAAUUACAACAGGAUUAACCAGAGACAUAAUCGAAAUUCUAUUGUCAAUCUUUUACUCUUUAUUUAUGAGAGAUAGGUUUUAUUUUUCAAAAAAAGGUAAAUUACCUUAUUUAAGAAAAUACUAAAUUGAGAGUGAUUUUAGUUUUAUUAAUAGCCUUUCACUUUUUUCAUAUUUCUAGUGGCAUUUGUUCUAAUUUAAGAGUUUUAAUUAGAUUAAUAUGUCAUUUUUUAUCCAAACUCAUGGUGAUUUCAUAUCAAAAUCACCAUGAGACCACAUGUGGUGAUUUCAAAACUCUAUCAUUUUUAAAAAUGAAACAAGGGAUUUUGUCCAAAUCACUUGAGCUCACCGAUUCUCUUUCAAAUCCCCCUCUAAAUACAAAAAUCAAACGGCCGUGCUGUUUUGUUAUCAAAUUGAUUUUGCUGUAAAAAAUUUAUUCAUAGGUUGUUUUUAACACAAUUGACUUAAUUGAUCAAUAAAUCAAACAUAAUCCUAACAAUGUUAACUUAUAAUUGAGAAUAAAAUUGAAGGAUUUUUUCCCUAACAUCUAAGGGUUUUUUUCCCUAAAUCCUUACGAGUGUUGAAACUGUUUGAACGCCGCCGUCUUCAAAGUUCCUCUUCAUCAACUCUUGUUGCCUGCCUCCAUCACCACAAAUCCAUCACCAUCUCCUCGAAAUCUACCGCCAAAAAGCCUCUUCAUUAGCUUGCAAUCCGCCGUCAUACAUUCCCUUGCUCAUCGCCUCCGACUCUCCUUCAUCUUUAAGGGUUCUCCAUUGCCGUCGCUUAUCACCCGAAUCACUCGUCGGUUUCCAUCACCCGCUCUAUAGUUCCUUCAUCAUUGUUUCGGACUCUGCCGCCAAAGGAUCACAUCACCAGCUCGCUUCCCGCUACCAAACUAUUGAGGGCCAUCAUCACCAGCUUGGUUCUCAGCCGCCAAACAUCCUCUUUGCUCGCCUACACCAUCUACAUAUAUCACCACAACCAAACACCCUCAGUGCUCACCAUUCUUUAGCUAAGCUCUGCAUAAUAGAAGCCCAGAUGCAAGGGCUAUUGCUAGUGGCGAUCGAAAGGGGCUAGACAAACCAGAAGCGGUUGUCGAAGACUAUUCCAUGUAUGUGGUGGGAGAGUUCCUCACCGAUCGCUCCUUCAAUUACGACUCUACCAUCACAACCGUAGUACAGGCAGGUUAGCCUUCGGCGGCCUUCCCAUCGGCAUAAAUCACAACGACACUGCGGAGGCUGGUCACCUUGCGCAGAGACAACGACUGACGGCCAUUGUUUUUUCCGGCACUCAUUUUCUUUCGCUCUAUUAGACUACCUUUUUAAAUUUUGUUUUUGAUUUUGGUUGCAUUGUCUUUUCGGAUGAUUUCAAGUUGUUUUUGUUUGAUUUUGGGUUUUGUCAAGUGUCUGGGUUUGCUGGUUUGGUACUAAUUUGCCAGGAGAAUAAGGAAAUAGGUCAUGUCAUCUUUUUUGUGACGAUCGCGGGUCCAUGUAUUACUGGUGUGGGUUUACAUGUCCCAACUAGACUUGUAAUGAUUUGAACUCUUUGUAAUCGCAGCGUCAGCAUUAAUAAGAUUGAUCAGACUAUUACUUUUUUCGUAAAAAAAACAAACCAGUGGAUUGCAAAUUGGAUCAACCCAUCCAAAAAAACAUGAGACGAUAUAAUGUGAUAAUUAUCAUAACAUUGACAAACUAAUAAAGUGAACAUAAAAAUGACAUAUUACACUAAUAAAGUGCACUCAUAAGCAUUCCUAUGACAUAUUUACAAACUCUUAAUGUAGACAUAAAAAUGACAUUAUCGUUUCAUAAUGUAGACAUAGUUGUGACAUAACCUUUUCAUAAGAAGGACAUAAGGAUCAUGUAAUUUAAUUGACUCGUAAAACGGACAUAUCAGUGACAUAAUCACUACAAAAAAACAAACAUAUAAGUGACAUAAUCAGUACAAAGAAUUAGAUACCUAACAAUGACAUAAAUAACACCUAACAACGGGUGUGUACGCUACUAGGAAUAUUAACCGCAGACACUAAUUUAUUGUUAGAAUAUUCAAUGCUAGGCCCAUCUAACAGCGACCCAUAAACCGUGGUUAGAAUGAAUAUCCUAACUGCAGAUAAGUGACCGCCUGUUAGAAUUUUGCCUAAGAGUAGCUGUUUGGCCGCUGCUAGAUUAUGACCCAUCGUUAAAAAAAAAAACCAACAAACACGAAAACUUCAUAUGACUACACCAAAUCAAAAAAUCAUCUGCUAUACUCAUACCUAAACUGUUCCUGGAUGAGAAACAAAUGGCAGACCUGGUGAUAUUAAGCACAUCUGUUACGAAAAAUUUACACAAAAAAUUAAAUCUAUAUAUCUUCUUCUAUACGAUCUUCUUCUUUUCUCUUUGUUCCUCAUCUUCAAAUCCUACCUUCAUCUUCAUUCAAUCUCAGUAACUUAUCCAUAAAAAAACUGAAUCAGAAAACCAGAUCUUUAUUUGAAGGAAACAAACAGAAAAUCAAAGGCAGUUAAAAGAUUGAAUCUACUACAAACCUUGUUUUAUUAUCGUUCCCACACCCAAUCGACAUGCUUUCAAUCAUCUGACCCCUAUUGAAAUCGAUAGGGCCAUAGAUGAUAAAGGAGAUUAAGAACUCAAGAAUGGAGAGAUCUUGAAAUUAGAUUGGUCCAUUACCCCGUCAGCGCGGUUCUAUCCAGAUGUCCGAUCGAAGAGAAAUAAACCAUCUAACUACUUCUACUCUACCAUUCAUCGCCAUUGCAAAGUUAUGAAGAGAGAGGAAAGGAAAGUAAUAAAAAAACUGAACUGUUAUAAAACGUCAUAGAUUUUACUGUCAAACGUCCUAUUAUUUAAAUUUCAUACGUCAAAUUACGUGAAUGCCCUUCGAAAGGCCUCUUUAAAUACACAUAACAGCGGUCGAAUCAAACACACUUCCUAGUUUUCGUAAACUUUCUACUCUCUAAAAUUAAUCCCCGAAACCACCCACCCACCUAAUUAAUACUUGAUAAUUAAAUAAUUAAUCGUUUAGUUUUUCAAAAUUAAUAAUUAAGGUUAAUUUACUAAUUAAUCGUUUAGUUAUGAUUCCGACGGCAAUGACAAGCAGAUCCCGUCGGGCGGUGAUGGCGAUGAUGAUGACGAUUGUGAUGCCUCGUUUCACCCUUUCUUGCUGGAUAGUGCACGCUCGCGGAAGAGACCUACUGAGAGAGGUGCAACCGCUCUAUUUGGUUCUGGAGCGGGUAUUAGAUCAUCUCGUGGGUCGCAGGGCUCGUCUACUAUGGGCCUUAGACGUGGGAGAGGAGCACGUUCUGCAGUGGUCCACUCUAGCAGCACCGUUGUACCAGUGUGAUGGAUGGGACGAGUUCGUUGACCGGGCGAGGGAAUACUACGAGGUCGUUGAGAGCAUGCGAGGGUUGAGUCUCAGUAUGCUUCGUAGCGGCUCGUUUUCCAUUGUACUACUAUAUUGUACUUUCAUUCAGAUAUUAUCGUAACUUGUACUUAUGUUGGGAUUGUAUUUUCGUAACGCUAACAAUAUCGUAACUAUUAGUUAUGUUGCACUAUGAUUGCGGGAAUUAUCUAGUGGACAUUCAUGUUUUUUUAACUUCUGUUAGUGGUUCAAUACAUCACUUCAUUCAUCCCAACAUUUGCAUCCUUAGUGAGUCAAGAGUUUUCAUAAAUAUAUAUUCAAUACAUAAUUCAAAUGCGUACAAAGAAACAUAGACACUGUAAGUCCCUUAAUCUGAAACAUCGAAUACAUCCUCAACUCCGAGGUUGGGGGAGUUCGGUUUAUGCACCACACGCCCCCAAGAUCGCGGAACAACUACAGUUCAUCCUUGUAUAUGUCAUGCCACAAUGCUGUGCGAGUCCCCCCCCCGCCCCUUCCCAAACCGGAUGGAAAGACGGCAUCGACCUGACCCCGUCCACCUCGGCCAACUGGAUCAAUCCUGGCCGUCGCCGUUGACUGCCGACGACGUAGUCGGGCUGUCGGCGUUGACCGCAGAAGCCGUUGUCGAGCGGUCGGCACACUGUCCAUAGUUUUAAUACCUCGGCGGCGGUACGGCGGCGGAGGGGUCCGACGGCGCCGAUGGUUUUUUAAUGUUCGUUUGAAUGAGAUGUGAAAGUUUUUUGAAUUUUCGCGUCUUACAAAGAAUUUCAUUCUACUAUUGAAGGGGCGUUCAUGUUAUUUUCAUUAUCGAACUUAAAUAUUGCGACAAAAAAAAGAUAAGUCAUGGGAGGAAAGGGGAAGAAACGUUAAAUGAAAAGAAAGAUGGACGAGAACCACAAAUAGGUGUGUUUCUUUGAAUUUCAAUCUAAUGGUUGUGACUAAAUGAGAUGCAAUCCACGUCUUCAAUUGAGAGCCAAUGAAAAAAAGUAUUUAGUUAAAUAAAAGAGUAAAUGUUGGCCAGCUGUAAUAUGCGCUUGAACAUUAAUUCUAAGAGCAGCAACACAUACAGCCGCGAUGAAAUGGAAAAGUUUAUGAGCGGGAAAACGGGCCACUGUUAGGAGUUGUUAAAAUAUUUUAAUUGCGAUUUGUGUGGCCGCUAUUAGAAUGCUGCUGUGAGGUGGGCUUCUUUUAGUGAAUGAACAUAUAAGAGAGACACAAUAAUGAUUUAACAGAUUCAUUAAAUGGAUAUAAUAAAAAAGAACUGGUCUAAUAAUAACAUAAAUGGUCAUAGCACCCAAUUAGAACCGAUAUUUCCUUUCAUUUAAGACUUUACUUAUGUGGAUUAUUUUAUAAUAUUAAAAUUUUAAUUUUUUAUAAAAUUAUAUCAAAAUUAUUUUCGUUAGAUUUGAAAGAUUAAAAUAAACAACAUUUAUGGAGUAAACAUUAUUUUUGAACAUUUUGUUAAUAAUUAGAGUGAUUGAAUUAAGAUUAGGAAGAAGGGAGAGAGGGAGAGAGAAAGUGACAUAAACUAAAAGAAAUAAAAAAAUAAAUAUUCAUUUCCCGUACAUUUUAGUUUUGAAAAGUUUUGCUGUAUAGAUACGAUUAAAUAAAAAAUUAUGUGAACAGUCAAGUUGAAAUUUAAAUUUCACAACAUGGCAAUUAUGAGAACAUAUAAUGUGCGUCGCACCCCAAAAUGUGUGACGCUUCUUAGGGUUGAUUCAACGGCUAUAUUAUAACGGUUGUUUCCCUCACCGUUAGAAUUUAGCCGUUGGAUCUCCCCUGGGAAGCGACGCGCAUCCUAUAGAGCGCCGUGCAUUGUAAGGGGGAGAUCCAACAGAUCUUUUCCCACCCUAUAUAAUCUGUGCAGUUUGGGUGAAACAACUCUCCUACCAAUUUCUAUAUUUCUACCAGUUUGGGGUGAAAGAACUCACCCCUCCUAUAAAAUGUCUUCAAGUCGUCAUUCUCACAACAUUAUGCACAAGUUACGCCGCCACAAUGAGUCAAAAGACUUGUUCAUCUAUAACAGAGAAGAAGUGAAAUGCGAUUGCGGGUUACGUGCAUCGAGAUUUAUGACGCCGAGGUUCGAGAAACCUAUUCGACGUUAUAAAAUAGUCACUAUGUAAGUACUAAUAAGUAAGGAAUCUAAAACACUAUGCAAUUAUUAUUAUUCUCUAACAUAAUACUAAACAAGUACUAAUAUUAUCUAACACUAGAUAAUUAUUAAUAUUAUCUAACUAGGAAAUUAUGAUAAUGGUACCUUCCUGAUUAUUGAAUAUAUCACCGACACGAUGUCGGUUGCAAUUUGCCCCAAAGUAGUUCUCCAUCUAUCGGCUCAGGCUCGACACACGGGGUGUUGGUCUAUAAAAGUAAUCCACCCUACAACAAAACAAAAUAUUAGUAUGCAACAAAAGUAAAAAAUUACAAAUUAAAAAAAAAAGAGAAUUACCGACUAGUUGGUUGCGGAACGUGUACUCGUUGUCGGUAUCGGAAACCUAAGGAAGGAAGGGAUGAGAAAGAGUGAGUUGGUGUGGAAUGAAGAGGAGGGGAUGGGGUAUUUAUAGAUCCGCUGGAGGCAUACUAUAGCAUGCCGCGCAUCCUAGGAUGCAACACGUGUUAUAGGGUGCCUCCAAUGGCUAUAUUGUAAUGAUCAUGUGGUAACACCUUAGGAAACUCUCAUAUCAACAAAGCACAUGAAAUAUGCAUGGGCUAUAAGUAACAAUCCGUCUCUAACUAACAACAUCCAUUUUCAAGGUGAAAUGGAGGAGUUCUUGUAAGAACUCUGAAGUUAAUCGUGCUCGGGUAGGAGCACUGUUGAAUGAGUGACCUCCUGGAAAGUCAUUGUUAUGCACCCGAAAGAAAAUUUGUGAGGACCUAGACCGUAAGUGGACAAUAUCUUGUCGAAAAGGUCGGGGUGUUACAAGUGGUAUUAGACCCUCUUCGUGUAUGGAAAACCUCAGCAAGGACGUUGAGUCCCAAGGGGGGGGGGGGGGGGUGUAAUGUAACACCUUAGGAAAAUCCCACAUCAACAAACCACGAGAGAGAUUCAUGGGCUAUAAGUAACAAUACGUCCCUAACUGACAAGACGCAUUUUCGAGGUGAAAUAGAGGAGUUCUUGUAAGAAGUCUGAUGUUAAUCAUGCGCAGUUGGGAGUACUGCAAAAUGGGUGACCUCCUAGGAAGUCACAAUUAUGCACUUAAAAGAAAAUCCGUGAGGAUGUAGACUUAAAACGGACAAUAUCUUGUAGGAAAAGGUCGGGGUGUUACACAUGUAACAACCGUUAUAAUAUAGUCGUUGGAUCAACCGUAGAACGCGUCGCGCAUCCUACGGUGCGUCGUGCGUUGUAGGGGGUCCUUAUGACCAUUUGGUGUAACUUAGGUUUCAACUUGAUGAUAUACAUAAUAUUUUAUUUAAUCGUGCCUAAAAAAACUUACUUUUAUUUUUUCGCCUACCAAUUUUAGCCACUCUUUUUACAUUCCAAACUACCCCAAUCAAUAAUAGCCAAGGAAUGAAAAUAUUUCAGAUUGUCAGUUAUAGGAUGUUCCCAUAGAAUCUGCCUCUCAGCUGAAUAGACGAGUUGUCAAUUUAUAGAUACAGCAAAAGUUGAGAGAUGUGUACAAUGGUUUUUUUGAGAGGCAUUUCCUAAUACAUGUCACAAGAGAAACAAGUAACUUGAGUAGUUAAUAUGCUUCGCAUCCUCAAUCUUGAUGACUAAAGUUAGCUACUUAUCUAGAAACGUCUAGAAAGGUCACCAACUAAAACUUCUCUAUAACUUGAUAAUAUCUCUAUAACACGAUCGUGGCGUGCAACAAGUCACGCCCGUGAUUGACAACCCAUCCACUACUCUCCUUAGUAUUCCAUAACUUGAACCAGUCAUUAAAUCAAAAAUCAGGGUGUCACACAAACACCUAAAAAAAUAAAAAACGAGAUAGUUAGGUUUACAGAAAAUCGAACAUGACAUAUCUGUAUAUACUACUAAAGACAUACUCUUCCAUCUACAAAAGUAACAAACAGAAACCAUGCCAAAUUUCCAAAAAUGCUAACAAACACAUAUCCAAACAUAAAAAGUUUUUUGAUGGAUUGUUUCUAUAAAAAGAUCCUUACUAAUUUUUAAUAUAUUGAUUAUGUUUUAUAAUAUUUAAUACUAAAUUUUUUUUUAGGAUUUUGCUCCUCAGUCAUCUAACUUACAUAAAAACCCUCAAUUUCUAACAUCUAACCUAAUUUUAACUUAACUUACUUGAUUGAGUAGGAAAUUCAAGUGCAGGAGUUUGAUGGAGGAGCACAAACGACCAACGACCGGCGGAAAGGAGAAAGAGGAAGGAUGGUUCGACACUACAACUUAUAAGGUUUAGUGUUUAGUGUUGUGAUUAGGAUUUCUAAUAGAGAUUUGUGGUUUCAAUUUAGGGGUUAUUAAUUAGGGUUCUUAGAAAUUUAGGGGUUAUUAGUGUUAGGGUUCUUAGAAUUGCUAGAGUGAUAAUAAUGCAUUGUGCAUGAGUUAUUCUAAAGAAAUUGAGCACACAUAGACUUGCAUUGGGAGGAUGUAAUUCAAGGUUGGUAUAUGUUGAAAUUUGGGGCUUUGUGUUUUGUGUUAAAUUUGGGAAAUCUUGUUUAGGUGAUUUGAAAAGGAAGUUUGUCUAAAUUCAUCCUUCAAACUUUGAUUUUCUUCUACUUAGAGGUUGGUAGUCCUUAAACCAUGUAUGGAAAUGUGUUAAUGUGGUGUGCUUAGAGAUAAGUUUGCUUUAAAAUUUAGUAUAAUGCUUUACUAAUUAACUUAUCUGUUAUAAUUGUGUAAUUGAUAUCUAAACUAGAAUUUGGUAGCUUGAUAAUGUAAUGUGCUUAGCAAUGAGUUUGCUUACAAACGUAGUAGUAUGUGGUGUGCUUGAUUAGAAAUGAGUUUUCUUUAUGCAUACAUUUUAUCUAUAGUCAUUAGUUUUUUAUUGUAUUAUAUGAAUUCAGUCAUGGCAGACGUUAUGGGAGGUAGUAGUGCCAGAGCGAAUGGAGGUAAUGAUGAUCACGAGCGUGAAACGGAGAAGGAGGCUUCAGAGUGGUAUGUGUGUUGCAUGUACGACAUGUAUACUUGCUCUCUAAACUAUUUUACAUCUAAACUAUUUUCCAUCUAAUGUAUUAUGUAUAUGUGUGUGUUUUUAAAAUGAUGUAUUGAUUGUUUCAAUGAAGAUGGUAACCCAUCUAAGGAAACGUGGACAGUUAAAGAGUGGAGAAAUGUUGGGCAGGAUGGGAGGAGGAUUUUCAUCGAGUUGGAUGUGGUUUGAGUGCCUUACAAAUGAUCGGGCCAGUACCUACGAUAGGUGCUUGAGAAGAUCAUCAAACUGGAAUGCUUCCCAUUCAGCCACGACAAUUAGCGAUAUGUGAGCAAUUUGGAAACGGCAUAUUGUAGGUAGCAACUCAUACUGGUAAAUAGAGUAUUUUGUAUCUCUUAUUUAGGAUGUAGGGUAAGUUCUAUAUCAUAAUUGGAGUAUUUUCUAUUCUUAAUAAUGGCUUGUUGUAAAUUCUAUAUCGUUGUAGCCUAAGUUCUAUUGGAGGCCCGAGGAUGAUAAAGAUAUAUGCAAAUAUAUCUCCCAAGAUCUAGGGAAGAAUUGGAGAGAGCACCAAAGGGUGGUUUGGAAAAAAAUCCGUGACCCAAAAAACCCUAGGAGUGUAGCUGAGUAUGUAGCAGCGAAACCUAAUCCCAAUUAUGAAAUCCACAAUCGGGAUAGGUUUUUGAAGUACAAGACGAUAACGAAAGGAGUGAAGAGAUCAACAACUAAUAAAAACAACAGAAAGAAACAGUCAGUUUAUCAAGCAACGGGAUCGAAGCCAUUCAACAUAACGCAACAACAGUUGGUAUGGGAGACCUCUUCCUAGAUUAGCAAGUUAAUUAGUUUCUAAAUUUUAAAGCUAAAAUUCAUGUGUACACGGUUUCAUACGACAAAAAAAAAGAGCCAAUUAGUAGGGGAGAUCUCUUCAUAGAAACUCCCAAGCCGGGUAGGAAGAAAACUUUGUAAGUAUUCCUAGACUUUGUACAAACUUUUUAUGUUCUUUCUAUAUAUAUGCAUUGUGGAAGUACAUUCUUAAUCAUGUAUGUUUCUUUCUUUGUGCAUGCAGAAACAAGUGGAAAGGAAUAUCAAUGAUCCAAUAAUUGAUAAUUCUCAUAUUGGCCAGAAUGAUGCUGUGCCACCCCAAUUUCGGGUUAGUGUCUGACUCAGGAUUUAAUUACGGUUUUUGUAAGUCUCUAUGAUUAGAUGUCAGAUAGUCCAUCAUGGGCGUGAUAGACAGUCUGUCACAGGCGUGAUCAUCAAGUAGAUCACGGUCAUGGUUAGUGAAAGUCACGUUUGUGCCUGAGAGAAGGAUCACGGUCAUGACCAUCAGUAGGCCACGGGCGUGGUGGACAGCUUAUAAAAAUAGAGUCGCAAUUCUAGAGUUCAAAAUUAUAGAAACCUAAUUUCUUUUGCAAUCACUAACGAGCGGCGAUUAGUUCCAGGCAAGGGAGGGGAACUUGUUGAUCGAUCCCAUAUCAGCAAAAGAAAGUUAGACAUCGUCAAAGAAGCUUCAGAAGGUAAUCUACCUUCUUCCUCCUUUCUCAAUCCUUUAUUUUGAAUCCUACGUAGGAAAGUCCUGACGGGUUUGGAUUUGGGGUUUUGGGAUUUCAAUCCUACGUUUGAUCUCAUCCGAUCAUACAGAUCAGGCAAUCAAACUCUAAGGAGACAUCUUUAGAUCUGACUCUUAAGAGGAAAGAUUUCGGAGGUAGGGGUUAGGAUAAUUAUGUGCGUUAGGAAUCAUUGCUUGAAUUUUCAGGACUGUACACUAGUGUACAAUCUACUAUACACAUGAUUAUGAUAUGCAGUUGAGUAUUUUAGGUUGUGCAAUAGCGUGUGAUCUACUCACAGAUAGUAGUUCAUCUUGAGCCUAAGCUCACAACAAGGAAUGUGCGUGUGAUUCACAGUUCAUGAUUCAGAUAAGAAUCAGGACUAGAUAGAUUAGCUCCCAUUAUACGUCGGUCACCCACCCCAUGGAUUUUGCGAUCCCCCAGGUUACAGUCAGACUUCAGAUAGACGUGACGAGCAAGCCUUGAGUUGCUCUCAUAGUAUUACAAGGUGAUUUCAUGGACUGAUCCACCGUGAAGUUUUCCACUCAUAGCUAGGGGUGGCUAACGUUAGGAUGAUGCCUACAGGUCCAAAUGGUCACAUUACUAUAUACUAGUUUAGUUCUUCACCUUUAGGCUUAGCUACUUAGUGUUUAUCGAUGACCCCCGUUACGUUUCUUCACACAUGACCAACCUUGGGACUUCAUGAGCCAUUGCUGCCUAUGAAGGGAGCACGGGCAGCGACACCACCUUUGAGUGACUAUGAGAGUUGCAAAGAGAGGUACCAUGGAGGACCUGAGCUAUCUCUUUCAUUGUUUUUACAGUUUCAGACAGUCUUUCAUGUUUUUCAGUUAUUUUGAAACUCUUAUUUACAGUGGUGGUUUCCAUGUUUGGGAUGUUUUUCGAGUGAUGUUUUGUUGAUGAUUUCGAGCAUUUGAUGCUCUGUUUAUAUCCGCUGUCAUUUCACUUAUGUAUUGAGGAUAUUUCAUAUUAGUUAUUAUAUGUCAAUUAUCAUGUUUAUGUGUUGAGUAAACCUAUGAGCAUUGCAUGGAUCAAACCGCAUGGUUCGAUUGGGUCGUCUCGGGGCGGACUUCAUAGAUGCUGUGGGGAGAUGCUAUAAAGGAAAAGAGAAGCCGUGACGAGUGCCCUAUGUGGGAUUUUCCAAGAAGCCUUCGGUGGUAAGUUUACUAAAACCAUAUAUGUAUGUAGUUAGAAGAAAAAUGCAGUCUAGUGAACUUGACAUGGUUUCUUAGUUGUGUUAGUGAACAUGUUAUGUGAUUGUUAGCCUAUUUGUGACGUUGGCAUGGUUUUCAUUUGCUAAUUUUGCAGUUGGAAGAGUAUGUGCUAGUAUUAUAUACAGAUAUGUCAUGUCCAAUUUUCUGUAAAAUUAAUUAUCUUGUGCUCAUUUUUAAGGUGUUUGGUUCGAGUUCAAGGAACACCAAAGUACUUUCCGUCCUAGAGUUCAAGUCGAGGACCUAGUCAUGCGACUAUUUGCAAAACUUAUGCUUUCGGGCUAUUUGCAAAACUUAAUCUAGGCUUUUUGCAUCAUUUAUCGUUGUUGAAUUUCAUCGAACACCUGUAGUGUGUUCUGCUUGGGUGAAGAAUAGCUCGAGAGAGGAGUCUUUGGUCAAGCAGAAUAGAUCCUUUUAUUCAUGGGAGCAGUCUAAGGUUAUGUGAGAAAAUUCCAAGCCAUUAUAACUUGUUUUAUUGAGAUUGCAUAUCAUUCAUUCUUUCAUACAUUGCUACAUUGCUCGCUUUUCUGGAUUGCAUAUCAUUCUUUAUAUGUUUUAAUUAGUUCUUAGUUUAUAAUUGGUUGCAUUGACAUUUAAAACAAAUAAACCUAAAUUGUUACUUGGUCUAGUUAGUAAAUUAAAGUUGAGUAAUAGAGUUAGGAAGACUCUAGGGAAAAUAUGAUUCCAUUAGUUGAUUCUAGUGGGUAUUUGGUGCAGGGUGAAAUUAGCUUAUCAAAUUUGCGUCUUUGUCGGGGAGGUUUUCAAAUUCUAGGAAAGACAUAGAUUGUUAGCUUUUUCUUCACUUUUCUUUUCAUAUAUUUACUCCCACAUCGUUUACUGGGAUUGUUUGCUUUGAAUUUCAUUAUGCAGGAUUACAACUAGGAUGGAAGUGGCAAGGUUUACGAAGCUACUACCAAACUAAUAAUGGAGGAGAGCAACAAAAAUGGAGCAACUUUGGGCAUGGACCAGAGUCAUAUUGAAUUGAGGACCAAUAUUCUCCACCUUUGUUCCAAGACUCAUCAACAACAUACUACCACCAAAGCUUCAAUGAAGACUGACCAUCCUUUCAUAAUCAAUAUGCAAGUUCUGAUUCAUAUCUACCUCCGCCUCCUGAGAAUACAUAUAAAGAUAUGCUUUUGGAGAAAUUUCUUGCACAAAUGGAUAAGAAUAAUGAAUAGAUGAAGUUUUCUGACCAUAUGGUACAACAAAGAGAGAAAUUUGUCUAUCAACAAAGUGAAGUCUCAAAGAUGACCUGUGAAUUCUUACCACGACUAAUUAAAGAAGAAUAUUCCACAAGUAGAGGUUGAUUACGAAGAUGAAUAUGAUUUGGGAGUAUCAGUUGAAGUAGUAGAUGAAGUGAAGGAAGAUUUACCUUUAUUUGAGGAUGAUCUAGUUGUUCAGGAUGGCAAGUUAGAAGAGUUUGAAAGAGAGAAAGUAUGUUUCCUUCAUAACAACCAAAAUUUCUAUGAUAGGAAGUUUAGAAAAAUUUGAAGAGGAGGAUGAUGAAGAGUUUGUGGAAGAGAUAUGAGAAGAUGUAGAGCCUCUCCAUAAUGAAAUUCAAGAUACCAUUGAGCACUCCAUCAUUUGGCGCUUCCCUCUAAUUGUGGUCCCACCAAGAGAAACUGAGAGCAUUAUUGAUUCUUGUUUGAUUAUGAAGUACUUAUGUCAGGAAAUUUACAAUAAGUGCUUCACACAUAAGAUUAGAAAGUCGUUGUCCUAGAACUAGAUCUACAUUCCCCAGAGGACUUCUCAAGCUACACCAUUGGGUCAUGGAUAGGUGUCAACACAACAUACUACCUCUUCCCUCCACAUUUAGUGGUGGUCAAGAAGAGAAUGCCACUUCAAGCCAUGAACUAGAACUUACAACCACUUCACCGGCUUCUUCAUCAAUUUUUAAGGGUGCUACUUGGCAUUCAACUGCAAUCCUUGGAGAAACUAAUGGAAUUUUAAGGAAGAUCUAAGUUGGACGGUGAUGAAUGCUUUUUACGCAUCUCAAAAUAAUCUGAUUAAUAAAUUAACCAAAGUCAAAUCUCCAUAGGGUCUCUUUAAGUAUCUUACUAAAAGUUGCAACAAGUAUCAAUCGAUCUAAUAAGACAUAUGGUUGAGGUGCCAUGAGAACCAAUCAAACAAUCAAAUUGAAAAAUGAUAACUGCUUUGAAAGUAAGGUUUGUAAGACUGCACGAAUAUGGUUUAGACAAUCAAAGAUGAAGCUGCUUAGAUUUCAAAUCCCCCAAGGCAAUUCAAAUUCACAAAUGACAGCCAAAUUUCACGAAUUAAAACAAAUAAGAUAAAUUCAAAAGAUAAUCACAAUUAUUCUCUACUCAAAUCACGCCCUUUAAGGUCCACUAAUUUGCUACCUAUCUAGUAUCCUAGUCCGCUCUUUUGAGACAAAGAUCUGAAACAUGUCUAGCGAUUAAUCGAAUAAGAAUUGCUCACACAACAGACUAGUUCAUUUGCUCCCGGAUGAGGGUUAUCGUCUAACCUAGUUGUUUUGAUUUUGACUUUCUAGAUAUACAAGCUCUCACGAGUCUAAGAAAAAUCUAAAAAAAAUUCAUUCAAGUUGAUUAGGCAAGAACAUAUCGAAAACGAAAUCAGACAUAUACAGAAAUUCAUCCAACUUGCAUAAAUCGACAAACGUCAUCAAAUCAUUCGUUCAUAAGAAUUAACCUAGGGUUCAUCUAAUCUAAGCAAGAGAAGUUUAACAGCUCAUAAUCUUGAUGGAAAAAUCAAAAUCAGAAGCAGAAGACAUUGAUUCUAGGUUUACACGAAGAAUUAUGAAAACCUUACUUCGCCAAUUUUGAGCUCCUUAAAGUUGCUUCUAAGUCGCUCUUAAAUCUCUCACUAUAGCUCUCAAUUUCAUCCGGGGAAGUAGUUUUUGAAUGAGGGGUGAAAUGCCUUUAAAUAGAAGCAAAAAUUAUUGUUCCUAUCGGCCGUCACACUAUGCACCUUAACUGGUAUGUUUUAGGCGCAUAGUGUGAAAAACUUCCAGAGAAUCCAUGCGCCCAGCCAUCACACAAUGCGCCUAAACUUAGGCGCAUAGUGUGAAAGUUUUAGGCGUAUAGUGUGACAAACUUCCAGGACUAGAGUUGUAGGAAAUUGAACAAGCCUUCCAACGCCGCCAGCCUUGCACCAAUCAGACUUCUGAGCUAGGAUAUAUGGCCAAAAUACAAAAUUGCGAUGUUUUCCAACCAAGUUAAGAUCCACACUCCUUGGCGAUAUAGAAAUGCACCCCAUUGCUUGUCUUAGAUCAUUCAUGCAUGCGGUAUCACUCCGAUUAAUGCCUCGAUGUCAUCAUGUACCUGAAAUCUAACAAAUGGACCUGGACAGGGUCCGAGAAAAUAAAUCGAGAUAAAAGCUUAAAAAGCAUAAAAUAUCCUAAACUUCUACCUAAAACAAUACAAUUAUGCAUGAAAUAUCACUUGAAAAUGAGGGUGAUAAAUGUGAAAAAUCUAGCGUCAUCAAAUAACCCCACACUUAAACUUUGCUUGUCCUCAAGGAAAAAGCUUAUAAAAGCCAUAGAACACACCUACAAUCAAAUCAAAUCAACUACUAGCAUAGCAAAGAAAAUUCAUAUUCCUCAAAGCAUCCCUAACACUUGCUUGACAAACAAGUGAACAUUUAAAAAAAAUGAAAUAGGUAGUAAAGGCUUCACAACAAAUUAUCCAACUUGCCAUACAUCAUCAUGACAUGUUAUACCACCCAUCUAGACUUACUCUCAGCGGAAUUUCAGCUCAAAUAUGAAUCCAAUAAUGAACUCACUCAAAGUGUAUAAGGAGAUUGUUUAUGCACUCAUCAUCAACUCUGAGGUGCGCUUCGAACACUUGCACAUCAUCCUACUUUUACUCAUCACAUCAAGGGACAUCAAGCACUAGUCAAGAGGUCUUUUAUUCAGGUUGUAAUGUGGAAAGAAAAAAAAGAAGAGAAGGUGAAAUGGAAAAGCUGUGAGAAAUCGGAGGGGCAAGAUGCAUGAUUCAUUAAGUCUGUGCUUGACGUUGACACUAACUCUUGAAAAGACACAAAACACACACAAACCAAAAAUAAAAGUAAAAAUGAACCAGGACAAGUGUCCAAAUCCCACACGUAACAAAAUGGAUUUAUGAUUGGAAAAGAAAGAAAAUAAAAAGCUUAAAGUAGAACGAUUAACACUUAAACAUGCGAUUUGACUCAAAUAAAAUGAAAAUACUGGCUCCGGACAUGAGCUACCUCUCAUGAAGCGCUCUUUCUUUAACGUCUUUGAGCUAUACAAAACCUGGAUGAUUAAGUUGGGGCAACCCAACUCAGAACUUAUUUAAGGCUAGCAUCGUUGGUUUUGACAUACAGCUUAUCCGAUCCACUCUGAAGUAGCCACUUCCACUUACCACCAUAAAGAAGCUCCAUUACACCAUCAUCUAUGACGCCGAUAACUUCAAACAGUCUGAACAACUCAUUCUUAUCUACUUUAUCAUCAAGGGGCUUGAUCGGCUGCUUCGUCUCUUUCAAUUUAGGCUUCCCCUUUUUGUUGGUGGACACCAUCUCUCGAUUAACCUACUUCUUUGGGAUCAAUUUCUGCUCUAAAGAUGGGUUGAUAGGUAAAGCAUAAUCAAGAGUGACAACAUGCACUUGCGCAAGGUGUUUUUCCUAUGAUUUAAACUUAGAGGAUGCAAUCAUACUCGAGGUGGAACUAGGUAUCUGAAGGAAAAUCCUCUCUUCUCCCAACCUCAAAGUCAUCCGUCCUGCCUACACAUCUAUAAUGGUACCAACAGUGGCUAAAACAGUCGACCAAGGAUGAGAGGAGUUUGAUUGUCCUCUCUGAUAUCCCUUACCACAAAAUGAACCAGAUAAUAGGUAUCAUACAGAUUCACUAGCACAUUCUCUACCAUCCCUAGAGGACACUUAAUAGACCUAUCAUCGAAUUGGACAUUCAUAUCGAUAGGCAUUAAACUAGAAAGUCCUAAGCGCUUAAACAAGGGAUAUGGAAUGAUAUUUAAAUGGCUUGAAAAGAAAUAACACUAAGAAUCAAUAAAUAUUUUCCAUUUCCAAUCCUCUCACCAAAAGCUUCUUUGAGCGACGAGUGUGUGGUGCAUAAAACACAGCUCUGUUUGCAACAUUCUUCUCAGCUUUUGGUUGCACAUAUGAACAACCAAUUAUAAGAAGAUGUACAUAAUACAAAGAAAAUCUAAAUAUUUCAUUUGCUUACUAAAACAUCAUGUCUCAACUUGUAGUCCACAAAUUGCGUUCAUAUCUGUUGAGGAAUCUACUCAGGCUUGGCUGUAAUACAAGCUGCUCUAAAAGCUUGUGCAGAGAGUGGUUUUGGGAUGUGUUUAUUUUUCAGCACCUGGUCUUUCCAUAUCCGAACUCGAUAGUCUCUCCAUUUCUUCACAAUGUCAUCCAUGAUAUACAUUUUAGCCGCUUCAAAUGUUGUAUCUGAUUCAAUUAUGAUCCGGUUCGGCAAUUAAACACAAAUUUAAGUUAGUAAAAAGUGUAAUGUAAAUGACAAAUUCAUAAAAAAACUAUUACUUACCAUAACCUUCGCUAGUGCUACUUCCUUCUGUGUCACACACAUGGCCAUCCAUCAUAGUACACGAGAAUAAUGUGUUGAUCCGUUACAAUCAUCCCACGAAACUGAAGAAAAAGACCAGCAACAUCCGUCGCGUGGGGCAAACCACCUUGAAAUGGAAUGAUGACCUUCAUUCCAACAUCAAGGGAGAGCAUCCGCGCGCUAUCAAUAAACCUCCUCUCCCUGCCAUCCUCAGGAGUAAUUACUUCAACAUCCCAAGUCUUCCAGUUUUCUGCCAUCCUAUCUGGAAAAAUAAUUAACAAGUAAUGUAUACAAUAAUAUGAUACAAAUACACAUGAAUAUGCAUUAUAUCAUUACAACAACCCAUUAUAAAAUACAAUCCUCAAACUCUGAAAUAACACCAACGCUACAUAAUGAAAAAGAACUGGAAUCAAAAGACAAAAAGUCUUGCGUUUCAAAAACCUCGACUUCAGACAUAGUACUCCCUUAUCUAUCACGUAUAUCAUAUUAAUAUCUUGGUUUCAUAUGUACUGGGAUGCACCAUCCAUUGUGUCCUUUAUCUUGGACAUAAUAUACCAUUUUGCCUCGUUUGCUUCAAUAAAUGGCUCAUUGCCUGCAUGUUCGCCAGUGUACAGAAUGUGUGAGAAGUUAAUGGAAGUUAAGCCAAACACAUCUUUCUUCGCAAAUCUAGAAUUCUGAGUGUUGGCCCAUUGACACUUGAAUAACACUACAUAAAAUUCUUCAUAGUAAUUUAGCUCCAUAAUAUCAACCAACUUGCCAUAAUAUGACAUUUCUCCUGCUACAGGUCGAUUAUCCACCGAACAUGCAUAGCAUUGGGUUCCAUAGUUUCCAAACACACCACUAUUUUGAGUCUUUUAUAACUUUUCUUGUGUAAGUGUUCGAAAUCGAUAACCAUUAACAUCAUAAGCACUAGAUUCCACAAAUUGAUUAGGAUUCUAAUCGAAUCAUUUUAACCGCUAGCCUACAGCUUAUCUCAUGAACCAAUUCCGACUAGUAUCCUUAAAUCACAAUCUAGCAGCCAAUUUAUCUAAGUAAUCUACUAGGUACUGAUAAGUCAAUCAGUUUUAAAAAUAAUUUGACUAAAAAACUAAUACUUAAAGUAGGUGAUAACUAACAAAUGGAAUAAUAGUAAUAAUAAUAUUCAUAAUAAUACCAAUAGUUCUUCCAAACAAUUUAUUGUUAGGAUUGGGGUGUAACAGACUUCACAAAGUUCUUUCCUUUUUUUUGUUCAAGUCGAGGACCCGGUCGUGCGAUAGUUUGCAAAACUUAUACUUGCGGAGUUUGAGAAGCCGAGUGGUACUCUCUCCCCCACUUUGUAGGAGAUGGCUAAAGUGUUGAAGCUUCUAGAAUUGUACCGAGAUCAUCCUGAUUUGUACCUCAGUCAUCAAGAUCAUCGAUAACUUACAGAGGAAAGCGUUAUCCAAAUAGUAGCCCACCCACUGAGAAGGAGGAGGAUGAUGAUGAUGAUGAAGACGAGUAGCCCAAUAGAUCGAUUGGUGGCUAUAUCAUGUAGGUACUGUUCAAUUGACAAACCUAUGCUAUGUUAUUAGUUUUUUCCUUUCAAAUGAUGUAGUUAUGGUUAAAUUUGGAUGAUAUAAAACUAUGUUUGUUAUUUCUACGUCUUUAUUAUCAAUUUUCCCAAACAAGAAAUCUCCACUACGUUUUAGGACUGAAUGUACUAAAAAUAUAGCUGUUGUAGUUUGUAACCACUGUUAAUUUAACCAAUAAGGGUUAAAUGCGUAUUUUAAUUUCUUAAAUAUUUUUGGGAUAUUAUAAGUGAAAGCAUCCUUCAUUCGGUGAUUAAAAACUAAACUGAAAUAACUUUACCAAUAAGGUUCGAAAUCCCAAUCAUAACACAACAAAAGGAGAUGCAACUCUAGUUCUGAAAUACAUCGAAAACAUAUAUCAUCUAGUAUCAAAACCCCGAACAGCUCUCUCCCCACCAUCAACUCGAGUACAUGUGUCUGAAAAUACACAGAUACACCAAGGAAACUAAUAUCUAAUGGGGUCUGUGAUAAGCACACGAGUGGCUAUCUAGAUUCACGUAGAACUGAGACUGAAACUCAACAAUGAUGAGAGUGAACUGAGGAUAGAACAUAGGACUCUAUCUAAACAUACAUCUAGUAAAGUGACUAUGUGGUCCCGAUAUGAAUCUACCUACCAUCAACAACCCCUAACUGUGUGUGAAUGGGCUCAUGGUGGAUCCGACCAUGAAACCUCCCUAAAAUAUCGCGUGAGUAACAUCAGUAGGCGUACUCAACAUGUCCUUCCUGAGCCUGAUUAUAACCUGGGCGGUUGCGCAAUCCAAGGGUGGGUGACUAAUGCAUCAUAAUCAUGAACUAGUAUAUAUAUGCCUAUCUUGUCCUAUCAUGAAAUGUGAAUCAAUUGCCACAGUUCGAACGCCAAGAGCUUAUGCUCAAAAUUUAAUUAAUGUAUAGUAGAUCAAACACUACUAUACAGUUCUGAGAGCCCUCGCAUCAAAUCACACUGGGAAUCCAAUCAUUAGAUUUCUGCAAUCUAUUACAGUUCUACGCUUAUAAGGAGAAAAGUAACCCUAAACCCCCACCUCUAAUUAGCUUUCCCAGUUGAGUCUGAUCUGAAGCUGCCUUCCCAGAGCUCAAGCCUCCCGUCCUGAUUUACCUAAAGAGAUCAAUCAUAGGAUUGACAUCCCAAAAUCCUGGCUGUCAAGUUUUCCUACGUGGGUUUCAAACUAUAGAAUUAAGAGAGAAAGAAGAAGAUUGAUUACCUUCCCAUGCGUCCCCUAGCCUCUCUUACCCUCUAUCCUUGAUCCUGGCUGAUCAGCUCUAUCUUCUCCUCUUUCAUCGAUCGCCUUCAUCUCCUGGGAGAGACUCGCCGCCCGUAGGUUUCUUUUUGUUUUUGAAUUCUGAGUUGCAUGUCGUGAUUUUGGCUUUUAUAAUAACUCCACCAUGCCCAUGAUGAACUUACCACAACACCUAUGACUGCUUGACAGCUACGCCCGCAACCUAGUGAUGGUCACAACUAUGAUCUCCUGAUGAUCACGCCCUUAACUGACUGCUAACUAGGGUGAUGGUCUAUCUAGCAAAUAUAUCAUGUGACAGACUGACGGUCAUGCCCGUGAUUGUCCACUUGUCUAACCACAACUCAGCUUAUUAAACCCUGAAAUUAGGUUGGGGGUUAGGAUUACUUUUCUGUUUUAAACGUAGAACUAUACUAGGUUUUCAGGUAUUCAAUGAUUGGAUCUCAUUAUGUUUCAUAGCAAGGGAUCUCAAGACUGUAUAGUAGCGUGUGAUCUACUGCACAGGUGUUGUGAUGUGAUUAGAGCGAGGACUCUAGCGCUGUACAAUAGUGUGAUCUACUGUACAUGCAGUUAUUAAAUUUUGAGCAUAAGUUCAUAGCAUUUGAACUGUUACGUGCAAUUCACAGUUCAUGUUAGGACAUGAUUAGGCUUAGCUAAAUUAGCUCCCGAUUAUGAUUUGUUGGUCACCCACCCAUGAAUUGCGCAAUCCUUUAGGUUAUAAUAAGGUUCAGACAGGACGUGUUGAAUAUGCAUAUAGAUGUUGGUCGCAUGAUAUUUAGGGUGGUUUCAUGGUCUGAUCCACCAUGAGGUUGUCCGCUCACAGCUAGGGGUGGCUGAUGUUAGGUUGGUGCCUAUAAGACCACAGGGUUUACUAGAUAUCUUCAGUUCGACAGACGCGUCAUGAACCUCAAAGCGACCAGUGCUCAUAGUAGCUCAAUAUUGAAUAAUUUGGGCAGAUGCUUCUAUUCGGUGUUAGGCGUAUGUAAGUUGUGCUUCUAACGGAGGAGUUAGCCAUGGGCUUGGAGGAAAUUACAUCAAAGGCGUGAUGGAUAGACCACUAUGAGCGUGGCUAAUAGUGGGUAACUUCUGUGACAUAGUAACGACCACAUGCAUGAUUAGUCAUUGGCCACGGGCAUAAGGGGAUGUGUACCACAUGUGUGGUCAUAUGUACACCAAAGGUGUGGUGAUGUUAGUAACGGGCGUGGUCAGAUGUAUACCACGAGCAUAACCGAGGAUACAGCACUGGCGUGGCAUGUCUGCCAGAGUGAGUGCCACAAAUACCUUCGUAAACCUCUUCGAGUAUGUGUCGGGCCCCUUUUGCGUUCACACACCGGAAAAGGGUAAUACCAUGGUUUCGUUUGUAGAGGGUGGACCAAUUGAUAUAGAAUUCUAGGGCGAGUCUCUCUUAUGUCUUUUUGAAGUUUUUGUUAUACUCCUGGUGGGUAUUCCUUGCUUUGUAUAUAAGUUUUUAUGUCAUGGUACCAAGGUUUAUCGUCCGACUCUUCUUUCACGUUAGCACGUGAGAGGGAUCAUCUUAUGUUUUAUCUGAAUUUGAGGAAUGGAGUCAAGCUUUCACAAUGCGUAUAUCGAGGAUAGGAUAGCCAGAGCAUCAACGAUAUGUUUGUGGUAAGGGAUAAUCUUUCGGAUGUGUUCCAACUUGGUGUUAUUGAAGCUUUCCAUCAUUUUCAUGAUGAGUUUAUGGUAAGGGAAAAGAUUUUCGUUUCUUGUCUCCCACUCUCCUCUUAGUUUGUAGAUGACGAGUGAAGAAUCUAUGUAUACCUUCAAGUUCUUAAUCCCCAUCUUUAUGGAUGAUCGGAUACCAAGCGAGCAUGCCUCGUACUUUUUUUUAUAAAAACAUGCCUCGUACUCAGAGACGUUGUUGGUGCAAUAAAAGGUCAAAUUAGUUGUAAUGGGGUACAUUUUCCCUUUAGGAGAUAGGAACACUACACCUAUACCGUAUCCAAAGGCAAUAGAUGCCUCGCCAAAUUUCAUAAUCCAAGGUCAUUCUUCACCCUCGAUGUCUUCGUCUUCAUCAUCAUUCAAAACAGUAUCGUCGGGGAAUUCCAAUACUAAUGGGUUUUAGUUUGAUAUAGGAUGGUCCGCCUAGGUUGUCAGCGAUCAGAUUUCCCUUGGUUUCUUUCUUUGUCGUAUACAGGAUGUCUUACUCGGUUAGUUAGACCGGCACUUUGCUAAACGACCAGUGAGAGUGGGCUUCUCAAAGAUGUGCUUCAUGGGGUCGACUUUUGAGACAAGGUAUGUGGUGUAGUACAACUUCUAGCGUCUCAACCUUUUAAUCAUUCAUGUUAAUGCUCCACAUUUCCUUUGUAGGUCCGAGUAUCGAGAUUCAUAGUCGGUGAACUUCUUGAUGGUAUAAUACAUGGUGUGUUCCUUCUUUCCUGAUAAGUCUCUUUCGGCUAGCAUAGGCCCUAGUGAGUUCUCAAACACCUUUAAGUAAAAAAGUAGCAUUCUCCCGGGUGUGGGAGGGACUAAUACCGUUGGGCUUUGGAAAGUAUUCCUUAAUAUUUUCAAAUGCCAACUGGCAAUUAUCAUUCCACUUUACUGGUUGGUUAUCUCUGAGAAGUUUGAGUAUAGGCUAGCACGUCGGGGUUAGAUGCGAGAUGAAGCAACCAAUGUAAUUUAAUCUUCCUAAGAACCCACGUGCUUAUUUCAGCGUUUGAGGCAGCGAAAUCUUGAUGAUGGAUUAUAUUGGGUCCACCUUAAUUUCUCUCUCGCUUACUAUGAAUAUGAGAAGUUUCCCUCACAUGAUCCUGAAGGUUCAUUUCUCAGGGUUCGGCCUUAGUUCUUGUUUCUUUAACCUUUUGAACAUUUUCAGGAGCACUUCUUUGUGAUCUUCAUAACUUUUGGACUUGGUGAUCAUUUCAUGACUUUAUGUAUCAUAUCAUGAAAACAGUGACAAUUCCCCUUCAAUAGGUACGUCGCCCUGAAAAUAUAGCUAAACGACCCCUAAAGUGUUGUAAAUGUUGUCUUUUCUCUAUCCUUGGGGCACAUCUUUAUCCAAUUGUAGCCGGAGAAGCCAUCAAUGAAUGACAACAUUUGGUGUCUUGCCGUAUUAUCUACUAGCAUGUCAAUGUGGGGUAGAGAAAAGUUAUCUUUUGGGCUUGCUCUAUUUAGAUCUUAAUAGUUGACACAUUUGCACCUUUCCAUUUAUUUGGGAGAUGAGUACUAUGUUAGCCACCCAUUCCAAAUAUCAAAAUACUUGGAUAAACCCGCCACAUACUGCUUCUGCACUUCCUCGUUGAUUUUGAGAAGCCACUCCAUUUUCAUGCUUCCAAGUUUUCGCUUCCCGUGUUUUCACCCCUCCAUGGUUGGCAAGCAAUGUGUAACAAUACUUUUGUCUAGACCCGGCAUAUUCUGGUAUCAUCAUGCAAAGAUCUCUUGAUAUUCUAUUAACAGCUCUAUUAGCUCCGCUAGAAAGCCUGCAGACUCCUUUCCUCUUAUUCCAAAAUCCAAUCUAUAUCUUACUGCAUCUCUUUCUCGUUCUCUUCUUCAUCCCCGAUUUCCAUUUCGCAAAUUGGGUUAUCAAAGUUAGUUUAGAUAUCAUGAUAAUAGUUAUUUCUCCUACCCGUAUCUGUUACCCAGUUAAAGUUUGCGUGGAGAAGUUAAUAAGAGGAUAAAGGAAUGCAGUUUUAACACUAAGUGAUGGAAAGAACAUGAUUUUUAUUUAGGGUGUUUUAUGUAGAACACUGAUUUUCAAGUAGAAACUCAAAUACAAACACACGAAGGGAAAUUCUUAAAUCAAAAUGCAUGAAGACUUUUAUUAUUUUAAAAUGUGCUCGUGUUUAUUACUUUCCAUGCGGCCCCGGGAGUUUGAUGGUCGUCCAGUUGUUCAGGUCUUCACCCAGUUGUAGCUGUCACAGAAGAUCCUAUUACUGAUCCUUGUCGAGAUCAAUUGUGUUGAUAUUGAAAUUAUAGAGAGCCAUCCUUGAGUCUUUUUAGGUGGAAGGAUCGCUCUUUGUCUGGUUAAUAACCCCAGCGCUAAAAAAGGUAUGGGAGAUGGGUGGGAAGGCCAUCACCCUCUUUCCUAAGCUCUGUUGGUGGGUCAUUUUUCCAUUGAUGAAUCUACCGUGAGUGGGUGUAUAUCCCAAUCCCUCUUGACCCUUAUUUUUCUUUAGUUGCACUGGUUCUUUCAAUAGAAUUCCCACUUUGAUGGGUCCAAAUGACGAGUGAGACAUUGGACCGCCAUAAGACUAACAUGGGAAAGUGAUAUUUGACCUUUCCAUAAUCAGGACCGUGCCUACUAACCCAUCUAUAGUUAGGACAGCGGCUACUAACCCAUCUAUUAUAUCCAUAGUAGUAUUAUAGUGAACAUGCACUUGACUCAAUAUUUUGAGCAGGGCCAGUCGGUGAGUCUUUGAAGAUGUUAUCAUAUCUAGCUGGGAGACUCAUGCGAGGGUUUUUUUAAGUUGUUUCAUGACUUCGUAUUCGAUGUGCUUCAUCAUACCCUUAAGAACUCAUGGGCGGUGUCGCGGAGGUCUCUCAUCCAAGAACACAUUCUGUUGGUGCUCUACCCUAUCCCGCUUGAGGAAGGGGGUUUGGCGCGCUGGCGUCACAAGGUUGUAGCACUUGGUGGAGUCGCCAUCGAUCAGAAGAACAUUUAGGGUGAAUGUAACAUCCUGCCCGUCCUUCCAAAUCAAUGUGGCUUGGGACACAAUUUUGACUUGAUCUAUGAAAUUGAGAAUUGUGGGUACGGGGUGAUGUUACGAUUUAUGGUUGUCGGGUUGACCCCAUGUUGACUGGUUUUUACUCGGUUUGACCGAUUAUUUACUCUUAUGUCGUGAUUGGUUGAUGAAAAUAAGGGAUUUAUGAAGUGUUAUCGAACGGAACAUUUAGGUCUUUUUAACAUGUCUUCUCAUGUUUUAUUAGGCUUUCAGGUAUCCGUUGGAUAGAAGACGACAAAAAUAAUCCAACGGGACCAAUCGGAGCUCAAUCGGAUGUCGGUCGAGGGAGAUACUAGCAAAAGAAAGAAAAUUACCCAGGCUGGAAUCAGGGCCACACGGCAUGUGGAGGCCAUGUGGGUGUGCUGACAAAUGAUAUUUAUGCCCAAUUUUGAGGAGAGAGGUGGCAUUCUUUGGCUUACACACAUUUUCAAUCAUCCACUACUCUCCCAAGAAUCCUAGUCCAAAAAGCACCAUCCAUCCACCAAUUAUUUGAGGCCAUUAAAGACCAUUUGGAGCUCUUGAAGAUCUAGGAUUGGAGAUCAAGCAUUGUUAGAGGUUGAAGCAAGGAUUUGCAUUCAUGAUCACCUCCUCCAUUCUUGUAGAUUAUGGUGAUUAUUGUAUUCCUUCCUCUUUGUUAGUUUCAUCAUGAGUGGCUAAGCGAUUAGAAUUGUUCGAUUAGAGUGUUUGUAAGUGCUAGGAUGAUCCCCUCAUGAUGAGGGGUUGGACAUGUUCGGAUUCUAGUUAUGAUUAUGGUUGUGCUUGGAUUAUGGAGCUAUUCAAUCUAUCUUACGCCAUGGCUUGAUUUAGGUCAAAUUAACUCUUUCCUUUGCUUAAUUGUGAAUGAAUUGAGUUAGAUUGUAAUCCAAGAUUCAAGCAAGGUGUAUGUGGAACAAGACACACCCCAAUUUAACCUUUAGUGCUUCUUUAGGGACAUUUCAUCGAACACUAGAGUGCAUUCUAUAAAUCAUCUAAGUAGUGACAAACUUGAGUGAUUGGGAUGUUUGGGGUGUCAAUUGGUGAUUAGCACCCAUUCCUAGGUGAUUGUGGUGUCCUUAAGGAUUUCUAAGUACCAACGUAUUUCAUCGAACACCUUCUGUUCACUACUAUUUUUGCUUGAUCUCUUGUGAAUUAGUAGUGGUAUUCCAUUGUAAGACUUUAUUCUGAAUUUCUUCACAUGCCUAGAGACUAAUCGUACCAUAAAUAGUGUCCAUUAUGUCUGAAGUCCUCUAAUGAGUCAAAUUUGAGUAUUUCCAACACUCGACGUCUAGCAACCUUACUCUCUUCGUUUGAUCUUUAUACUCUUUUGCAACAUUUAAUCUCUUUAAUCGCUUUGCAUACUUUGCAGUGAUUGGAUAGUAAACCUAGUUAGUAACUUAGAAAAACCCUUUUACAAACUUUCUUUGGCUUAAACCGUGAACGAAGUGUUGAGUAGAGAUUUGUGAACAGACCUCGUGGGAUACGACACUCGUGUCAGUUAGGAUUUGGGUUUCAUAGCCUCUGUUCUAUCCUAUCAAAUUUUUGACGCUGUUGCCGGGGAAUGUUCACACCUUUAAAAGACAGCAUUCACCCUCUCCAAUUUACUUCGUGCUCCCCUUGUUUUGGUAUAUCCCCCUGUCUGUGUAUUACUUUGGUUUGCUCGUUUUGGUGUGUAGGACUCUCUUGUACAUCCUCAUUGUAUACUAGACAUUUAAAUAUAAAUAGAUGUGCACCAAGGUGGCUCCUAGGGACUCCACCUCACCCUCUAUCACGCAUAGCGACUCCAUCCCGUUUUCCAUCAGUUGCAUCAUCAUCUACACUUCCAUCAAUCCUAGAAUCUUCUACACCAACAUCUUUACAGGCUUCACUAGUUGACUUGAGCUCCAAAGCAGAACUAGAGUCGUUGAGAACAUGUUCGAAAUGGCUCCACCACCACCUAGAACUCUUGAGGGAACUUCAUCAAGUGUCCUUCGUCCACGAGUCGACAACCGCCAAAAUUCCAAUACAUUCAAAUGGUGCAACAAAAUGUCUAUCAUGGCCAUGAAAAUGGAUGUCCGAGUAGCCCCCUUCGAAGCUUCUUAGAGAUUGUGGACCUCACGAAGUCCAACAAUGUCCCUCAAGAGGCCACCAACUUCGACUCUUUCUUUUCUCACUCCAAAGUUAGGUGAAUCAAUGGCUAGAUAACCAACCCAACAACACCUUGCAAACUUGGGACGAAUUGGCGAAGACUUUCUCGGAAGAGUUCUUCCCCCCUACAAGACGGAUGAGAUUAGGGGAAGGAUCUCUCACUUCCAACAAAUUAAUGGUGAGCCUUUCUUUGAAGCAUGGGAUCGAUUUCAAGACGGAUGAGAUUAGGGGAAGGAUCUCUCACUUCCAACAAAUUAAUGGUGAGCCUUUCUUUGAAGCAUGGGAUCGAUUUCAAGACGGAUGAGAUUAAGGGAAGGCUUUACCCAUGCCCUCACCAUAACUUUGGAGAGUGACAACUUGCGGAGACAUUUGCUAGAGGGCUUACUUAUGAGGAUACGAAGAUGAUCAACCAAGCGACGAAAGGAGAUUUAAGAUCAUUCCUCCUCGAGCGUUGCCUUCAAAUCUUCAGAAAGAUGACCGUGAUGACAAAGAGUUGGUCAAGGCCACAAUGUCUUAAAGACAUCAAAGCGAUGACCUGGGAUGCUUAUAUCUCCACCAACACUACUGCUCCCAAAACUCUCAAGGAUAUGCCCAAACUUUGAGAGAAGGAUGAAGAGCAACCAGGCCACUUAAUUGUAUCAAGGAUGGAUACAAUGGAUGCUCUGCUUUUUCCUUAGCUCAAGCAAUUGCCAAGCCUCAAGAAGUACAAGCACUUCUUCCCAAGCCGACAAUCAAGCCUCCUAUCGCACAAAUCUUUGUAUCCAAGAGUUGUGGCAGUGAAGGGCAUGAUGCUUCGACUUGCUAAUCUUUUGCUCCCAACUUUGCACUGAAAGAGGAUUGCAUUGAAGAAGUGGACUAUGUACAAGGAAGCUACCACAGAGGCAACCAAAGUGGAUCAACCACAGAAGGCGAACAAGAAAGAGAUCAACCACAGACAACAAGAAGAUGAUGCGGUGGUGAUGUUGAUGUCUGGUAGAACCUUCCAAUUAUGUAUUAUUCAAUUCAGUUGUUGAUGGUCAUCCGAGUAGUAUUUUUACUGAGCAAACAUACUGGGCAUUGGAGCUGGCUAUUGGCUAAUGUAGACGCAAGAAACAUUCUCUAAACCCUCAGCAAGUAAUGUAGACGUAGUCCCUUUCUCCAGUAUUUCUCUGUGUUUCAAUGAUGUAAGAAGUUAAAACUCUUAACAUUUUAAUACACCAGCCGCGUAAGAUAUUAUUUUCUAGUUAACCAAAGUCUGUAUAGAAUAUUACCUUAUAUUGAUAAGGAAACAUCCUAAAUUCUUACUAUUUAUUAAAUGAUUAAAAUACCUCAAUCAGAGAACUUUAAAAUAAAGAAAAUAAAAUAAUAAAAUAAAAAUCUUUAAAACAAGAGGAACUUAAGAAGAAUCUCGAACACUAAUUCUUACGAUUCACUCUCCUAUAAUAACUUUCAAAUAUCUUGGUGGGUGGUUCGGGGUCAGUCUUUCGUGCUCUAAUCUUAACAAUCAAUAAUUAUUAAAAGCGUUAGCCAACAUAUUAUACAAUUUCAUCUAAUCAUUUAGAGCUAUUUUCAUCUCUAGAACUAUUCCACCGUUAUUAAGGUUCUCUAACUUCUACUAACUUCUACUAACUUCAUACAUUUAGGAUAUCAUGAUCUGAAAUCAUUUACUAACUCAAAACUAACUAGUCUUAAUAUCCAUUUGACGGACUACUCUAAUGGCCCAAUAUUUAAUCGUAGGAGUCCCUAGUGGCCCAAUUAUAAGUAUUGGAUUUAUAUUGGUCUGAGACCAUAAGCUGCCAAUAUGGAUCAGAGGUCUAAUAAGAGAGGUAUAUAUUACUAGAUCAUCUAUUAAUCAUCUAGACUUAGAGUAGCUCUUGUUGUUCGCUAGUUAUCUAAUCACAUCAUACUCUAGUUUAAUCAUAUAGGCACGUCAUAUGAGCAUCAUAACUGAACAUAAGAAAAUAAGGACACAUAUAGAUUCAUAAGUACUAACUGAGUAACCAUAUUACAUAAAGUAGUCCUAUUUAUGUAAUCCUAUCAUAAGUAAGAGUUUAACACGAUAAGUACUUAAUCAUCAACAAGGAGUCUUUAAUCAUCAACAAGGAAUCAUCAACAAAGAAUCGUCAACAAGAAAUCAUCAACAACUAAUCAUCAUGAAAGAUUGAAACUAAAGUCAAUCAUGUUAGGUGCAUUAUGAAUCAUGGAAUUAUAGUUCUUGUAACUUGUCAUAUCAUCAACAUCAUUGAGGAAGUCAAUUUACAAGACUCUGAUUCAUGCACUAUCAUUGACAUUAUCUAAGGUAUCUUAUUCCUCGUGGGGCGUCCCCCAACUCAACCAACUAACCCACCGCCCUAGCGCGGAGGUCUGGGAGUACAUAUCCAUCAGACGGUAUCAUAAAUCAUAGAAGGAAAACUGUGACCGUAAAUCAUAGUGGGUAUAUGCCCAAAUCAUAGGGGCAACUGUGGCCCGAAACAUAAGGGGCGGUGGUCUAACUAGUAAGUUUCAUGUUUUAAAUCCACCUAUUACACAUCUAAGUGAAGUGUUCAUGUUUCUUAUCACUGGUUAUGUCUAAACUUAUCAUCGUCUAACAUUAAUAUUAGUCUAACCUUAUCAUAGUGUUAACAUUAUCAUUAGUCUAACCUUAUAGUUAUAUAGGAGGUAUAACUUGUACAACAUCAAAGUAAUAACAUGUCACAAAUAAACACUCAAGCAUGGAAUCAUGGCAUAAACUAAAAUGCAUCAAAUUAACUAACUUAAUCUACCCCCUUAAACCAACCCACCUCAUUGGCGAGCUGACGUCUCAGAAAUAUAUCCGAGAUGAUUCCCUUUGCUGCCACGAAACCACAACCUCAUACGGUGCUUCGUUCUGAGCUCAAACGACCAAGUUAUUCUCUGUUUACUUCUUUGCAACUUGUUGAAACUUGAACGGCAGAAUUUUCAUUUCCCUGUCUAACUUGGCAAACUUCAGAAUCAGUUCCCCAACUUCUGGUCCUUGCAGUUCACUCCAUAUCAUACAGAGAACUACAAUCCAGUCAUCCUAAUUUCCAGGAAGAACAGUUCAGUCUAACACCCCAACUUUACAGGUAUUGCAAAUUGGUCACUUAUCUUCCAUAAUUCGCUAGGUGAUCACUCUUCCCUAACCUCUGCAUCUGCGAUUACAGAGGAUGUCGCCGAUGACCCGAUUCAAUCCGUCGAGCUUUCCACGAAUCUUGGAAUCCGCUUCUUCUCCUCGCCUUUGACUCUACCGCCAGCCGCUUCGCAUGGGAGAGAAGGCUUCUCCCUCGAUCUAUCUUUGUCAGAUCGAUUCCUCCGCCAGACACCCAACAUCGGCUCUUGUUGAUGCUCAGACUCCAUCCAUCCUUGAUCCAAGGUGGUCGCCCGAUUGGUGGUUCGUUGCCGAUCCGACGAGGGAACGACACCAUCCCUCAUGGGCCCUCUCUCGUUCCAGUCGCCACCAAUGUCAGCCUCUCCCUCUCCUCUCACCGAUCGAUCUCAGGCCACCAAGGAAGCUCGCCAACAUCGCCUCCUGGAUUGCCUUCCCCAAACGAGAAGCCGACUUACCUGCGUGGUCACCAUCAACUCCUCUCGUCGGAUCUGCCACACUAGGGUUCCCUCCCAGCACGAAACACUCUCAAGCUUAAAUAGUUACAGAGGCUCACAUGUCGUUCGAUCCAUCCAACCGCCCAAUGCCCAUCACGUCAUCAUAAUUUCAAUUGUGUAUUAGGCCCACAACCGAAAUCCAAAACCAAACAAACAACAUCAUCUACUUUCUCUUGGACAAAUCAGGCCUCACUUCUCACCGUAGAAUCUAUCCAACCGUCCAGAUUCCUCCAGACCCCCAACUAAUAGACUAAUGGCUUCAUUCCAUCUCCGAUUAUCUAACCAACCGAUAAUAGCACCGCACCUCAUAGGUCUCCGGAACUCGCACAACUCAACAGCCAAACUCCUCGAAUAAAACAAUUAAUUCAACACCAAACCUUCUAUUCCAUUCUUCGAGUAGGAUUUCUAUCAAACCGAAAAUUCUAACUAGUAGCCUACAACCGAUUUAUCCAAUUUAAUGUACCAUGUACUAAUGAGUUGGACACUUCUAAUAAUUCACAAUUAGGCUAACAUUAAUUUAGUAACAGGAUCGUAUCCAAACAUGGAAUUUACAUUAUUGUACUUUUGCCAAUUUAGUGUUUUACCCUCCAUUUCAAUUUUAGGGAAGCGCAAAACCGCUUUUUAACAAUAAUAAUGGGGUCAUUUUUGGAAAUAAAAAGUAUGAUUAAUUUAAAAAUUAUAUUGACCGUCAAGUUGAAACCUAAAUUAUAUAAAUUGGCCAUUAAGACUUAGGAGCCUCUAAAACAUGCGGCACAUCCAAUAAACACAAAGAAGAAGUAAAAUGCGAUUGCAGGUUACGUGCAUCGAGAUGCUAGGUUUCUAUUCGAUGUUAUAAAAUAGUCACUAAGUAAAUACUAAUAAGUAAUGAAUCAAAAAUACUAUGCAAUUAUUAAUAUUCUCUAACAUAAUACUCGAUAAUUACUAACAUUAUCUAACACUAGGCAAUUAUUAAUAUUCUCUAACUAUGCAAUUAUGGUAAUGAUACCAACCUCAUUAUCGCAUAUAUCACCGACGCGAUGUCAUUUGCGGUGGCCCCAAAGUAGUUUUACAUCGAUUGGCUCAGGGUCGACGCACGGGGAUAUUGGUCCAUACAAGUAAUCCAUCCUACAACAAAACAAAAUAUUAAUAAAAAACAAAACUAAAAAAUUACAAAUUAAAAAAUAAAAUUAUAGAAUUACCGAUUAGUUGGUUGCAGAACGAGGACUCGUUAUCGGUACAGAAAAAUCAAGAAAGGAAGGAAUGAGAAAUAGUGGAUUGGUGUGGAAUGAAAGAGGAGGAGAGGGUGAUAUUUAUAGAACAACUGGAGGCAUACUAGAACGUGCGAUGCACUGUGCCUCCAACGGUUAUAUUGAAACGGUCAUCUAACGAUCGUUACAAUAUAGCCGUUGAUUCCACCUUAAAACGCUUCACACAUCCUAAGACACGCCGCGAGUUGUAGAGGGUACUAGUGAUCAUUUUGUAUAAUUUAAAUUUUAAUUUAACUAUCUACAUAAUUUUUGAUUUAUUCAUGUCUAAAAAAAAUCCCCAUUUUCUAAGCCUUAUCUCAUCUCUUUCCUGCUCGUAUAAAAAAUUUCAUUAUUUUAUUUUUAGAAAAUUGGCCCCUUGUAUUUUAAUUUUACCAAAUUGGUGAUUAGCCCCUUUAUGACAAAAUUGCCCACGUCCCCUCUUACAUUAUUGCUAAUUAACCAACCAUAUUUUCUGUUAUGGUUUCGGUUAGUUUACUAUUAAAACCUAACAAAUCAGCAUGCCAUAUCACUAAGUCCGUUUAUAUCAUCAUGUUUAUGUUGAGACCAUCCAUUAUGGUGAGCUAAAUAGCUAAAAAUGCUAUUAUUUAGUUCCAAGUAGCUUCACAAUGGGAGAGCUAAAUAUCCAAAAAGUAAAAAAAGCUAAAAUAGUUGGUAAAAAAUAAUUGGGUCAAAUAGCUAAGACUAUCUACAUCAAUACAAUUCAUCUCCAUCUAUAAAAGUGAUCCACAUUUUCACAUCAUUAACUUUUGCAAUUUCACAUUCUAUAUUUUCAUAUCAUUUUCAUCCAUACAAUUCAAUUCCAAUUGCAAAAAUGAGACCAAUAUAUAUAUUAUUUAUAUUUUCUUCAAAUUAAUUCGAAUGUUAACAAAAAGUGGACCCAAAUGAAUUUUAAAAUAUUGUAUGAAUGGUGUAGCCCCAAAUAAAAUUAUCACUUGACUUAUAACAAAUGUAAAUUUGCAUUUAAAAGUUACAUUUUUUCAUCUAUGAUAUUUUCAAUUGAAUUAUAAAAAUUUAACACAUAAAUUCCAUAUCAUUUUAUAAAUAAAUAAAAUCUCAUUAAUGGGAUGCUUUAAUAGUCAAAUUUCACACUACCUGGCAGACCCAUAGUAAUGGAAGGCGUAUGGAAUUAAAAACAUAUUAGGAAAGAGAGUGACAAACAAUGCCCAAUGAUAAAUCAAUAAUCCGGCGAGUGGAAGACAUGCGGACUUGCUGCUGCUGAGAUUCCUUGAAUAAUUAUUCAUCAGUACAAUCCAGCUGGCACAAUUUGAUUGGCUUCUUUGUGUUGUUGUGAUAAAUGGUUUUGCUGUUCUUUGUUAAAAAAGGGAAUUGCCUUCAUUAUUUCACAUAACCAUCCGUCAUGUUUGUUCACGAACAUUAAUAUUAUUUUUUGACAUUCAUUCAUAAAUUUAAAAUUUAAAGUGCCUUAAUUAUGGAUAUAAUUUAACGAGAAAUUGAAAUAUUUGAAUUUUAUCUUAGAUCUAUUUUCUUGCAACUCAAGGAUAUAUGCAAAAUAAAUAUCAUAGCCCAUCAAGUGGUAAAAUUAUCACAUGAGACCAAUUUAUGGUGAACCAACACAAAUAUGACCAAGAUUACUACUUCAAAACCGAGUAGUUCUUGUGUUUGAAUAAAGGUCGAUUAAAAUUGACAUAGAGUCACAUAGUGAUCUUACUACCAUCCUGGCAUUGAUAGCCAUGUUAUAUCCAUAUAACUUUUUGUUGGAUAUAAUUAGUAUAUCAUUGAUGAUAUACGAAAAUCAUGUUCGAGAGAGAUGCACAAUUGGCAAGUUAGUGGUAAUCUUCCACAUCUUUCAUCAAAGACUUGAUGUCUUAAAACUUUUCAUUUCUCUUGGGAAUUUGAAUUUGCCUCAAAUUGAAAUUUUUUUUUUUAGCCAAUCAUUUCUAUCUGUGCAUGCAUUUUGGCUAAUGAUCCUCAUUUUCAACUAUCAUAUUUAGCGUUGCACUAUACGCAAAUAUUUCGUCGACGUUGACUUCAUUGGGGUUCCAAUAUUUUCCAUCCAAGAUAUAGAUAAUUGAGAUAUAUAUUCAUAUCUUUCAGGUACCUGAUACUCUUCUUGAGCACAUUAUUUGUUUCUCUUGGUGGCUUUGUUUAAAUAAUCUUAACCUCAAUUUGACCAUCUUGAUAUAUAGCUCCAUUCCACUUUUGAGGAUUUUUUCUUUGGAACCGAGUGGUCUAUCACGCCUUUGCGGGUUUUAGACUCAUUUGUGAUGUCAGAUUGCCCAAUAUUGGCAUUAUUGUUAUUGGAGCAUUUUGAGUUGGCACAUGAAAACUUUACUCUCGUUGGGUCAGUAAAGUGUCUGGCAGAUAAUGAAUUAUAUAUUUUUGAACUUCAAGCUCAUAUUGCUUAGUGCGAGGAUCAAAAUAAUAUGAUCAUUCAUCUAAUCUCUUGGCCAACUUUUGUUUUGUCCCCCUAAUGUUGGGAAGUUUAAAUAUAAACCUCCAAACGAGUCAUCAAAAUACUCCCGACAACGAUGUGAUACUUUACCAUCGAUGAACUCGUAAUCAAAAUUCAAUCUUCAUUGAGAACCCAUCCUAAUAAAUGGUGGUGGAGCAAUUCAGAUGUGUAUAUCACAUCCAUAUAUCCAAUGAUGGGAAGUAUAAGGUUUUGACCCAAAAACCACAUAUAAUGGAGGAAUUCAUAAUAAUUUCUUGGCGUAAUGCGAAUUUGUGUUGUUCAUGUAAAUGACAUGUUCACAAUAAUAUAAAUGGAAAAUGUUCGUCUUAAUGACACAUUUUCGUUAUUGGAUAAUCAUGAAAAUAUGCUCAUAACCAAAUGGUUGAGCUAGUAAUCUCCCAAAUUAAAGUUUGUCAUGAUAUACACAUGUGACUAUCUAAUUGAUGCAUCAAUUAAAAUAAUUGGCUCACAUGUUGGGUGUAUUGAUCCCCAAAUAUCACCUUUGUUUUGUUGUGUGGAGGAGAAAUGAUCUUACUUUAGUUGAUGAUUAUCCAACAAUCUACUCUAUUUGAGAAUAAGCAACCAAAAACUGAGUUAUGUUGCGUUGGAGAUUUACCCAACAAUGGGUAACGGAAAGGUCAAAAUGCUUUCCUAGAAACGAAACAUUGUUGACAGAACAGAAAACCGUUCGUGUUCCCAGGAAGUAGGGGAGUCACAAGGACUACUUAAAUCCAUAUAACCUUAGGAAUCAUUUCUUUAGAAUACCCAAGUUGAGACCAUCAUGCACAACAAUGUUCAAGAGAACAUACUCUUUAGAUUAUGGAAUCAUCAAAAUUGACCAUAGAGGUACUUAUCGAUUCCCAUCAUGAUUGAACCUGGAUGGUCUCACCGGUUAUGCCAAAUAAUAGUUGUCAGGACUAGUAAACUUUUGUUUUACAUUGACAUAUAUCUCAAUCAUGGUAACAUAUGCGUAGUACGAAUUGGAGGAAAAUAUUCAUAUUCUAUUUUAUUGAUGGUCACAAGAGAUAGGAACAAUAAUGUGGUCUAUGACCAUGCAAAAGGUUUUCGCUCAUGCAUGAACAAUAUAAUAUCUCGAUCUAGAGUUUGAAAUAAAAUAUAAUAGCUCGAUCCAGAGCUUGAGAGAAAUGUUGUACUACACCAUAUAUCUUGGUGCACUAUCGAUGUGAUAUAUAUCACAAUUAAUUAUGGUGAUUCGCAUCAUAAAAUACUCAUUUUUGUCAUAAGAAUGGUACAUGGUUUAAAUGAUAAAUAGAGAUAUUUCUCAAUCAUCUAUGUCACCAAUUAAUUGAUCAAUAAUUCUCGUAUAACCACAAUUGUUAUGUCUAUCCGAAUAAAAUGGUUCCUUAUGUGAACAAUGAUAAUAUGUUGUCACUUAUGCUUUCAGGAACAAUGUAACAAAAUAAAAGUGUCUUUGCAGAUCGUAUGAUGUUACUUGUGCUUUCAAGAAUAAUGUAACACAUGUGUCUUUCCACAAUCACUUUGAGGGCUAAAUUAGUAUCAGUUGGAUAUGAUCAUCAAAAUAAAACUGACAGUUGUACCACCAAUCAUAGGAUUAAAAUUGUUCAACAUCAAUUCACAACUCUCUUCCACGCGAGAAGAUAAAUUUCACAAAUUUCUUUCCCAUGACCAUAAUAAGAGGUAUUGUCCUCCACAAUAGUGUAUUGUCGUAUCGCCUUCGUGGGAAUAUAUGUAUUGUCACAAAGGACAUGAUAUAAUCAUNNNNNNNNNNNNNNNNNNNNNNNNNNNNNNNNNNNNNNNNNNNNNNNNNNNNNNNNNNNNNNNNNNNNNNNNNNNNNNNNNNNNNNNNNNNNNNNNNNNNNNNNNNNNNNNNNNNNNNNNNNNNNNNNNNNNNNNNNNNNNNNNNNNNNNNNNNNNNNNNNNNNNNNNNNNNNNNNNNNNNNNNNNNNNNNNNNNNNNNNNNNNNNNNNNNNNNNNNNNNNNNNNNNNNNNNNNNNNNNNNNNNNNNNNNNNNNNNNNNNNNNNNNNNNNNNNNNNNNNNNNNNNNNNNNNNNNNNNNNNNNNNNNNNNNNNNNNNNNNNNNNNNNNNNNNNNNNNNNNNNNNNNNNNNNNNNNNNNNNNNNNNNNNNNNNNNNNNNNNNNNNNNNNNNNNNNNNNNNNNNNNNNNNNNNNNNNNNNNNNNNNNNNNNNNNNNNNNNNNNNNNNNNNNNNNNNNNNNNNNNNNNNNNNNNNNNNNNNNNNNNNNNNNNNNNNNNNNNNNNNNNNNNNNNNNNNNNNNNNNNNNNNNNNNNNNNNNNNNNNNNNNNNNNNNNNNNNNNNNNNNNNNNNNNNNNNNNNNNNNNNNNNNNNNNNNNNNNNNNNNNNNNNNNNNNNNNNNNNNNNNNNNNNNNNNNNNNNNNNNNNNNNNNNNNNNNNNNNNNNNNNNNNNNNNNNNNNNNNNNNNNNNNNNNNNNNNNNNNNNNNNNNNNNNNNNNNNNNNNNNNNNNNNNNNNNNNNNNNNNNNNNNNNNNNNNNNNNNNNNNNNNNNNNNNNNNNNNNNNNNNNNNNNNNNNNNNNNNNNNNNNNNNNNNNNNNNNNNNNNNNNNNNNNNNNNNNNNNNNNNNNNNNNNNNNNNNNNNNNNNNNNNNNNNNNNNNNNNNNNNNNNNNNNNNNNNNNNNNNNNNNNNNNNNNNNNNNNNNNNNNNNNNNNNNNNNNNNNNNNNNNNNNNNNNNNNNNNNNNNNNNNNNNNNNNNNNNNNNNNNNNNNNNNNNNNNNNNNNNNNNNNNNNNNNNNNNNNNNNNNNNNNNNNNNNNNNNNNNNNNNNNNNNNNNNNNNNNNNNNNNNNNNNNNNNNNNNNNNNNNNNNNNNNNNNNNNNNNNNNNNNNNNNNNNNNNNNNNNNNNNNNNNNNNNNNNNNNNNNNNNNNNNNNNNNNNNNNNNNNNNNNNNNNNNNNNNNNNNNNNNNNNNNNNNNNNNNNNNNNNNNNNNNNNNNNNNNNNNNNNNNNNNNNNNNNNNNNNNNNNNNNNNNNNNNNNNNNNNNNNNNNNNNNNNNNNNNNNNNNNNNNNNNNNNNNNNNNNNNNNNNNNNNNNNNNNNNNNNNNNNNNNNNNNNNNNNNNNNNNNNNNNNNNNNNNNNNNNNNNNNNNNNNNNNNNNNNNNNNNNNNNNNNNNNNNNNNNNNNNNNNNNNNNNNNNNNNNNNNNNNNNNNNNNNNNNNNNNNNNNNNNNNNNNNNNNNNNNNNNNNNNNNNNNNNNNNNNNNNNNNNNNNNNNNNNNNNNNNNNNNNNNNNNNNNNNNNNNNNNNNNNNNNNNNNNNNNNNNNNNNNNNNNNNNNNNNNNNNNNNNNNNNNNNNNNNNNNNNNNNNNNNNNNNNNNNNNNNNNNNNNNNNNNNNNNNNNNNNNNNNNNNNNNNNNNNNNNNNNNNNNNNNNNNNNNNNNNNNNNNNNNNNNNNNNNNNNNNNNNNNNNNNNNNNNNNNNNNNNNNNNNNNNNNNNNNNNNNNNNNNNNNNNNNNNNNNNNNNNNNNNNNNNNNNNNNNNNNNNNNNNNNNNNNNNNNNNGUUAAAUUUGAGUGGGAAUUUGACUUUUUUAGGUUCAACUUUUCUAAAGUUAAAACGCUAAAUUUGAGUAAAUUUUUUUCCCCACCGCUAGUAUAGUUUCAUUCCUGAUCACGGACACCUGUGUAGGAACCACCUAUGAUCUCUUCACUUUCUUUAUGGUUCUGAAUACAACUAUAUUCACACCAUCUUCCUGCUCUUCACCCAAAUUCGACAAUGAUAUCAGCAAUACUUUGUUAUUUUAUUUAUGUCAUUAAUAAAUAAGUUUAUAAUUAAGCUGAUUAGGAUGUUGACUAAAAUGAUGACCCCAACUGCCACGUCAGUGUUGGACAGAAUUAUUGACGAAAUUGGACGGAAAAUAUAAUGGAAGGAUACGAUUGGUUAAUUGGCAGGACUGUAAGGGAANNNNNNNNNNNNNNNNNNNNNNNNNNNNNNNNNNNNNNNNNNNNNNNNNNNNNNNNNNNNNNNNNNNNNNNNNNNNNNNNNNNNNNNNNNNNNAUCCAUUUAUUUAAUUGAUGGUUUGUCAUUAGGUCCGCUCAAAUUCACAACAGUUCAAGCACAUGUAAUUCAUUUUUCUUCUUUCCUUUUAUAAAUGAAUUUUAGUUCAACAUUAAAAUGAAUUAUAUAAGUUCAAAAUUAAAAUGGUCCUGUUUUUUAAGGCCCUUGGUUUUUACUUUUUGGCUACUUCUUUUUGGUUGGCCCAAGUCAUCUAGAGUGAACAAUGAUUGAUUGUUAGCGUAUGUAGUUGUAUGGGUUUUGAGCCCAACUCGAGCCUAUGUUAUUUUGUUGUCUUUUCUUGAAACAACGUUACUUAAUUAUAUAAAUAGUCCAUCAAUUGUCUCCCUAUAUACAGGUGAUACCAGAGAACGAGAUCGACGAGCAAAGUUUGUGAGAAACCGUGCUCCUAUAUUUUCUAACCCACUCAACCCUGAAUAUAGGUCUACUAUUAAGGAUGUGUUGGCAUCGCUCCAUUAUCGGGCCAAACUCCAUGCUACCAUGUCCCAACGUUACUUCUUGGUAAUCUGUCUCAAUGAUGGCCUUUUCAUAGCCCAUGUCUCGUAUCCAUUCGAAGCUAUCCUUCACUGCAUGCGCUUCUUCUUCCCCGCUCUUGUUAACCUUGUUGCCUUCUACAUGAGGAAAUGUAUUAAACCACCUGACUCAUCGCAAACCGCUAGUCUUACGCCAUGGUUUCUAUCCUGAUGGAACAGGGGAAUGUCAACAUUGCAGUUGACGUACCCCACCGGUGGUGGGUGCCAUUAAGGACAAGCUGUGGGUUGAGGUUGUUGUGGUCGCUUCUCCUCCGUCCAAUAAUUCACCCAUUCCAACAAGUCAUCCAAAGCAUGUCGUAUAAUCACCUCUGGUGACUAGCCUCCCCAUUCCAUACUCGCUCGUUCCUUUCCCGCCAGACUACCUUGAAUCUGUAAAUUCGCGUUGGAUUGCAACAUUUGGAAAACCCAUCCCCGUACAUCAUCCACUUGCAUGCAUACCGAAUGGACCCACUGCCACAUUCCCAACAAGGUCUACCAAUUUCACACUCGAAGAGCAAGUUAUCGAGAUCCUCACCCAUUUUCAAACAACAGUCGCAAGUAUCCAGUACUAUGACUGCUUGCUUGCCAGACGCACUCUAGUUGGCACCACAUCACGAGCCACCCGCUAAAUUAUGAAAUUACUCGAAUGAUUUAAGUGGUUACGUUAUGUCAUGUCAUUCAUGUGACUAUGUUAUGUUAUGCUAUGUUAUUCAUGUGAUCCGGAUAAUUGUAUGCCAAUAUCAUUGUGAUUAAGUGGUUACCUUAUGCUAUGUUAGUAUGUAAUGGUUAAGUGCCUAUCUUAUGUUAGGUUAUGUCAGGUUAUGAUAUCUCUUGAUGAUGUGCAAGUUACAACUUUCAACUACAUUAAAGCAUGUCAUGUUCCCCAACAUUAGUGUCCACGUUAUGUCCAUCAUAUUCAUGUUAUGAUUAACUGCUUAUGUUGUUGCUUGAUGAUGUGCAAGUUUGCCCUUUUAAACUAUGUUAACUCAUUUCAUGUUCUCCAAGAUCAGUGUUGUGAAACCCCAUCCUAAGAGUCCUGAUCGAACCACUAGUUCAACCAAUGAGGAGUCCUACUCGGGUUUCAACUUGAAACACACUGAACUCUAGGCUACUAAUAAAAACAUUUAAAACAAUAUCCUCUGAUAUCAAAACACCGACAAGCUCUCUCCCCACCGUGAGCUCCAGUACCUGUGACUGAACACACAAAUAUGCCAAGGAAAACAAGCUAAGUCUAAUGGGGUCAGUGAUAAGCAUUGAGUGGCUAAAUUAGACUGGCGUAAAACUAUGACUAUACUGAGAAGAUAGGGAAAGAAAGUAUAACUAAUCCCUGAAUCUAGUAAUGUGACCUUGUGGUCCUAUAGGCAACAUCCUAUCAAUAGUCACCCCUAGCUAGUAGUUGAUAGCCUAUGGUGGAUCAGACCAUGAAACCACCCCGUAGAUACAGUGCGAGUAACAUCAGUAGGCAUACUAGACACGCCCUGCAUGACCGUAUGUCACCACAACUUUAAUUGGACUCAAGGCCCACACCUUAAGUUCAUGUCCAAUUAGAGUGGAAGUCCUCACCCUUCACUUGAAUAGUUCAAUUCCUAUCCAUAGCCAUACGAUCAAUCUAACGAUCUAGAAAUCUCCAAGUCCAUAACUAACAAUUCACAGACUUAACUCUUCCUCCGAUUGACUUAGUCAACCCGGUAACUACCCCGAGCCUUACAAACCCUUAAUACUUGGUCAACUGUGAACUCAACUCCUCAAAUUAAUUAAAUUAAUUCAUUUUCCAACUUCCGACUUCUACUCAACGAGUAAAUUUUGAAUCAAACCGAAAUCAAACCAAAAAUUGGGGUGUCACAACUCUCCCCUCCUACAAAAGAUUUCUUCCCGAAAACCGAACGUCACCCCACUGAGCGGGAAGGAUUCGGCGCAAUAGUGUUCAACUAUGGCGCUUGCACUCCUACUUGGUAGCAAACGACCUUGAUGUGUCGUCCUUCUCAAGUACUCAACCAGUCCACUCCUCGAAAAUGACCCAGGGUCAAAUCAAAGUCUAACCACAACCUUGUCCUCGAAGACCGACAGUGACACCUUUAAAGAAAUGAGUCAACCCAUGGGCAAUACUCAUCAUCCUCUGGACCUUCAUUUCUUUUCCACUUCUUGUUCCCCUAACUCUCCUUCCUCCUGACUAGAACAUCCAAAGCUCGCACCUCGCUCAUGACCUCUCAGCCCUGAAAUGCUCAUUCCUUAACUGAUUUCCUUUGAAAUCUGAACACACCUUCCCCUUCCUAGAUGAUACUUGGCCCUUGGUAGUCACCAUCUGGCGGAAGGACUUCCCUUAACCUACCGAGCAUCAGCUUUGCACUUUCAGUAUCCUUACGAUCUUUUUGCACCCUAAGCAUUGUUUCUAGCUCGUCAACCCGCACUACCAUGUCCCAGACAUAGAAGUACAUAGACCAGUCCUUGCCAUGCUGCUUUGAAGAUGCAGCUAGUCGAGCAGCAAGCUCAACCUCGCAACUUUGAUCUUGAUGCUUAUACUACUAUUCCCCAUUUUCUUACUGAUAGGUAAUACUAAUCAUAUAGUACUACCAAGACCUUAGCCAACUCACAGAAUCUUGUCAUCCUUUCCCAUGAUGACGGUUCCGACAAGUCUGAUCACGCUUGUGACCGUUGUCCCGCCACGCCCAUGGUAUUCUCCUCACCACACUCGUGGUCCUCUCCUUACCACGCUAGCUUGUGGUCGACUAUCAACAACGACCGUUGCCACUUGACUGUCACAGCCGUUGCCUCAUGAUCACUGCACCAUCACACUCGUGAUGUACUACAUGUCAUGACCAUGACUGUCAUCCAACCAUACCCGUCACGGACUAUUCGUCAUGCAUGUGACUAACUGUCAUCCACGACCGUGACGACCUUUUUGUCAAGCCCGUGAUGUAUCAUCCCUCACGCCUGAGGCCAACUCUUUGACAAGCCCGUGGCUGAGCUUCACCACGCCCAUUGCUUGUUGAUCAUCGUGACCGAGGUUAACAUCCCGUCACGCCCGUGACUGACUUCUUUUUCCUAGAACUACCAGAGUUGCUACAGCUGUUACAGUAACACGCCUUACUGUCUUUCUGAGACCAACAAAGACCUAUCUCUACUCUUGCCCUAACUACUCCAUCGGCCCUCAGAUGCUUCCCAUCCUUGCCUUCAAGCAUGGUUCUCAAUUAAAUACUAGAGGCUAACUGUCUCUUUGACGUUACACCUCAAGGAGCGAAAGCAUCCUUUAAACUCUGAAUUCCCUUCCCAUUGGGGUCCAAAAGGAUCAUCCGACUAAUGGCUCUAAUGAAGAGUUCCACUGGAUGAAAUUCCCAGAUUCCAUCCAAUGCAUCAUGUAACACCUUAGGCAAAUCGCACAUCGACAAAGUACGAGAGAGAUCAAUGGGUUAUGAGUAAUACUCUAUCCUUAACUGACAAGAUACAUUUUCGGGGUGAGAUGAAGGAGUUCGUGUAAAGAACUCUGAAGUUAAUCAUGCUCAAGUGGGAGCGGUUUAGAAAUGGGUGACCUCUUGGGAAGUCAUUGUUCAGCACCCGAAAAAAAAUCCGUGAGGGAUUAGCUAUACCCAAAGCGGAAAAUAUCUUAUCAGAAAAGGUUGGGGUGUUGCACUUCCCUUAUCACUACCCCUUGUCUUACUAGAAUUCUUAAAGUUCAACAACAAGCCUUUGAAUCAAGAAAGUAAGAUACUCUGCCCCUUGGUUCCUUAAUCCCUUUCUUUUCUCUUUCUAGAGCUGGUGAGAGAGUGGUCGUUCAAAUCCUGACAAACUAUCGCAAUGUUCCCUUUUAAAGCACCUGAAUCCUGAAAACUCUUUUCUUAAUAUCUUUUGCAAAGACUGACUCACCACAUCAUUUUUUUCUAGACACUCACCUACUGCCCCAUGAAAGACUAGUACCGUUACAUGUGUCGACUCACCUUCUCCCCUCUGAGGUUCGUGACGCCUCUGAGGAGUAGGUAGCAUACCGUUAGGGUUACAAGAAAACCGGGCUCUAAUACUAGUUGUCAAACCCCACCCUAGGAGUCCCAGUCAAACCACUAGUUCAACCGAUGAGUCUUACUCAGUUUUUAACUUGAACCACACUCAACUCUAGGCUACUAAUAAAAACAUUAAGACAAGCAUUAACAGCUUAAACUGAACACUUCAAUAAAAUUGACAAACUAGGAUCCGAAAUCCCAAAACACAACAAAUCAAAAAGAGAUGCAACUCCAGUUUAAAAAUACAUAAAAAUUAUAUCCUCUAAUAUAUAAAAACCAACCAGCUUUCUCCCCUCCAUCAGCUCCAAUACCUGUGACUGAACACAUAGAUAUGCCAAGAAAAACAAGUCUAAUGGGGUUAGUGAUAACCAUUGAGUGGCUAAACUAGGCUCGCAUAAAACUGCAACUAUACUAAGAAAAUAGGGCAAGAAUCAAGUAAUGUGACUCUGCGGUCCUGUAGGGAUCAUCCUAUCAAUAGUCACCCCUAACUAGUAGCUGAUAGCCUCAUGAAGGAUCAUACCAUGAAACCACCCGUUGAUACCGUGUGAGCAGCAUCUGUACGCAUACUCCACACAUCUUGCAUGACCGUAGAAACAUCCUGGGGGAUUUUGCAAUCCAUGGGUGGGUGACCAACACACAUAAGGAGCUAAUCUAGCUAAAUCUGAAUUUUGUCCUAAGCAUGAACUGUGAACCACAGUUCAAAUGUCAUGAGCUUAUGCUCGAACUUAAACAACUACCUGUUCAGUAGAUCACACGCUACUGCACAGUGUAUGAGCCCGACUCUGUUUCAUAACCCAUGUAUAGUAGAUGACACGCUAUUGCACAGUCUUGAGAGCCCGGCUCCGAAACACAACACAUGUACCGUAGAUCACACGCUACUGUACAGUCCUGAGAAUCCGAUCAUCGCAUUCCUGACAAUCCUAAUUACAGUUAUAUGCUUAAGUCAAAAAGUAAUCCUAACCCUCACCUAUUAAGAAGGGAUGGCAUUUCUGAUUCUCACUUGACAUGAUUCCUCUCACUGCCACUAAUCUAUAGCUUCUGACCGUGCAUCAUUUGGAGUUUAACCAAUUGAGUUAUACUCCAUUUACUUGUAGCAAUCUGAAACUUGCUAGGACAGAAACGUGGCGCUAAUCCUCCAACUGCCUCCAUUACACUAACUGAUCCAAAACUUCUACUCAUUGACAAAACUAACCCAAGUCCUUAACUAUAAAACAUCCAAAAGUUCAAAGUUGCUAAAGGUCCUCAACGCGUCCUACACACCACCAAAGCCGUUGCACCCUUGCCGAACGCGGAUGGCGCCACCGCUACUGCUAUUCCUAAAGCUCCGCCUUGAAUCUCCUCAAUCUCCUCCGAAAUAGUGAUCGGCACCGCCACAACUCCAUCCUCGUUUGCCCUCGAUCGAUGGAAUUCAAAAUCCUCACCUCUUGGCGUCAAAACUAAUGGCAACAAGUAACUUACCCUGCUCAUCGUCUCAGUGCAUCACCAGUUAGAUCAUGGAAGGGAAGUUAAACCAUUCUCCCACUUGAUGGUAAUGGGGCCCAACUCCACAAUCUGAUCCAUCAUACGGCCCAAGGCCCACCUCAACUUUAAUUGGACUCAAGGCCAUAAUUUAAGCCUAGGGUGGCAGUCCUCACCCUUCACUUGAAUGGUUCAAGUCCUAUCCAGAGCUAUAAAAUCAAUCUAACGGUCUAGAAAUCUUCGAGUUCAUAACUAACAAUUCACAGGCUUAACCCCUCUUCUGAUGGACUUAGUCAACCCAAUAACUAUCUCGAGCCUUACAAAUCUUUAAUACUUGGUCAAUUGCUGAGUCAACUCAUCAAAUUAAUUAAAUUAAUUCAUUUUUCAACUUCCGACUUCUACUCAACGAGUAAGUUUUGAAUCAAAAAAAAUUUUAACCGAACCAAAAAUUGAGGUGUCACAAUUGUCUACAGUAUGCUUAGCUUAUACAUGUGAUGGUUAGACAGUUAUGUUCAUGUUUCUACUUGAUGAUGUGAAAUUCAUUAAACUAAGAUAAGUUGUUAAACUAUAAUAAGUCCUUAAAUUAUGAUAAGUCAUGUUCAUGAGAUCCAUGUUAUGGCAUGUCUUUUUUCCAGGAUUAAUGCUCCCAUUAUGUCCAUCAUAUUCAUGUUACGGUUAGGUAGUUAUGUCAUGUUAUGUAUUAUUUAAUGAUGUGCAAGUUGUACCCUCGAAUUAUGAUAAGUCAUGUCAUGUCUCCCUGAUAAGGGUUUAUCUCAUUUUCAUGUGAUCCAUGUUAUGGUUAAGUGGUUAUGUCAUGAUAUGUUGGGUUAUUACAUGAUGAUGUGCAAGAUGUGCCUUGAAUUAUGAUAAGGCUAGACUACUUCAAGGUUAGGGUGUGAUAUGUCUACAUGACUAGUGAGUAGUGAAUAAGUACACGUUACUUAGACAAGUAAUGUGUAUUAGAAACAUGUAACUUUCUGGCUAGACCACCACCCCCUAUGUUGUGAUCUCAUGGUACCGUCUGAUGGAUACAUACUCACGGACUCUCACGUUCACGUUUGGGCCGGUAUUGCCCCUCAUGUUACCGUCUGACUGAUACGUACUCGCAGACUCUCACGUUCAUAUUUGGGCUGAUAUUGCCCCAUGUUUCUCACGUUUGGGCCACAUUUUUCCCCUUAUGUUACCGUCUGAUGGAUACAUAGUCCCAAACUCUCACGUUCACAUUUGGGUGUUGGACUAGUUAGUUGAGUUGGGGGGGGACGUCCCGCUAUUGAAAGUUCAAGUGAUAAGAUACCUCAGAUAAGUUCAUGUACAAGUAUGUCAAGUUCAAGGGAUAAGAUAACUUAGAUAAGAUCAAGUAUAAGAUUCAAUGUUAUGUGUUUUCAUGUUCGCUAAGUGAUGUUGGUGAUAAUGACCACCUGAUAUGAUAUGUUCAGUGAUUGUCAUGUGCUGAUGUGUUGUGAUAUGUUCAAAUGUUUCUUAGAUGUGAUAACUAUGUGUUGGGAUAAAUAUUCAUGUAAUGAUGUGUUCCUUAUGUUCCAAUGUGCCAUGGAUUUGAUGACUAGUUGUGAUCAAUAUUCAUGCAGUGAUGUGUUCCUUAUGUUCCAAUGUUCCUUUAGAAUGGAUUAGAGGUUCAACCUUUGAUGAUGACUAUGUUACUUGCCAUGUUGAGUUCUCAUGUGUUAGGAUUACACAAAGAUGGAUACUAUAUCUUAUAUGCCUACUUAGCUAGUAUCAAUGAUGCCUUAUACAAUGAUAUGUUUUUGUCUUCCCUAUGUUCUAGCAUGAUACUCAUGUUAUGUGUCUACAUAACUAAGUCAGAAUAUGUUGUGGUUAGAUAACUAGAAAGCAUGUCCCUAAGUAAAGGCAAUGUUUGAAUAUAGCAAUGUCUGAUUAAGGUGAUGUCUGAAUAAGGUAAUGUCUGAUUAAGAUGAUGUCUGAAUAGUUUGAUGUCUGGAUGAGUUGAUGUUUGAAUAAUUUUGAUAUUGUUAAACUUAAGUUGGAAAUCAUAUGUGUUAUAUUAGAGCAUAAUAGACUAACCCCAGAACCACCCACUAGGGUGUUUCUAAGUUGAUGCAGUAGUAGAGUUGAGCUGAUUCGGAUGUGCAGCGAUGGACUUGGUAUUCAAUGUCGGGUUUGAGUUUCAAGUGUUUAUUCUGAGACUUGAUUCUUUUCAUGUUGUCUUAUGUUGGAGCACUCUCCGCUUUUGUUAAAGCAGAUGAUCAUUUUCUAUCUUUUUGGUUGUUCUAUUUAAAUAAAGUUUUUGAAAUUCCUUUGAGUUGAGUCCCUAUAGGGCAAUUUGGUUAUUAAAUAAAUAGAAAGUUUUUGGGGUGUGUCACAAGCGCCCGCGACAAAGAGUAAAACCUGCGACCAUUGUAUGAGCGCUAAUGGAUUUAUUCAAACGUUGUCGCAGUCCGCCUAAAACAAGAGCUCGACUGCGAUAAACAUAGUGAAUGACUACCCUUCAGCAGCCGAUCUCCACUCAUUCCACACAGCUUCAACUCUCCUCCCAUCUGAAAUCCUCCUAUUCCUCUCAAUUUCCUCCAUCGAUUUUCUCCUCUUCUCUUCUCCAAUUUUGUCACCCCGACUUCCACCCUUUUCUCGAAAUCGCCAAUAUCAGCUUACUGUUACUAACAAGAAGCAUAAGAGUUCGAUUUUGAUAUAGUUGUGUCGGGCAAUCGCAUUGUGUUUGAGUUGAAGAAUCAGGGGGUUAAACCUGUAGGUCCACUUCAUUCCUUCAUGGGAUACUACAUAAGUGAGUGUACAAGAAAUUAUGCUUACUACCCGGUCUCUCCAAUCGAAUGGAAGAAGUUGUCGCCCCAAUUGAAGACACGGGCUUGGGAGCAGUUUGUGCUAGUAAGUAUUAUUUUAGUUUUUUUAAUUAGAUAUAUUUUUGUAGUUAAAAUUGUAACUAGUUAGUGCUUAAUUGAUUUAUAUUAUAAACCUCUUUUCACAUUGAGGCGAAUGAGAUGGUUGAAGCUCGCAAAUAUUGGGAUCGCAAUGUUGGAAGACUGUUGGGGGAAGUCAAGGAUCACAAUUUGGCAAGCUUAGUUGAAGCAUGCACAAAUAAACCAACUCCCUCCAUAGUGGAUUAUGAAUAAUUCCUUGACAGGUUGUCCAAUGGCUGAUUGGAUAACGUACUUGUUGCGAGUUAACGACAAGUAGUUCGAGAUAGUACAUAUAUUUACAGAUUUCUAAUUGUAUUUGAUUGUAGUUUUUAAUACCGACUCAAGAACUUUUAUGUGCUUGAGUCAUAUCAAAUCAAGCCGCUCAAAUGGAAAACCAUAAAGGAGGGAGAAGGCCAUGUGAUACAUAUGUCAAGGAAACCAUUGAGAAGAUGGGUAAGCCACCUUCUCUACGCCAGAAGUUCAUAAAGUUCUUCCACUAACUAGAUGGAAGUUACAAAUCAGAACAUGGAAUACUUGUGGUGGUAAUGACUAGUUUCCAUAUAUAUAAUAGAUAUAGCUUUAAACUAGAAGACAAUAGAAUUAAUUGAACAUCUGUUAUGUAGGAGACUAUCAGCAACUAGAGCGGGAAGGAGCACCGACUGAGGUUGGGCCUAAUGACUCAUUGGCUCAAACACUAAACAAGCCAAAGCAUCGAGGCCACGUUCGGAUGAUGAGUUUGGGGUUUACCCCACAAUGGUAAUAAUGUUCAAUUUCAAAUUUGUUCUUUCUUGGGUCGUUAGUGUUUGUACCUUGUUUGGUGAUAUUUGUACUGUUUUUUCUUUAAGGUAUUUGGUGGUGCUAGCACUUGUUCAUCAUCAUCAUCAGCUCCUUCUGCCUCUGGGAAUGCAAGUGUGUCCUCAAAUGCUGCUCCUAGUGCUCCCCCUCCCUUACGAGAAGAGUUUGAUUGGAUGUCGUAGCAGAUGGCAUUGAUGUUGCAACAGUUGGCUACAAUGUAUUACAUGAUGUCGUCGGAGCUCGCCGGUGCUUUUACCUAAGUUUUGACUCCUGGGAUAGUUCCUGGUACUCCAUUCAAUCCAAGUCCUCUAUAUCUGUAUUAGGAGCCUAUGCAGCAGCAACAACCAUCUCAACAAUAGCAACAAGCUCAUGAGACCAAUCUUAUGGGUUACUUCCCAUUCUCUCAAGAAGCCAAAAAUCAGUUUCGCCUUCAUGGGAUGAUGGCGAAGCCUUUUCUUCCCUUCUUCAUACAUUAGAAAGAGUGAGUUUUAUAAUUAGUUUCUUGAAAUUUCAAUUAGAAUUCAUGUUUGUACUUACUUGUGUUUUUUAUGUUUAUAUAUAGGUCCCCAUUCCAGACACGAGGGAGCAACGAGAUGAUGAUGAUUGUUCGUAGUUGUAUUUCUAGUUAGUUCUAGCUCUCUCCCCAUCCCUAUUCCCAUAUAUUAUGUAGUAUUUGAAACUUCUAAGAUAGUUUCUUAAGAUAAUUUCUUAACGUUUGCAUAUUAAUGUUUGUUAUUGUAGUUUGGAAUUAUUACAUGAGAUGGUAAUUAUGGAAUUAUUAUGUGUUAUUAUGGAAACCUAAAAACUGCUCUAAAUUCUAAAAUUCUGCUCUAAAUUCUAGAACAUUGAAAAAGCUCUAUAACUGCAAAGGUAGAUCAAUUUGAAAGUGAUAGGUGGCACCAUACCAGAAUAGACACAUCUCCAGCAUUAUUGUAAUAGGCUAGUCGCAGGCCCUUUCUCGCAAGUGUUGACUACGAUUGGCCGGUCACUGGUAGCGCCUGUGAUAAAGCGCCUACAACCAGCCAAUCGCAGCCAACGGCUACGACAAGGCGAGCUUUGUCACAUCAAUAAUUGUCGCAUGCCUAUUUCUAUUUGUCGCAUGCACUGUAUGUAACCAUCCUUCUAUUUUAUGGCAGGCUGGCCUGCGACAUUGUUUUGUUUUUGCUUGUGACUGUUUUCCCUUUUUAUUGCAGUGUAAGUUAUACACUUUCAUGCAUUAUUACGUGUUGAAGAUGGAUUCUAACGUGAUUUUGAAAGCUCCUAGACCGAAACGAGUGACCAUUUAGUUUGAUUCUUUUAGUAAUGUGUAAAUGAAAAGUCUACAUGCUAAAUAUAAAUUCAUAAAUUUGUUCUCAAUAAUAAAAAGUUUACUAGUUAAGAAUAGUUGAAAUAUUGAUGGACGAUGUUAAGUUCAUCCUUCCAUAAAUUUAAUUCACAAACUUAAAAUGAUUCGUAAGUGAAAUGUUAGUAUUAAGACGUUCACAGAUGAAAACAACAAAGAUUGAACAUCAAACUGUAAAGAUAAAAAUAAACUGUAUCUCAUAUUAUUUGGAAUUAAGNNNNNNNNNNNNNNNNNNNNNNNNNNNNNNNNNNNNNNNNNNNNNNNNNNNNNNNNNNNNNNNNNNNNNNNNNNNNNNNNNNNNNNNNNNNNNNNNNNNNNNNNNNNNNNNNNNNNNNNNNNNNNNNNNNNNNNNNNNNNNNNNNNNNNNNNNNNNNNNNNNNNNNUAAUAUAAUACUCAUAAGUGGACAUAACAUAGACAUAAUCCACCUAUAAAGUGGACACAAUGAUUAUAUAUAUAAUUUUAUCAUAAUAUGAACAUAACAGUGACAUAAUUUACUUAUAAAUGUAACAUAAUAGUGAAUUAACAUACUCAUAAGGUGAAUAUAAUAGGGACAUAAAAUGUUCGUAAACCAAGCCUAAAAGAUGCCUAAUAAACUUAUAACUUAGACAUAACAUAGGCAUAAAAGAAUUGCAGUAGUACUGAUAUUUAGGUUAUGUAGCAUAAUAGCCUAAAACAAGUGGUCUACUCAAAACACUAAAAAUUGAUAUAUAAUCGUAAUAUAAUUGUUCUAUGACAGUUAUCCGUUAUUAACAUAGAAGUUGUACAAACAUAUUGUGACACCUUGAUUUUGGGUUGAGUAUGAUUCUAGGAUAGUAUUGGUUUUUGUGAGUCGGUGAGAAUCACUGUCAGACGGUCCGUCACGGGCGUAUCGGACAGUCUCUCAUAGGCGUGAUCAUCAGGUAGAUCAUGAUCGUGGUCAAUGAUAGUCACGAACGUGGCAGCCGGAGGAUGACGGCCGUGACCAUCAGUAGGUCAUGGACGUGGUUUCCAUGUCACAACGGGUGAGGUAAGCAGUACGCCAUGGGUGUGGUGGACAACUUAUGAAACCUAAUUUUCUUCUUCCUUGCAAACUUCUGACGAGCGACGAUUGUUCCAGGCACAGGGGAAAGUCUUGUUGAUCGAUCCAGACCAGUAGGAGAGGCCUAGAGAUCAUCGAGGAAGCUUUAGGAGGUAAUCUACCUUCUUCCUCGUUCGUCAAUCCUUUUCUUUGAAUCCCAUGUAGGAAAAUCCUGACAGGUUUGGAUUUGGAGUUUUGGGAUUUCAAUUUUAUGAUUGUUCCCUUCAGGUUAUAUGGAUUAGGCAAGCAAACUCUAGGUUUCAGAUCAUACUCUUCAGAGGAAAGCUUUCAGAGGUAGGGGUUAGGAUUACUUUUCUGCUUUAUGCGAAGAAUUGUAAUUAGUUGUCAGGAAUCCUUGUUUGGAUUUUCAGAAUUGUACAAUAGUGUGCGAUCUACUGUAUAGAAAGAUUUGUUAUGCAGUUUAGAGUUUCGGGUUGUACAAUAGCGUGUGAUCUACUGCAUAGGCAGAUGGUUAUGAUUCGAGCAUAAGCUCACAACGAGAAACUAUGCAUUUAUACAGUUCAUGUUAGGAUUAAGAAUCAGAACUAGAAUAUACUAGCUCACGAUAUACGUUGGUCACCCACCCUAUAGAUUGUGCGAUCCCCGAGGCUACAUUUACUUUCAGGUAGGACUUGACGAUAAUGCCUUCAGUUGCUGCUCUCACGGUCUGAUCCACCAUGAGGUCAUCCGCUCAUAGCUAGGGGUGGCUAAUGUUAGGAUAAUACCUAGAGGACCACAUGGUCACAUUACUAGAUACUAGUUCAGUUUUUCAUGUUCAGGGUCAGCUGCUCAGUGCUUAUCACUGACCUUGUUACAUUUCAUUAUACAUGAUCAACCUUGGGACUUCAGGAGCCAAUGCCGCUUAAGAAAGGAGCAUGAGUAGUGACACCACCUCGCAGUGAGUCUGGGAGUCACACAGAGAGGUACCAUCGAGUACCUCAGCUGUCUCUUUCAGUGUUUUCAUAGUUUUAAGACAGUCUUUCAUGUUUUUUCAGUUGUUUGUGAGACUUAUUUUACAGUGGUUGUUUUCCCAGGUUUGGGAUGUCUUUUAGUGAUGUUCAUUUUUGAAUUCGAGCCAUGAUGCUCUGUUUAUUUUUUGCUGUCGUUUUACUUAAGUAUUGAGGAUUUUCAGUUCAGUUAAUGUAUGUCAGUUGUUAUGAUAUAAGUUUGAGUGAACCCAUGAGCAAUGCAUGGAUAGAACCGUGUGGUUUGAUCGAGUCAUCUAGGGGUGGGUUUCACACAUAUUAGUUAUAUUAUGUGACAUUAUAAUAAAUAAUAAAGGGAAUAUUGUCAUUUACCCUCUUUUACUUCACCCAACUCGCAUUAAGCCCUCUAUACAAUUCAAUGUUCCAUUAACCCCUACACAUUGCCCACUUUACCAUUCGUCUCCUUCCGUUACGCUUUCCAUAUGUACACCGUUAAAACCAUACAACUCAACAUGCCAUGUAAGUUUUUCGGCACCACAUCAGCGUUUAAUUCCUUUAACAAUUCAUGAAAUAUAAAAAAUUCCAGACACCCUUCUUUCUUCACUCUUCUCCACUCGACCCCCAACCUUUCUCACAUCCGAUGCAGCCGAACUUCGCCCCGAGGGUGAACACAAGGAGAGGAGGGUUGCUAGAUUUUGGGUGUUGUUUUUGCACUCAAAUCCGAUUCAAAAGAAAUAUUGGCCACACUGGAAAAAAGUUAUGGUUUGAUCAUCCUCUAAACAUUCGUAGCAGUGUAAUUCAAGGUCUUAAAUUGGCUACCACUACCAAUUGGAAAGUGAGCAAGCCAAUUUGUAGCGAACACCAAGUGUUCAACAAAAUUCUUAGAUGCUAAAAGACUCUUACUGGCAUCACAAACACUUGACAAGGGUGCUAAGUCACUAUUUGACACCCCCUAACAUUCCAAUCACCUAAAUUGUCACUACCUAAGUGAUUACCAAAAUGCACUCAAGGUGUUAGAUAAAAUGCCACUAAGAGAAUCCUCACACUAAUGGUUGAAUUGGGGUGUGUGCUUGGUCCACACACCCUUACCCCAAUCUUGGACUACACACUUACUCAAGUCAAGCACAAUUAAGUAAUUGAAAGAGUACAUUUGACCUAGAACAAGCCAUAGCACAUUCUAAGUUGCAAUAACCAUAGUCCAACCAUUCUCAAAUACCAUAAUCCAUAUCUAACAUGUAUCCAAAUCCUCGUCAUGAGGGGAUCAUCCUAGUACAUAGCAAUACCCUAAUCUAACAACUAAAGAGUCUAGCCACUCAUCAUGACACUAAAACUAAAGAAAAGGGAUACAAUCACCAUCAAUCAACUAGUAUGAAGAAGAUGAUGAGGGUAGGAUCCUUCCUCAAAGCUCUACUAUUCCAAUUCCUUCAAUCCUUGGUCUUCUCUAGCUCCGAAGCUUCUUCAAGGUCUUCAAUUGAUCUUCUAAGGCUUCAAAUUGGGUGAAAAUCGAGAGAGGAGUCGGGUCUCAACAAUUGUUAUGACUGUAGUGUGAAUUGUUCGUCCAAUCUCCAUGGACCAUAUGCCAUGUGGACCAACACGGGCUCCAGAUGCCAUGUGGCCUAAUUUCCAGCUUAGGACUUUGUUCUUUGAUCGCACAUAUCUCCCUCGUCCGACCUCCGUUUGAGCUCUGGUUGGUCUCAUUGGAAUUUUCUCGUUGUUCUUUAUGCAUCGGAUACCUACAGCCUCAUAUAUACAAUGAGAAACGAGGUCGAACGGACCAAAAUGAUCCAUUUGACAAAAUGAAACAAGAACCCCUUUUUUUCUUCCAACCAAUCACAAAGGAGGGUCAAAACUAGGUCAAACAAGGUAAAAAACAGUCAAGAUGUGGUCAAAUUGGCAACAAAUAAUCGUGCUAUCACAUCCCCCCACACUUGAACGUUGCUUUUCCUCAAGCAAAUCUACUAAUCACACUCAAAGAGAACUCGAAACAGGGUGAAAAGAAAAUAUUUCCUAGCAUUUCAAGCCUAUUUCACGAUGCCAAGAUUGCAAGUCAAUCACCAAACCACUCAAUUAUGUAUAAGACAUUGAAUCCCUUAAAAAAUUUCACACCAAACUCUAAUAUAUAGAUAUUAUGAUUAGAUACCUAAACAAGCGAAUGUACUAAAGUUUCUCCAAUGCACUUAUGUCAUAUGGUACUAGCGGAAGAAAUGGACAGACAGACGGUCCUGGCUGGGUAUUUUUCCCGUCUUGAGGGAGGGGAUGCCUGAUCUAACAUAAACAUAACUAUCACCAAGUAUACUAGCAUCUCCCUCUUCUUUUACUCUACUUUGCUUUCUUUUGUAUUUAGUUUUCAACUAUCUUUUCUCCCUCUUUUUUUUCACAUGGAUGCUUUUUCCAAAUGAGGUGGUUGUGAUUCCAAUUAGGCUCAGAUCCGGUGAAUACCGGGCACCAGUACCGCAAUCCACACAUCGAAGGGUUGAGAAGAGGAGCCCGAGGUGUUGAGCAUACGAGUGGCAGAUCGAAAUCUACCUUGCGUGUUUGAAUCACAACCUUCCUCCAUAUCAUUCUUAAGCACAUUGGCCUCCUGUCCAUUUUGACUUCAUAAUACCAUAGACAAGUUCAAAAAGGAGAAUCAAUCAUACAUAUCGAGCAAGUAAAGGUGAAAACUCAAAACAUCCAUAUGUGCGAGUUUGAAGCAAACUAAUUUCAGGAAAAUGGGAGGUAGUCCACAAAUGAUUACUCAACAACCUAUUCGUCCUCAAGUAGUAUGAAUAAACUAGGUAUGCAUCCAAAGAGAUUCACAUAUUCAAAUUUGAGAGGGAGUAUCAAAAUUCAAGAGCAAGUCAGAAAAAAUGCUACCAAGAUAUGCACAAAAAUUCUCAAACCCGAAUAGUAUAAAAAAAUCCUCCCCCCCCCCACACUUGUACAACACAUUGUCCUCAAUGUGAAAAGAUAUAAGGGGAAGAGGGGUACCAAACGGGGGUGAGGAGUGAAGCCGGAUGAGAAGAUGAAGGAUCAAGAUCGAGUACCUAGAGUUUCACAAAAGGCAAGAACAAAAAAAAAACAAAAAAAAAACGCAGAAACAAACACGAAUAAUGGUCGAGUCAAGAGAAAAGAAGAUAUCUCAAGGCCGUCGAGGAGCUGUCUCAACAAGAAUCCAAUCCACUUAGGCAAGAGUAUACAAGAAUGUGCACAAGUAGAUAUGGAAGAGGCAAGAUGCAUAAGAUAUGCAUAACCAAUAAAGAAGAUAACUAGUUAUUCUCAACCAAGACUAACUAGCAAUCCUAAACAAGAGCAUCCUAUAAUCCAUAAAUGAGUAAGACAAGGGUGAGAAAAAGCUAUGGAACCAUCUCAACUCAUUUAGAAUCAAUUCCAGAAAGUUAUCAUCACAAACGUGUACCAAGUCCAAUCAACAAGAAUGAGCAUAAAGAGUGUAUGCAAAGCAUCAAGUGAACAAAGUAUGCAUCAUUCAACUAUAAUCAAUUUGAGAGCUCAAUGGACUACUAGUAUGCAUCAUUCUUCUUUGACUCAUUAACCAAAACAAUGAGCACAUAUGGAUAAUCAAAAGUAGUGGCAUGAUCAAAAUUCAAGCAUUAGAAGCAAUGAGCAAAGUCACAAUCAUCAAUUCAAUAAUUGGACGCAUCAAAUUCACCUAGCAACAACCUAGGUUCAACCAUACAAGGGAGCACAAAGAUGCAAUUCCAAAUUCUCAUCGCAAGAAUUCAACAACCCACAUAAUUCUUGUUCAAAAAUAUCAUAUUGGCAAAGCUAGACAUUCAAGUAGGCACAACCAUCUGAAACUGGCAAUUGCAAUGUUCAAAUUAGCACAAAAGCAUCAUUUGACCAAAUUUGACCACAAUUCAAACUUUCCACACACUCCAUCAAUCAAACCAGAGCAAACAGAACACAGACGACACAGAUUCAGGCCACAUCAUCAACCAAAAAGUCGUAGGCAGUCAAACGAGCUUUCCAACGCCGCUGGUCUUGCGAAAAACAAACGCUCGAGCAAGAAGUUAUGCUCAAAAUACCGAACCACAGCAUUUUUUCGCACAAGGCGACCAAUCAACGGAGGGUCAACGUCCGGUGAACCGGUCUGGUCAAACUCAGGUUGGUUCGGUUUGAAAAUCGGUUAAACAAUGCACCCCCUUCUUUGAAUAGUGCAUCUUGGCACAUUUUUAACACAAUCGAGCACGUUUCGGAGCUGGAAAUUCAAGUUUUUUUUUAGAAAACCCAUUGGAACUGUAGAUUUUGCAUAAAAAGUACGCUUUAGCCUUUUGUUUCCAAAAUCAAGCAAAUUUUAGGAUCUGAAAGUUCAAUUUUUUCAGAAAACCCGUAGGAAGUGUAGAUUUUUCAUAAAAGUAAGUCUGAGCAUAUUUUUUAGUAAAACAACCAUUUUUUAGCUCUCGAAAAUAUAAAAAUUUCAAGACUGCUUUUUUUCUUUUUCCUAAUGCAACGAAACUUCCUGCUAGCCUUAGGCACACUAAGAUAAGAUCAAGCAAAUCUCCAAACACUCGUUCUCUCGUCCCGGUCAUCACAAGAACACAAGAAACAAAAACACAAACAAAACACGACAAACACACAAUCAUGCAAGUUUUAUUCAAUUUUCCUACUCCUAAGCUACACUAUUCAUGACGAGACACCUAUGGUAUCACCAACUUGGUAAUGUUCAAGAUGCAUCCCACAAAGUAGAAGAGGGUCAAGAUGAGUAGAGGAGGUUACCUCGAUCUUGGAAGGAACGAACUUUUGUUACCAUAAAGGGGCCGGAGAUGAGGACUCUAUCGCCCUCUUUGAGUGCUUGUUUGGUGGGGAGGUGCAAAUCAUGGAGUUGCUUGAUCGCUUUCUUGCAACUCCCAUCCUUGACCUUGUGGACACUUUUUUGGUGAGAAGAAGGAUUCUUGGGCUCAAGGUCUGGUGGUUCUUCAUGCAUGUUCCUCGCCUUAGCAUGCACUCCCUUGAUCGAGAUAGCUUCGGUUUCCUUAUUAUACUAUUUCACACACUCGCUCAAGGAUGGAUCCAAGGCUUCAUGAUGAAGAGAUACAUUAAUAGCAUAAACUAAAGCCAUUUCAACGGGCUCGCCAAUAUCAUUAUCAUCUUGAGGAUCCGGGUGCUCCAUACCCCCGAUCAAUUGAAAUGUGGCUUCCUUUUGACCCACUCUCAAGGUAAGCUUACCCUCAAACACAUCUAUGAUUUCCUUCGACGUGUUGAGAAAUGGACGACCCAAAAUCAAUGAAACGUCGGUGUCUCCGGUGUCAAUCACAACAAAAUCCACCGGAAACAUGAACCUUCCAACAUGCAUAAUAACAUCUUCAACUACACCACUAAGCAAUUUUGUAGUUUUUUCCGCUAGUUGGAUGCACAUCUUAGUUGUUGUAAGUUGACCUAGGCCUAGUUUCUUGUACAAUGAAUAUGUCAUGACAUAUAUACUAGCACCUAGAUCUGCUAAACCUCUUUCAAUCACAACUUGACUAAUCAUGGAAGGGAGAAAGAAACUACCCAGAUCUUUGCGUUUGCAAGGGAGGUCCCUUGAGAGGAUUGUCGAGCAUUGCUCAUUGAGAUUGAUGUUGGAAGCUUCUAUGAGCCUUCGCUUGUUGGUGAAGAUCUCCCUUAGGAACUUGGCGUAUUGAGGCAUCCUUUCGAUUGCCUCGACGAAAAGAACGGUGAAGUUCAUAUUGCAAAGUCGAAGCACAAGUUGCUUUAAGCUCUUCUCGAGAAGAUCCUUAUCCAAUUGGUUGGGAUAAGGUGGCUUAGGGUUGUAUGGAGCCGACUGGGGCUAGGAGAUAGGAGAAGCCUCAGUUGAACUCUUCGUAGCCUUCUUGGAACCAACUUCAGUUGACACCUUUGGCUUUCCAUUACUCUUUGGAGCUUUCGGAACUAAUGCAUGCGGAACCGGUGCACUUUCUUCGACCAUCACUUCAUUCUCUUAAUCACUAGAUGCUUCAUUUUUCAUUAACAUCUUUCACAAGAAAUUCAUUAUCAUGCACAAGCUUGCUAGGUACAUCGAUAGGAGGAUCGAUUAAAUUUAGGAGUUGUGGACACAUAGUGUCUCAUGCUCCUAGUUGUGAUAGAUCCACAAGUUUCCUUGCUCUUUGGAUUGGUUAUGAUAUUUCUAGGUAGAGUGCACGGUUGCCGACUUGAAAGAGCGUGUGUGAGGUAUCCAACUUGAUUCUUAAGAUCCACCAUUUGAGCUUGAGUUGAGGCAUUGUGGGUGUCUUGAAAUGCUCUUUGCUCUUGAGUCACCUUGUUGUGCUCUUGGAAGAACUUAGCUUGAUUCUCAAUCAUUUGGUUUCCUCCAUUGAAGCUCCCUUGAACAUAAUCAACUUCUUUAAUGAAGUGCUCUUCCUCCGGUGCGAAAUCGGGAGCAAGGGAUUGGCAAGUAGAGGUGGCAUGCCCUUCGUUCCCAUAACAUUCACAAACAAAGAGUUGCACAACCAGUUGAUUCACCUUUGGUUCUUGUACCUCUUUCUUUUGAGGUGGAGUGGCGGUUGGUCUCACCACCGGUUGAGCCAAGGCAAGUGCUUUGAUUUGAGCCGCCAUGCCAUCCAUCCUUGAUAGCAUCAAGUGAACAAGAUGGUUGGGAUCUUCCUCCUUAUGUCCCGGCAUCUCCUUAAGGACCUUUGGAGCUUGAGUGCGAGUACAAACAUAAGGAUCUAUGCUCACCACCUUAGCUUCUAUAGGACCUUGUUGCCUAGACCAACUCUUCAUCUUCACCGCCAUUUCCCGGAAGACUUGAAGCCAUCAUUUGGCGAGGAGUGAUCUCAAGUCUCCUCCCGCCGCUUGAUUGGUCAUCUUGGUGUCCUCAUAAGUGAGUCCUCAUAAGUGAGUCCUCUAGCAAAGGUCUCCGCGAGUUUCCACUCAUUGAAGUUGAAGUUGUGAUGAGGGCAAGAGUAGAGAAGGGCUUGGGACCUCUCCCAAGCUUCAAAGAAUGGCUCUCCAUUAAUUUUCUCAAAGUUGGAGAUUCUACUUUGGAUCUCAUCCGUCUUGUAAGGCAGGAAGAAUUCCUCCAAGAAGGCCUUUGCUAGAUUGUCCCAAGCUUGGAAGGUAUUGUUUCGUUGGUUGUCGAGCCAUUGAUUUGCCUUCCAUUGGAGUGAGAAGGGAAGAGUCGGAGUUGAAUGGCUUCUUGCGACACAUGAUUGAACUUCAUUAGAUCCAUGAUCUCGAGAUAGCUACUUGGACAUUCGUGCUCGUGCCCAUGGUAUACGUUUUGUUGCACCAUUUGAAUGUAGUUGAACUUCAACUCGAAGUUCCGGUUAUCAAUAAGGGGUGGAGCACACUUGAAGAAGUACCUUCAAGAGUUGGCUUAGGUAAUCACCUAGAGUUCUUUGAGGUUCUUGAGCCAUCUCAAAGAUGUUAACAAAUUCAUCAGCCUCUCCUUUGCAAGAUGAAACAAUUGAUGAGUGAUCCAGGGUUGUUAAAGAAGUUGCGAUGUGAGGUGGUGGUGGUGCUUGAGGUGGAGAUGAGAUGAAUCUCUUUGGUAGACGCCUUGUACGCUUCAAUCUUCUCAUGCACUAAUAGUGCAUGAACGGAACCUACACAACAAAGCAAACAACCAAGGGAACACAACAAAGGAAUAAACACACAAGAAGGGGGUAGCAAUAAGUAAAAUGGAUUAGGUAGAAUGCCUAAAUCGGUGUCUAAUCUACUCUUUCAAGGGGGUGAUUACACUCCCCAACAAUGGCGCGAUUUUGAUCCUCUAAAAAAGAACCAAACAAACAUGAUCGGCUAAGAAAAGGGACUAAUCCCAAACCCAAGGUCUCAAGUGACAAUUUUCACGAGGAACAGACCACCAACCCUAUACUCAACUAUUAAAGACACGGUUUAAGCUCACAAAAGUUCAAAAUGCUAGUUCCUUAAAUUAUCCACUAAAGUACAUAUCAUUCACAAGAGUAAUUGGAACUAAAUUAAGCUAACGAACUAAGCAAACAAGAUACUAAAGAGGGUGAACACAAGGAGAGGAGGGUUGCUAGAUUUCGGGUGUUGUUUUUGCACUCAAAUCCGAUUCAAAAGAAAUAUUGGCCACACUGGAAAAAAGUUAUGGUUUGACCAUCCUCUAAACAUUCGUAGCAGUGUAAUUCAAGGUCUUAAAUUGGACUACCACUACCAAUUGGCAAGUGAGCAAGCCAAUUGGUAGUGAACACCAAGUGUUCAACAAAAUUCUUAGAUGCUAAAAGACUUACUGGCAUCACAAACACUUGACAAGGGUGCUAAGUCACUAUUUGACACCCCCUAACAUUCCAAUCGCCUAAAUUGUCACUACCUAAGUGAUUACCAAAAUGCACUCAAGGUGUUCGAUAAAAUGCCACUAAGAGAAUCCUCACACUAAAGGUUGAAUUGGGGUGUGUGCUUGGUCCACACACCCUUAAUCCAAUCUUGGACUACACACUUACUCAAGUCAAGCACAAUUAAGUAAUUGAAAGAGUGCAUUUGACCUAGAACAAGCCAUAGCACAUUCUAAGUUGCAAUAACCAUAGUCCAACCAUUCUCAAAUACCAUAAUCCAUAUCCAACAUGUAUCCAAACUCUCAUCAUGAGGGGAUCAUCCUAGUACAUAGCAAUACCCUAAUCUAACAACUAAAGAGUCUAGCCACUCAUCAUGACACUAAAACUAAAGAAAAGGGAUACAAUCACCAUCAAACAACUAGAAUGAAGAAGAUGAUGAGGGUAGGAUCCUUCCUCCAAGCUCUACUAUUACAAUUCCUUCAAUCCUUGGUCUUCUCUAGCUCCCAAGCUUCUUCAAGGUCUUCAAUUGACCUUUUAAGGCUUCAAAUUGGGGGAAAAUCGAGAGAGGAGUCAUAUCAUCAUACAUCUUAAUAUUAUCUCUAAUUGGGACCACCUCAAUAUUAUCUGCAACAAUCUCAUCCUCAGUGUCAACCUCUAUGGCAAGUAGCUGUUGUAACUCCGUUUCUGAAGAUGAUGCAACCACUCCACUAGAGGAGGCAUCACAAUGAACAGCAAACCUACAUGAACAAACUCUAUACGAUUGAGGUUACCAAACAAAUCACCCCACACUUAUCUUUUGCAUAAACCAAUAUGCAUUAAUCAAGCUGUAGAAAAAGAGAAGAGUGGGCUUAGAAGCAACUAUUGAACAUCUCAUCCAAAUAGGAAAUCUGUCAUAAUAAAGAAUACUCAACAUCAUUAAGGCAAUCCACGUAAGGUUUAGGGCACUUAGAAACUAUCCACAAAGUCACACAAACAAUGUAAGACAUGUAAAAUUUCAUAAAUUCUUAACCCAGAAAAAUACCGAGCAAAACUCAACAUUCCUAUGACACCUAAUCAUAUAAUUUCAAAGUGCAAAGGAUGUCAUUAACAUCCUAUAUCAUACCCAAUUGAAUUCUAGCAUCAUCAAUUUCACAAAACCUCAUAUUUGAAAUUUCAAGUUCUUCAAGCUAAUCAUCAAUCUCAACAAUUUAACCAAUCAGGGCAAAGUGAACAAGGAGAAACUGGGCAAAAUUCAAUGUAAACUAGCUCAAAACUCACUCAAAGUUGAUGAAAAACGAAGGGGGGAGAUUGGGGGAGGGUUCGGCGGUGACCGACAACGGUUCUAUGGUGACAGGAGUGCGGAGUUUUGAAUGACGGCAAAGGGGUAGGAGGGUGGAGUCGGCGUCAGUGGAAUGUUUGAAAAAAAUAUGGUUCAAAAAUCGGCUAAGGCUAGAAUAUUUAGAAACCCGUGUCAACUAUUGCAUUGUAGAAGUGUCAAAAAUGCGGUAUGGACAUAGCGCAAUGUUUGACAAAUCAUAGCGCAAUGAUUGAAAGGAUUUCCAGAACUCAAUGUCAACAUUUUUUCUAUAGAUGGUCAAUUAUUGCGCUAUGGGCAUAGCACAAUGCUUGACACAGAUCCAUAGCACAAAGGUUGACAUCCUAUUAUGUGAACUUCCAUAGUUCAUGAAAGAAUCAACACUCUUUGCAUUGACGACUGGGGACAAGAAUGACACUCAAGUAUCACGUUCUAGACUCGAUCUAACUCCUACACAUGCAAAUUGACUCAAAGAAUAUGAAAAAUACUGACUCCAGACAUGGGCUUCCUUCCAUGAAGCGCUCUUUCUUUAACGUCUUUGAGCUAGAUGAUACAAGGACCUCAAUUUAGCAUCUUCAAAGUAAUGAACUUUUACUCCAUCGGUAGGCUUGGUACUGAGAUAUAGCUUGAGACGUUGACCGCUGAAUUUAAUGUUCCUUGGUCCGGAUGUGUGAUCUCCACAAAUCGGUAGGGAAAUGAUUGUGUGACUUCAUAAGGUCCCGACCAUCUUGAUUGUAAUUUUCCCAAAAAUAGUCAGAGCUGGGAGUUGUAGAGCAGCACCUUAUCUCCCUACUUGAAUUCUUUGACCCCUUGAAUAUUAGCAUCGUCGAUUCGUUUCAUCCUUUCCUUAUAUAUACAUGAGCUCUCGUAAGUAUGAAACAUGUGCUCCUCUAGCUCAAGGAGCUAAUAUUUGCAUUCUGAAGCUACGAGACUAUCAUCCAUGUUUAGCAGCUUCAUGGCCCACCAUGCAUUAUGCUCAAGCUCGACCGGUAAAUGAUAAGCCUUUCCAUAAACGAAUCGAUACGGGAAAGUGUAGAUAGGGAUCUUGAAGGCGGUUCGGUAAGCCCAUAGAGCUUCAUCGAGCCAAAUCGACCUGUCCUUAUGAGACUGAUCGACUGUGCUAUCAAGAAUCUGCUUAAGCUCACGAUUCUUCACCUCCACUUGACCGCUUGCAUGUGGAUGGUAAGCGGUCAUCAAUCAAGGAGCUAUGCUAAAUGUUUGGCAAACUCAAUAGAAUUGACCCUGAAAGUGAGUGACUUUAUCGCUAAUGAUAGCAUGAAGGCCGCUGAAACGCAUGAAAACGCAUGUAAUAAACUUUCCCACUGUCAGAACAUAGUUAGUAGACAGCGGUUGCGCCUCUGCCCACUUUGAGACAUAAUCCACUUUGAAAUGUUACAUGUACGUUGGCAGUUGAUUUUGGGCUUUAAUCUGAAUUCUGUGAAUUUUGGAAAUUGGCUGAUCAAUGGACAGUCACAGGCAUGACAGUCAGUCUAUCACGGGAAAGGUUGUCAGACAGACCACGACCGUUGUCAGCAAACAUUCAUGGGCGUGACCACUGGAAGAUCAAGGGCUUGACCAUCAGGAGGUCAUGGUUGUGACCAUCAGUAGGUCACGGGCAUGGUUUCUAUGUGGCCACGGGUAUGGUGGUAAGUUGGACAUGGGCGUGGUGGACUUAUUAUAUAAGGACAGUUGCAACUUACAACUCAGAAUUACUGAAACCUAAGAACUUUGAAUCCCUCUGCAAAUGGCAAUCAAUUUCAGGAGAUGGAGAAAUCCCAUUUGAUCUAAUCCCAAAUCAUUAGGAAAGGUCUAGAAAUCGUUGAGGAUGCUUCCAAAGCUACUCAAUCUUCUUCCUCCUUUCUCAAUCCUUGAUUGGAAAUCCUACGUAGGAAAUUCCUGACACAUUAGGAUUUGGGGUUUUCAGAUUUCAAUCCUAUGAAUUAAUCUCUACGGGUCAGACAGAACAUGAGGCUUGAUCUUGGGAAGGUAGCUUCAUAUUAGACUCUACUAGGAAAGCUAAUCAGAGGUGGGGGGUUAGGAUUUCUUUUCUGCUUUAAGUGUAGAACUGUAAUUAGGAUUGUCAGGAAUCCGAUUAUUAGAUUCUCAGACUGUGUAGUAGCAUAUGAUUUAUUGUACAUGUGUUGUGAUUUGAAGGGCUCUCAAGACUGUGCAAUAGCGUGUGAUCUACUGUACAUGUAUUACGAUUUUUAGAGCCAAGCUCUUAGUAUUGUGCAGUAACGUGUGAUCUACUGUACAUGGGUUGUGAAACAGAGCCAGGCUCUCAGACUAUGUAGUAGCGUGUAAUCUACUGUACAUGCAGUUGUUUAAUUUCGAGCAUAAGCUCAUGGUGAUUAAACUAUGCUUGUGAUUCACAGUUCAUGUUAGGACAGGAUCAUGUUUAGCUAGAUUAGCUCUCGAUAUGCAUUGGUCACCCGCCCAUGGAUUGCGCAAUCCCUUAGGUCAUGUUCAGGCUCAUGUUGGACGUGUCGAGUAUGCCUAUAGAUGCUGCUCACACGGUUUUCAGGAUGGUUUCAUAGUUUGAUCCACCAUGAGGCUAUCUACCAUAGCUAGGGGUGGUUGUUGUCAAGAUGAUGCCUACAACCUGUGAGUAAUGCAUGGGUCGAACCAUGUAGUUCGAUUGGGUCUUCUAGGGGCGUGUUUCACGGUAAUCUUCUAUAUAUGUCCCGAAAGCAAGGAUGGUGGCUAUCUCGGUAAACCACUAGCGCUUGUAGAGGUGAUGAUCCGAGACUUCCUUUGCUUCUUCCAAGAGAAAUAAUUGAUCAUCCAGAAAGAGCUCAUUUAUCUCUGCUUCAGCGAAUCGACCCAGAGAAGGCCCUUCAAGGUGCGAUAGGUGGUUAGCUGCAACGUUCUCUGAUCUCGCCUUGCCCUUAAUAGUCAUGUCAAACUCUUGAAGGAGUAGCACCUAGUGAAUCAAUCUCAAGUUCCCAUCCUGUUUAGCUAUAAGAUACUUAAGAGCAAAAUGGUCGCCGGAAUCUGGGCAGAGGUCGCCAGCGGUAACGGCCUCACUAGAGAAGAAGGGUGACCUCCCCACAAUCAUGAGGAGUUCAGUGACCAGAUCUGCAAAGUCUGAAAGAUAAGUUGCUGUUGUGCAUUUGAAUAUUCUAAAGUCUAGCUUCCGUAGCUCUGAAGUUUUGGAUGGUUUACAGUUAUGGACCUUGGUCAGAUUUUUUAUCAUUUGGAAGUUCUAGAUCAGUUAGUGUAAUGGAGGUCAUUAGAGGACUAGAGUAACAUUUAUGUCCUUAAAAUUUUCAGAUUAUUGCAAAUAAGUAAAUGGAGAAGAACUCGGUCGUUUGAGCUCCAAAUGACGCACGGUUAGAACUUACGGAUUUAUGGCAACGAGAGAAAUCAUGCCAAGUUAGGAUCAAAGGUGUCAGAUCUUCUUAACAGGUGGGGGUUUAGGAUUACAUUCUGCUUAUAAGCUUAGAACUAUAAUAGGAUGUUAGGGAAUCCGAUUAUUGGAUUCUUCAUGUGAUUCAGAGCAAGGGCUCUCAGGAUUGUACAAUAGCGUGUGAUCUACUGUAUAAAUGUUGUGAUGUGAUUCGGAGCAAGUGCUCUCGGACUAUAUAGUAGCGCAUAAUCUACUCUAUAGAUGUUGUGAUGUGCUUUGGAGUGUGGGCUCUUAGGCUGUACAAUAGCGUGUGAUCUACAGUAGAGGCAAUUAUUAUAAUUCGAGCAUAAGCUCUUGGCGUUUGGACUGUGGCAUGUGAUUCACAGUUCAUGUUAGGAUAGGAUAGGCCUAGAUAGACUAGGUCACAAUUAUGAUACGUCGGGCACCCACCCAUGGAUUGCACAAUCCCCCAUGUUAUAAUCGGGCUCAGGCAGGACGUGUUGAGUAUGCAUACUGAUGCUGCUCAUACGGUAUUCAGAGUGGUUUUAUGGUCUGAUCUACCGUGAGGUCAUCCACAUAGCUAGGGGUGGCUGAUGUUAUGUUGAUGCCUACUGGACCAGAUGGUCACAUUACUAGAGUAGUGACUACAUAGAAUUCCAUGUUCUAUUCUUAGUACAGGUCAGUUUCAAUCUCAGUUCUACGCGAGUCCAGAUAGCCACUUAGUGUUUAUCACUAACUCUAUUAGAUAUUAUUUUCUCUGGUGUAUAUGUGUGUUCGGUCACAAGAACUGGAGCUGAUGGUGGGGAGAGAGCUAGUCGGAGUUUUGAUAUCACAUGAUAUAUGUUUUGAUGUAUUUUCAGUACUAGAGUUGCAUCUCCUUUUAUCAUGUUGUGAUUUGGGAUCCGAGAUCCUUGUUGGUCAAUUUUAUCAAAGUAUUUCGGUUCAACUUUUAAUGCUUGUUUUUGCUCAUUUAUUAGUAGUAGAGAGUAGAGGUUGGUUCAGCUUGGAACCCGAUAAGAUUUCUUGAUUGAACCAGUGGUUCGACCAAAACUCUUAGGGUGGGGUUUCAGAGAAAAUGUGAUAGUGAAAUAUACAUUUCCCAAAAAAAUUCAUCUUCCCACCGAUAAGUUUUGGCUAUUUUCGUAUUUUCAUAAUUACCUUUAUUUUAGAUUGUAUGAUUCAAUUCAUUACCAAUUGUCAGAUUAUGUUGUGACAUCAUCAUUUCUAUCAAACGAACAACAUUGGCUCCAUUUAUAGGAUUUUAUCUAUUGCAUAUAAGACUAUUGGAUCCAUUUUGAUUUGUAAAAGUGGGUCCUACUUCCAUCUCAUUUUGUUUUGAAAUUUUGCAUACUUCACUUUGAAAGGCUUCUCAUUAAUGCAAUUCAAAAACAUUUGCAAAAGUGGACUUACAUGAAUAAAAUGAUCAUUUCUUAUAUAUUAUUUUAUUAGCAAAUAAUGAUAUGAGAAGGCCCAAUCCAUUGGGUCUUGAUCAGAAUGGCACAACCUAUUAAAAAUACCUAUUUUGGCAUAACAUAAUUAUAAUUUUACAAAAUAAAAUAUUUAAUUGACUUUUUAAAACUCAAUACAAAAAACUAAAAAAAUAUCAAAGUUCAUCAUAUUCUUCUCCCACCACCAUCCUAUCUCCACUAUCUUCUUAUCAUCCCCAUCAUCCAUUGCUAAACCCAACAAUUACUUUCUCUAAAUCUAUCACUUACCAAAUCCAAAAUCAUAUUCAUUUGUACACACAACCAAGUAUGCAAAUUUUAGAUAUGAUUUGUGUUGGUUUUUUAGAUCUGAUUUUGUCGAUCUCGAAGGUGAAGAUGAUUGACGACGGGGAAGGGGACUCUAAUACCCAAAUAUGCUACUGGAGAAUAAUCCAUCUUUCCAGACUAUUGCAAUUCAUACCGCUCCUUGAAUACUUACAGAGAAAGACGGCGCAUCGAGCUCAAAAGGAGAGGGUAGCGAGCAAUCGAAGGAGAGUAGAAAAAGCCGUUGCAAGCAAAAGAGAAAUCGACCACCAGAUCUCCUAGGAUUCCUCAUCUGAGGAAGCCAUCAAGAGAUUUUUUCCUAUAAGUCAGUUCAGCUACUAAAGCUACAAGUGGUGAUGAUGAAUAAGCUUCCAUAAGUGGUUCGCUGGGUAUCUCUACUUUGACCUCCUUCAUGGGAGCUCCGUCGUCGCCGCUGGCGACCCUAAAAAAGAACAUGCAUUUAAACGCGUUUACACACUAAACUAAAAAGGAGAAUGAAAGACUAUAAUUGGAAUUUCAACAACAAGAGAAAGUUAACUUCUUUUUUCUAAUCCACCGUCGGGAGGAGCAGCAGCAAGCUUCGCCCGUCUUCUUCCCUUUUGGGAUUUUUUUGAAUUAAUUAAGAAUUUUAUUAAUUAGAAGUUUAAAAUUAUAUGAUGUGGAGCCUAUAUUGAAGUCAAGUGGGAGGUACGUCAGGGGUGUUAAGUUUGACUGUUAAGUUGAUGGUCAAAUUUCAAAUAUGUGCCACAAUAAGUAUUUCUAAUAGGUUAUGCCAUUCUGGGUUUAGACCCAAUAGGUUGGGCCUCCUUAGAUCAUUAUUCAUUUUAUUAACUACAUAUAUGUUAUAAAAAUGUAUAAGUGACAAGUGGGUCUCAAAUGAUUAAAAAAUAUAAAUGAAAAAAUGGGCCACAAGUGAGAUUAUCACUUUGACUUGGAACGAGUACAAAUUUGCACUUAAAAUGAUCCUUUCCCAUCAAUAAUAUUCUCAUUUAAAUUUAAAAAUUGCCACAUAGGCUCCAUGUUACUUAACAAGUAGGGAAAAUCUCAGUGAUAAGAUGCUAUAAUAACAAAUAAUCUUGAGGCCAAAUCCAAUAACUGAGCAUGCCUUCUACAUGUCGGACUCCACCAUAUAAACACGGCCCACGUUAUAAUUGAUUCAUUAAAAAAAAGAAACAAUUUGAUGAAUUGAUGAAAGAAGCGAAAGGCAAAAGAUGGAAAUUGUCGUUUCUCUUCCUAAAACUAGGGUUUUGUUUCUCUCACUAAAAUUAGGGUAUCUCUUCGUCAUGAAGACUUCCUACACCCCCAUCGCCAUCAUGCUCAAGCACAAACCUACUCCUAUCAUCAACAAACCCAUCCCACCUACCGAUGUUGUCAUCAAAACAAGACCGACCCUUACUGCACCCAUGGCCUCCCUAUCGUUGAAGGAGAGUCAUGGCUCGGAGGACCUGACCGGAAUGACAUGGCUGACGAUUGGAUACCAGAGCUGCAGCAAUCUGGAAAGCCCCACAAAGAUUCUCCGCCGACAAAGACCAGCAGGUCAACACUAAGGAGAGGCGGUGUUCCUCCGAUCUUCGAGCUACAGGGGAGCGAGACGACUCUACCCCAUACACCAUAGUGACAUCGCCGGUGUGGACAUCCGAUCAUUCCAUUCAAAGCUCAUGAAGAUCGGCUACACUUGUGUUUGGCUUUCUUUAUUUUUGUUUAGUACUCUCUUUUUAGACAUUUGGUUGAUUUUCAGUCGUACGUUGCACUUCAUUUGUUUCCUUCCUUGAGUCGGGGUAUAGUUUUGUUAAUUUUUUUGUUUAUUUCGUUGCAUCUAAAACCGUUGAUGGUCGAAGAGAUUAAAACUGUAAAUAAAAUAUUCAAUUACCUACUUUCCCCUUACAUCUUUUCUAAAAAACAACUCUCAAUUGCAUUUCUCAUGGUCAAUGUUAUAUCACGCCUCCCUCUAUAAAGAAAUUAUAUUUUGUAAAAAAAAAAAGCGAAAGGCAAAAGAUAUCGCGAGACCUAGUUCUAUAUAAACCCAUUCCAUUCGCAGGUUACGAGCGGCCGUCAUCGCUGUCACAGGGCCAGAUAUGGGAAGCGCUAAAGCUGGCAAACCCUCAAAGAAGUCUCUCAGAAACCCUAAUCCGCUUCGCAUUACCCAUAGGAAGAUUACGAAGCACAAACGGCAAGACAUUGCUGUUGAUACAGUUCCCACCGCCCUGAAGUAGAAACACAACCUCAUAUCGGAGAAGAGGAGCCCCUUCCUUCAGCUUCCCAGCAACUCAGCUUUUUCCUCAGCAAGUUCCAGUCAGCUAAUGGUCUUCAAGGUUAGUCUCUACCGCUGGAGCUCCACAAUAUUGUAUCCCAUGACAUCUCUAUUUGGUUGCUGGACAGAGGGAUUAUUAACAAUUUGUGUAUUGUAUUUGCAGAAACAUCCUUUAUUCAGUUAUUUUGAGAGCUGCCUCAGGAUGUUGAGGGCCUAGGCCAGCAUUUGAAGACUGCUUUCGGAAAGUCAUGGAAAGAAGAACGCUGUGAUCGAAAGCUCGUGGAUAGGUAAACUGAACCAGAGAGUCCUGCUGCUCUUUUCAUUUCUACAUCUGCAUUGAGAGCAAUAGAACUUUUAAGGUAUAGAUUCUCUCAGUUCUUGUUAAUGAUCUUUGUUUUGCUCGAUUUAAUCAGGGUUUGGGCUUGAUUCAAUCUUCUUCUUUUAGGGGUGUGCGUUCACUGAGCGUUCACUGACGAAAGAAUGCCAUGCUGCAAAGCUCUUCUCUAAGCACAUGAAGGUUGAAGAACAUGUGAUAUCCUUUCCCUUUUGUCACUUGUUGUUCCUAUUACAUCGUUAAACAAAAUACUAUCUCUUUAUGUUUCGAGGUGUUGUCAUUUGUUUUGGAUAUCAUUCAGUUCCUUUUAUUAUUACUGCUGCUCGAGUUACGAACAUCUGAGGAAAUAGCAAUGCUUAGGAUGUUAUUGUCCACUUCACUGUCUCGAGACACCGACAUUGUCUUUAGUUAUUAUUUAUGGGUCCAACAAGUUAUGACUUGAACCAUGGUCACAUGGAACAAAAUUAAUUUAUAAAUUCGGACUUCUGUUUCAUCAGUGACAUUUUCACUCUUCGUCAUCAUAUACAUUUGGUGUUUGUUUGUUUUUGGUAAAAGGAUUUGAUAUUACCAGUUAUAAAGAUCAAAGGGCAGUAGCAGUGCAGGAUAAGCUUUUUUCACAUCAGUCUGCUUCUAGUUCAGUAUCUUAGUUUCAAUGAUUUAUGGCUGGAAGCAUGGAGCAGUAUGGAAUUUUUGCAAACAAUUGUUGGAUUAGGAAUUUCAUACUUCUUUUCACUGCAUUUUGAUGUUGGGAUAUGAUGAGUUACACGGAUCAAAUGCUCUAGCAGUGCUGAAUAUGUUUUUUGCACGUCAGUCUGAUCCCAACUUACCGUAUUUUUACUGCCCCUACCUUUAAAUGCAUGUCCGAGUUCUAACAAUAGAUGACUUGAGACAUGGAGCCUAUGAAUGGGGGUUCUCUGUUUGAUUUUAUGACAUUUUACAAUAAUUGUCACAAAUUUUUUUGACAUUGGAUAUGAUGAUGAGUUAGAAUCAAAGGCACUAGAGAUGCUGAAUAUGAUUUUUUGCACGUCAGUCUGAUCCCAGCCUUUCGAUUUCUGAUUACUGGAAUUUAAAAUUUUACUUUGUUUUCGUCAUUUUGACAUUGGGAUAUGAUGAUGAGAUGUAGAUCAAAGGCAUUAGCGGUGCUGAAUGUUUAUUUUGCACGUCAGUCUGAUCCCAGCUCACUGUUCCGAGAUUGUGCUGCCUUCUUGCAUUUCCUAGUUAAAAAAAUGUACUCCUUGGACAUGGAUCUAAACGAACUUCAAAAUAUGAAUGAUUAAGAUUUCGUGAUCAGUGUCAUUCAUAGUUUAUGAUCACUAAUUUAAAUCUCGUGGCAUAUCUUGCAGGGUGUUUAUAGCCAAUUAGAUGCCACACUCACUGAAAGCUUAACUUACGAUUUAGGUUCUGGUUGUGUAUCCCCCCCCCUGUCCACCGCCUUUAACCUUGUACUUCUAAGCAAUUGAUUGUAUUUCCUGAAUAAUGGCUACAUAUUUCGUAAUUGUUCAUGCUCUGCUGAUUAUAUUUUUGCACGUCUCUGUUCCUAAUAAAACUGCACACUAUUUUACGAAAAAAGACGUGCACGCUAAUAUCGUACACCAAUGUAAUAUAACACUAUUAACAACAAAAAGUUCUUAGUACGGGUUCAAUGUCAUCAUGCAACAUCCAUGAUGCCGUUCCUUAGUCUCUCUACGUGACUCUGUGUUGCAUUUGGUAAACUAUUUCUUAAACUUCUGGCUCCGUUUACUGCAGGUCACUUUCUUCAAGAAUCGUGUCAAUAUUGCCAGCGGCACACCAAACAGGUUAGUCACCAGUCAUUUCAUCUCGAUAUUGAUGUUACAAUGGGUCGUUUGGAUGAGGUAUUUGAAAGUGGUAUUUUGGCUCAAGUAACUCAAACUAAAGUUAUAACUGAGUUAUUUGGGCCAAAACACUUCGUUUUCCAUCCGAAAUAAAAGUCGUUAUAUUUCAUAACUGUGAUAUUUGAAAUAAUUAUGGAUGUGAUAUUUGAAAUAACUCAAUUUAAAACCAUAACUCAAAAUGAUAGCUAAACGAAUAAUUCUUAUCCCCCAAAUUCUUACAACUGAUCCAAACGAUUAAUGUUUACUUGCUCAUCCUUUUCGUUCUAGCUGAAUAUUUGCAUUUCCGAAAUAAUGCGCCCCACAUGAGUUCGGUAUACAUUGGUGAUUGCUUUUGCAAGUUUUCCGUGCAUGAAUUGUUGUGGUAUUCAUCAGAAAAUUACCAAUAGGAAAUAGUUAAGAGGUCGUAGAAAAUGCAUCGGGAGUGUCAUUUUAUAUUGUAGGGGCAAAAAUUGAUUUUGAUGAAUUUGAACUUUCUUGACUAGAUUCUUGAUAAAAAAAACUAUCUUGACUAGGUUGAAGAAGUUGAUAGAUAUAAAAGCAAUGGGGCUCUCGCGGUUUUAAAGUUAUCGUGCUAGAUGUCCACCAUGAUGUAAAGGGUUAUUCCUUGCUCACACUUCCACAAGGGGGAGAUAUAGAGAGAAUGUCCGGUCUCUUUUCAACACAGCGAGGAGCAUAGUCGAUUUUGUCAUGUGAAGAGUUGCUGUUGUACAAGUGUUAGUUUGUUAUUUUGACAGGACACUUUUUCAAUUAUUCAAAACUUAUAUUCUAGCUAAGCUAAGGGUAAAUAUCCAUUUUGUAAUUUCACUUGUUGCUGCUUCUACCAAGAGACAGCACACAAGGAAUUAUACUCAUCGGCUUCCUGGCCGCAAUUGAGUUAAAUCUUCUUUUCGGCCCCUAGCGUUUAAAAUAAAAUAAAUCUUUCACCGGCUACCUUCAAAAUCCUCUGUUUAUCUUUCCUUUGAUCUUAUCAAAUUUUUAUAGUGACAAAGUUUGUGAAAUUACUUAAUAAAAAAAAGAAAAAAUUAUUAAACAAUUGCUAAUAUUUAGGCCCGACAUUCGAUAUAGCACAUGUUUUUUAUAAUAUUUUUUUUUGCCCAAAUUUCAAAUUAUGUUAAUUCCUUUAAGUUAAAAUUAACGGAUUGGUGACAAAUGCUGACAAGGCAAACAAUGUGUCUGAUGUGGAUGGAUGAAAAGAAGUCAAUCGGAAAUAAAUACACAGUCAACAUACAGUUAAAAAAUUUUAUAACAAAAACCACCCACAUUCCUUAUCCUCUUCGUCGACCAGCCUUUUAUCACCCACCUGUCACCUCCCUUCUAAAUUAAUUUUCAUCAGAUGGGGAGAAAGAGUGGAAGAAGAAGAAGAAGAAAGAAAGAUGGAGCAAGGUGCAUUUGAUUUGAAUCCCGACAAUGUCGACAACAAUCUUGUAUCUAAAUUCUUUGUCGAUUUGAAUUUCGAUGAUGCCAACAACAACCUCAUUCUUGAACUCUCCGUCGAUUUGAAUCCCGACGAUCCCAUCAACAACACCAUUCCUGAACUCUUCGACAAUUUGAAUCCCGACGAUGCUGAUAACAACCUCAUACCUGAAUUCUCCGUUGAUUGAAUCUCAAUGAUGCCAACAACGACUCUCUAUCGUUGUCGAUGAAAUGCCCAAGCUUGUGGAGAGAUGGAUACAGGGAGUAGUAGCAGGUACAUGUCCAAAUAUGGAUGUUGAGAAAUCCUCCUCGGCUGUCGAUUUCGAAUGGUCCCCACGUUUCAAAUUGAUUUUAGUGUUCUUGCUGGGAGUAGGUUUGCACGCGGCUGAGAUUGGGUUUAUCUGUUUGUUGCAAAUGAAUGAAUUGAAUUGGUUGGUUUUUUAUUGGGGGUGGGUUUUGCAAGCAAGUUGAGUUGUUUGAUUGGUUUGAAGUUUUUUUUGUCUUGAUUGGGUUUUGUAAAAAAUGCUAGCAGAAUACUGACAAUGGAGGAGAAGGUGGAGGAAGGAAAAAGAAGGUGGAGGAGAUGAAUGAUUUUUUUGGUAGCUGAGUUAUUAUUAUUUAAUGAAAGGAGGUAAAUAAAAUUUACCUAACUAAGCUGACGUGACCAGUGAUUGUUAUGUGGCGUCGGACAUGGUAUCUUGAUGAUUUUCUUCUUACGGCGUUUCGUGUUUGGUUAACUAUAACGGUCAACGACAAAGUCAACUGAUUUUCGUUAGUGUGAUUUGAAUUUUGUCAGAAAAAAAUGUAUUUCGGAAAACAUGUGCCAGAUCAUUUGUCGGGUUAAAACAUUGCCAAUUGUGUUAGCUAAUUUUUCCUAAAAUAAGUUAGUGACAUUUUAUCAAGUCGAUCUACACUACAGGAAACUAGAUGUUUAACAACAUCAUUUUUUCUUGUUGACGACAACCAUUUCCUGUUGUUAUGUAUCAUAACGGCGGCUUUGAUUGCGCUAUUAAGAUUGCCAAUGCAAAGAGAUCCUACCAGCGAAAUAUUGGCCGCGGUUAAGUGGGGAAGCGUAACAGCGAAUAGCUGGCCGCUGUUAGGUUGCAUCCUAAUAGCGAAAUAUGACCGAUGUUAGACGAAAUUCUAAUAGUGGCAUUGUGUCCGUUGUAAGGAUUUCGCCUAACAGCAACUACAUAUCCUCAUAGUUUUCUUAUUAUUUUAUUUUUUUCGUUUGGCUAUUUUCCAUAUAUAUCCAACUUGUUCAAGUAAUUUUUUCGAUAGGUAGAUAGAAAUACAAAUUUGGGAAACACUUUGCUAAAUAUAAAACUAGUCAUUUUGAUUAAAUAUUUGAUUGUUAGGACACAUACUAAUUCCUUGGCUUAAACUACACCAUCCUUCUAAAGUAACUACUUGAUUCAUAGUUGUUCAUCCAACAUGUACAAUCCACUAAACAUAGACUACUCCUCUUGGUCGUAAUCAAGCUCAUCGUCCCUCUCAUUUGUUUCCAUCAUAGUGCUCGUUCACAUUUGUUUGCAUCAAAUGGCUGCCAUCAUACAUUUGGAUUUAGAACAUCUGCCUCAUCUCCUCCAAAUCAUGAGAUAAGCCAACUUGAGAGUUGGCAAGAUGAGCUAUACACCUACAAUACACCAAAUAAAAGUUAGUUUUUUUAUCCAAAAAAAUUUGCAUGACCAAUUCGAAUUCACGGUUUAACUUAUACUCUUUGAUCUACAAAAUGAACAAACGAUACUAGAUUUGGAAGGACAAGUUUCGACAGCUACAAUGAAUCAAGGAAACCUUUUACAUCUACAUUAUCAAAACAUAAUUGCAGAAUUAAAAGUAUAAACCAUGAGUAAGGUUGAAUGAUAAAAUUUUCACUAUUUAGAGGUGUCGGUUAAAAUGUGCAAAUUGGAUAAUAAAUUUGCAUGGGAAGGAUGAUUAUGUAGAUUACGUAAUAAACUAACAAAUACAUAUAUACUUAUGAUUUGAAUGGGACUUGUAAGUUAAAAUUGGAGGCGCCCCUCUUAAUUUGUACCUAUUGUAUGUUCACUAACCACCCAUAAUAAAAACAAGCAAGAAAAAUUGGAUUUGGUGGAUCACUCGAUGAAGAAACAAGAUUCGAAACUAGCCCUCAUAACUUGAUUAGGUGAAGUUUCUACCUAUAACAGUCCAACUUAGUGGUAGAAUUAAUUUAGGAUUAAUGCUGAAAAAUACAAAUACUUAUUCAUUUUGCUUUCACUCUAAAUCCUAAAUGGCGCACCACUGUUCCUGACUUCUCUUUUUUGUUCUUCGAACGUAUACGAUAUGCCCUCGCCAUAGCAUCCUCCUUGCUAACCCCAUGUUAGUAUUUGGUUCCUUCAUAAACUGUUUGACUUCAACCUAUAUUCAAUCUCAAAAUCUUAAAUAUAUUAGAAUUGCAUCUUAUCAACAAAAGGUCAAAACACAAUAAAAUUAUAUGCAACUUACAUAAAAGUCUCAAGUAACAUAUGUUUCAUCUUCUCUUUCAUAACACUUGAAAAAGAACUCAGAUCUUCUUACUUCUUUUCCUUUCGCUUUCUUCUACAUUAUACGUUCUACAAUCAAUACAAAUUAACUUCUCAUGACUUUUGGAACAUAAUAUAAAGACGAUUGAUGAGAUGCUUACUUACCAUCUCUUCACGAAUUAUAUUGAAAGGUUUUGACCCUUUCGUAUGAUAGAUGUCUUGAUUAGAACGAUACCUUGUUUCUUUGCAGAUGCAGUCUAUAAAACUGCUAGUAAUUGACAAAUGACAAUAAUAAAUAUCAUUAUAUCAAAUAUAAGUACAAAUGUAAAACUUACUAGAGUUGGCUUCCCCUCCUAUAUCUGCAAAACAUAUCCCACUCACGUUCAUCAAUAUUUGGUGGUUUCCUGUCUAAGUUGAGCUGAAGACCUUGAGUAGCAUCGAUAUUUGGUGGUUUCCUAUCACGUUCAUCGAUACUAAUCAAUUUUCUUUGGAUAUGACUAAUGUAAUGAAGAAGAUAGAAGAGAUUAAAUCUAAAACCCUUAUGAUUACCCUGCAUUCAUAAAGACUGCAAUGCAAUAUGUACAGAGAGGCGUGGACACAUAGCAAAGUCCUUACAAUUUUGACAAUUACCAUCCAAUACAAUUUUGUAAGCUACAGCUAACAUUCAUGAGCUAAUAAGUUUUGUCAGGUCGGUUACGAAAGAAAACACACUUAACUUCAUAAACAAUAAUAAAUUAUGAAAACCCCCAAAUCAAAGUUAGGGCUCAUCUAAAUCAUUAACAAAUCAUACAAACUGAUUUCAAUCUCAAAAUUAAACUUAGACCCAGCACUAUAAAUAAGAUGUCUAACCUAAAGCUAGAACAAAACACUUCCAAUUCACUAAACGGAAAACAUUUCAAAGAUCUAGAUUUUACUAACCUUUCAAUUUUCUUGCUAACACAAGAUGACUGAUUGAGAUGAUGGACAGGAACCAAAAUGAGCCGCAGCUGGAAGGCCGGAGCAAGCGACGCCGGCACGAAGAAGAAAAACGCCAGCGAACGGCCGUUGGUGAAGAUACUAUCUGGCUGUGUCCUUUGUUCAAUUUGGGGAAAGUUGGGUUUUUACGUGGUGUUGGGGGGUUAUAUGUAUUUGGAGUUUCGUUUAUAUUAAUAUAAUGAAGAAUUAAGUCUCAUUUUGUUUGGGGCUUUAAAUUAAUAACCCAACGUCGGCUUGAUUCUCUACAUAGCCGCUGAUAGGAUUACUCUUAGCAGCUGCCAUCUAAAUAAGAGCCACUGUUAAGUUGUUGUAUUCCAUCAUAUUUUUUAAUUAUUAUCCUAACAUCGGCCAAUAUUAAUCAGGGCCGAUGUUAGGUAGUAAUAACGUAUCAGUAGCCUUCCAUUUAUUGUUAGGAUAUUGACCUAACAUUGAGACCAUGUCCGUUGUUAAAUUUUGUAUGUUAAAAUAUCCUAACUGCAGGUCUAUGUGGCUACAGUUAAAUUGGCAAUAUUAGGUAGUCAGUUUCUUGUAAUGCUACCUUGUUUAUCAUAGAAAAUUUGUUAUGACAAACGUGAUUGUUGUUGUUACAUAACAACACUCUAAUUUUCCAUCUAUUUUUAAUUUUAAAAAUUUGACAGUCUUAAUUUGUUGAAUAUUUUUAAUCUUUUUUACAUUUUUAUCUCUCAUAAAUAUGUCCUAAUUUUUAGUUAAAGAAUCCUCAUUCAAUUUCUAUUUCUAUUUCUAUUUUUUUACCUAUAUUUAAUUAAGUUAAUAACUUAAUAUUUCCUUAAUUGCUUUUUACAGGUUGUCAACGGAGUUCUGGUACUCCCAACAAGUGAGAAGAACGAUCAGAUUAGUAACAGAGCACAAACAAAGGUACAAAAUAAAUUACCAUAUCACAGUCUCAGGUAUAUAACUCCAUACAAUAGCACAUUCAUGGGUACAUAACUAGACAAAAAUUAAUCAAAAAUUGAUACUUCAAUACACGAGGUAUAAAAUGCAGUACCAUAUCACAAACCCCUUUUUUUUUUUUUUUUUUUUUUUUUUUUUUUUUUUUUUUUUUUUUUUUUUUUUUUUUUUUUUUUUUUUUUUUUUUUUUUUUUUUUUUUUUUUUUUUUUUUUUUUUUUUUUUUUUUUUUUUUUUUUUUUUUUUUUUUUUUUUUUUUUUUUUUUUUUUUUUUUUUUUUUUUUUUUUUUUUUUUAUUUUUUUUCUUUUUUUUUUAUUGUCUGUUUUUUUCUUUUAUCCUGUUUUUCUUCCUUUUCAAGAUCUUGAAAAGAGAGAGAAAAUGAGAGAGAGAGAAUGAGAAAGAGAAAACGAGGGAAAGAGAAUGAGAGCAAGAGAGAGAGAGAGGAGGAGAAAUUUUUGGAGUUUUUUUAUUUUUAGUGGCUUUGAUAUUGAAAAUACUAUAUAAAGAAUUUUAGAUGAAAUCAGUCAGUUGAUACAAUUAUUGUUGUUAUGUGCUAUUAUCGUAUGAUAAGCGGGUGGGGCUUUUCUUGUUUUCGUAAACAUCAAGAUUUUAUUGGUUGGGUCUAUGAUUCCAGCCUACAUGAUACUCAAAAGGGCCCUGGUUCAUCUGGAAAUGAAAAGUGCUUUAUGAACGUUUGGAUUGGUGCUUCCUUGACUCGGUUUGGUAACUUCAAUUUCUACCCACCUAUAUCGUGUUAAGUCGGAUCACCGACCUAUUUUCAUGGUUGCGACCAAGCUCAAGAAGUCAAAUCUUCCUCAUACCUUUCGCUUUAUGGCUUCAUGGUUGUCACAUGUUGAGUUUAAGCCUUUUUUUGUCGGAAUGGAAUCGGUCUUUUACCUUUAUUCAUCAGAUGUCCAUUCGAGCUACCAAACUGAAAAAAUGAAAUAAGGAAAUUUUUGGCAACAUCCAAACGAAUAGAAGGAGCUUAUCUUUAAACUUGCUGAUGUUUAAGCUCUCGCAGCUCCUCUACUCAUUCAAGACACCACAAUGGACAUUGCAAGUGACCGGAAUACUCAUUUUUUUCACGUAUCCACCUUCCGUAGGCGUGCUCGGAACCACAUUAUUAAGUGAAGGAUGACUGUGGGGUGUGUAUUCAUUAGGUUUGGGAGUCGGUUAAUUUGGUUAAUAACCAUCGGUUAAUGGUCGGGAAGCGCUUUGAUGAUUGAAAUUAAUUAACCAAAUUAACCGACCGAGCAAAAGCCACGGUUAAUCUUACCGACCGAUAACCGACCAAUCAGUUAAAUGAUCGAUUAUUAACAGACUGACUCUCGGUUAACCGUUGUAACCGGCUCUGACCAAUUUAACUCUCUUCUCAUAUUGCAACAAGAUUCUAGGCUCUGGCUCUAGAUCCGUCGUCGAUUCAAGCCUUGGAGACCAUAGCUUCUCUUCUGGAAACAAUCCGGUGCUCUACAACUUGAUCCUUCGGGACUGGAAGCUUUCCGAGACGGCGUUGUUGCGGAUCAGUAAGGAGAGGAGGAAGCUUCAAGCCUAUGGUGUUGCAGAUCGAAGAAUUGAGAGAGUGGAGGAGGAGAGGAUUGGCCGUGGCGACGAAGGAAGCAUGUGGUGUUGCAGAUCGAAGAAUCGAGAGAGUGGAGGAGGAGAGGAGCGCUUGCGGUGACUCGUCGUGGUCGUCGUCGUGACUGCCGGCGAGAUGCUGAAAUUGAAUCGCUUGGAUUGAUAGAGUUGUCGAGAUGGAUUGAUGGAGUUGUCGAGAUGGAUUGAUGGAGAUGGCUCGGAGUUAACCUAAUUUCAGAAUGAGAGGUUGUGAUGGAGUGGGAGGCUGGGAGGGGAGGGAGCGAUUCUGCGAUUGUGGUGAGCAAAGCUUGAUUUCCUAAUUGGGGACCUUGGUUUUUUUAAUUACCGGUUAACGUUGGUUAACUCGAGUUAACCAACGAUUUUACCCUGCUCCAACAAGUACUCCCAACUGUUCCCCGACCGACCCCUACCUCGGUUAAACCGACACUCUAACCGAGUCGAUCAGUUCAUCUGUUUAACCUAUUAACCGAGACUGAUGGCCCACCCUUAGUAUUCAUCCAGCUUGUUGCUGCAAUUAGUGUCGUAUUGAUAUGGUUGAGAGAGGAUAAAAUAUGCUUGAUUUCAAGUUCUCCAACUUGAAAGGUUUAGCUGUUAAAAAUGUAGAGGUCAUGACUGAGUACUGAUUUCCAGCAAGGAGAAGUUGGAUAUUUGCUUGCGAUAAAAAAGAAUUUGGACAGUCUAUCUUAGGCACAAAAUCUAACGGAUGAGAUGGCAACUUUACUUCAGGGGCCUAUUGGUCAUUUUAAAAUUUUCUUGUUUUUCAGUUUAUUUUUCCAUUCUGUUUAAUAUUGGUUCAAGUAAAAUGAUUUCUUGUAAAUUGGGUCUAUUGAGUAACGUGGGUGGGUAGACUUUAUUGCUCCCAUCGAGCUUGACGUGAUAUUUUCUUCUUCGUUUCUUUAACAUGCAUAAAUUGUAUAUAAUACGAAAGGUUGGAAAUAUAUGUGAAGCUCGAGGUUUAUUAUAUAUGUUUCGAGGUUUAUUAUAUAUGUUGAACCUUUUUGCCAAUUGGUUAUUUUUAUCAUGUAGUGCCUUAUCAAGUAAAGGGAAUGGUUGUUUUUAUCUACUGUCACUAGCCAACUUUCUUUCUCAUGUGAUCAAUUAUUUGAUCACGCAUGAAUGACUACAGUACACAAAAGAUAGAAAUAUUAUAAAAACAAAAAACAAAUAUUAAAAAAAAAUACCUAAAAAGCAGGUACAUAACAACAAAAACAAUAACCGUAAAUAUCAAGUACAUGAAAGCGGAUGCUCAAAAUAAGCACGCACACAUUAAAAACUUUGGUACAUACAAGGCAAGAAAAUCGAGAACAUAUUGGAACUCGAGUACCGGAAUUGGUACGGUAUUAAGUACAACGUGAAGAAAUAUCAAGUACAUUAAAAAGCGAGUAUAUAACAAUAGAAAUAAGUACACGAAAACAACUCAGAGAAAUGAUAAUUUGAUUGCCAAAAUUGAGUAUGAUAAAGUAAAAUGCAAGCACGUAGUACAUGAAACAAAUAUGAGUAAGAGUACAUAAAUUUUUUAGUACAAUACAAGACAAAAACUCAAAUACAUAUAAAAACUGGACACUAAAAAAAAUAAUUAAUUAUUCACAAUUUUAAAUAAUAAUAGUCACGAUUUUUAUCAUGAUUAACAGAAGCUAGUCACGAAAAUAAAUCCGUAACUAACCUAACCGAUGCUAGAUGAACUUGUCACGAAUCUGAAUAACCUGUAACUAAGUUGUCACCGAAAUUUUCCGUGACCAACUCAUCACGGAAGAAACCGUGAACAUAUGUGUUUUUGUUUUUGUUUUUUAAAUUAGUGGCACGGAGCCAUAUGCUGUGAUAAUUGAUUUAUUAAUAAAUUAAUCCCACAUCUCCGUGGCUACUAUAUCACCAGAAUUUCCAGAUUCCGGCAACCACAAUUUCCAGAAUCCGGCAAUAAGAUAGAGUUGAUAAUUGCUUUUUUAUUAGAGUAAAAUGUUCUACAUCUAUACAUUAUGAUACCCAUAUCAAAAUUCCAGAAUCCCAAAAUUGAACAUAACGUCAACGAAAGGCACCAUGCAACAAUGGUGACACUAAGGGUUACAACAACCAGCAAAACCGAAACACAGACUGGAAAUGCUACCAAGAGAAGGAUGAGACUAGAUGAUGAGAUUGAGAUUGAGAGAAGAAAAAUGAUAGUAAGAAAUUUUGUUUUCGAGAGAGAUCAAAUGAAGAUGAGAUCUACUUCUAAUUUAAUAUAAUGGAAAUGGAGAUAUGGUUGUUUAAUGGCAAAGAGAGAAGAAAGGAAUAGCCCAUUAAACGAGGAUAGAGUCUGCAUCAUUUCUUUUUUCGACCUUUUCCCACUAAAAUGCUAAUUUUAAAAUUAUAAAUAAAAGUUGGUCACGGUUCCAACAUUUACCGUGAGUAGUUGGUCGCGGUAUUCAACAAUCCAUGACUAGUUAUGGAUUUUUUUUUAUCUAUAAGUAGUUAGUCAUGGUUUUUAAAGCCGUGAUUAAUAAAUCGUGAUUAAUCGUUGAUUUUUUUUGUAGUGCGAGUAUGAGUAUUGAGUAAAACGUCAUGUACAAAAACAAGUACAUCAAAAGCGAGUACAUAAUUAUCAAAACAAGUACUAAAACGAGAGGAAAAGUACAUAAAAAGCGAGUAUAUAAUAAUAGAAACAAGUGCAGUAAAAAUCAAGUGCAUGAAAGGAAAACGAAACUCAAACUAAACACUAAUACAAAAAAAACUUUAGUACGCAAAUAAGUAAAUACAAGAAAAUUAACAUACACAAACGAAUACAUAAGAGUAUAGUGUUUAAACAAAGCGAUUAUACGGAUCAAUACGAUGUUGAGUACAAAACAACAACUUGAGGCUUUAUCCCUCAUUUUUAGAUGAUUUUGUACUAAGUUCUUAUAUGUAUUAGUUUUUAUUAAUGUAAUCCCUCGUGUACUUUGUCUUUGGAUUUAUUUUUAUGCCAUAUCUAUUUAUUUACGCAUUUGUGUAUACUUAUAUUUUUAGAACUUUAUACUCAAAUCAAUUAAUCAAACAAUAAAACUAUUUUCUCUUUACACGAACCAACAUAAUAACCCAUCACCCCAUACAGGGUUGUGAAGGAGGUGCAGUGACCAGAAUUUUCUAGUUGUUGCUUUUCUAUAGUUUGAUAAGGGUAAGCAUCUUGUUCUAGAAUAUAUGUUGUUAGGUUAUAACAAUGCAUCUAGUUGAGCAUGAUUCUUUGGUCAAGUGUUACUGGGAUUCUUUUUGUUCCACAUCAAUGCUCGGAGGUCGAAGAGGCAACGAGGGUGACGAAGAAAUCGGCAUCACCACGUGAGAGAAGAUGAAGAAGAGGUCAGAGAGUGGAGCCGGUGGAAAAGAUAUACUAGAAGAGGUACUUAAAGUUACUUGUACGACAAAACUGCCCUUAUUCAAUUGGACAACCCCUAGAUUAAAAUUUAAAAAUGAACGGACGCGAUUCGUUUGCGGCCAGCAAACACAUAAUAUCAUGGCUGCCUAUCCGGACUCGUCAUAACUGGCGUCAACAUUACGUAGUGUUGUCAAAAAUUAAAAAGGGGAAUAUAUAAUAAUAAUAAUAACAGACGUAAUCUUGUGUAUAUAAUGAUAUUAAAACGUUUUUCAAUCGACAAAGCCAAGUCUGCGGGAGGAACAGCUAAUGGACGAACAGCCUAAGCAUAAGCCGCCUUCUUCGUAUUCUUCAGAUUCUCUGAAUCUCUACCCUUUUUUUUUGUUACGCGGAUUCCCUUCCCUCGUCUGCAAACAAAAAGCUCUUCGUUGACUUUUUAGCAGGCUUUUUUAAAAAACCUUAAUUGAAAAAAUUUGUACAUGGUUGUUGCCUUUGUUGGCGUCAGCAUGACCCAAUGCUGUUGUCAUGUUCAUGAUUGCUCCAACUCACCUGGCUGCGCAUCUGCCUUCUGACCUGACCUGCCCUCCUCCUUUUUUUUAAAUUAUGUUUCCCCAAAAUUAAAUUUAAAUCGUUACAAAAUUGGUCUCUCCUUCUCCUAUAUAUAACGUGGAAGAGCUCCUGCCAAAAAAGUCAUUCAAACUCAAAGCAGAUAAAUUAUCAAAAUAAAAAAGAAAACCCCAGUGCUCUGCCUGCCGUUAAGAAAUUAGUUUAUUGGGUUUGUUGUGUUUAUGAAAGCUGUGUUCCAGAGACUGAUAUCGUCAAGCACCCAGAUUGGCUGUAGGAAGAAAGUUGCAUCUUUUCCAUUAAUCAGAAGCGCUAAUAUGUCUGAAUCCUCUGCCUUUGAUUCUCCGAGAUUGGUGACCAAGAAGGUCCUUGCUAAGCUUCAGCGUGAAGGGGAUGGUGCUUCUGUCAGGAGAAGCAUUGGAAGGUAUAAUAUAAUAUAUCAUGGAUGGAUGGAUGGAUAUACAAUUUUCUUCUUGUCAAAAUUGAAUUAACUGUUUUCGUUUCUGUGGUGAAAUUGAAUGAUUGAAUGUUGAAUUAUUUUGGUUCAGGAGUGAGCUCAGGUCUCUGGACCCUUUCCUCAUGUUGGAUGAGUUUUCAGGUCUGCUUUGCUUAAUUACUUGAAACCAAAUUCCUUGAUAUUUUCUAGAAUUAGGAUGAUGAUGGAUGAUGGAUGGUAUUUAAUUUGUUGUUGCAAAUUGCAAUGCAUGAAGUCUCAGCUCCUGCUGGAUUUCCUGAUCAUCCACACAGAGGUUUUGAGACUGUUACAUACAUGCUGGAGGUACAGACAGUACUGGAGUUAAUUAUUUAUUAUGAAUUGAAGGCUGUUUUUUGUCCUUGGUAGUCUAUUUAUUGAUGUCUGUGAAAUUCGUGGGUGGCACUGGCAGGGAUCAUUCACUCAUCAAGAUUUUUCUGGGCAUAGAGGGACUAUUCAUGCCGGGGAUGUUCAAGUAAAAUAAUUCACUCAAUUACAAUACUACGACGUUUACUUAAUUAGCUAGCUUUACUUGAUCAAAGUCAAAAACUCUUUCUUUUUUUAAAGUAAACAACAACAACAACUUGUGUGUUUUCCUGUUGGGCAGUGGAUGACAGCAGGUAGAGGGAUAGUCCAUUCAGAAAUGCCUGCAGGAGAAGGAGUCCAGAGAGGCCUUCAGCUUUGGAUAAACCUCUCUUCUCAACAUAAAAUGUAUGUUUUUAUUUCCUUUUUUGUUUGUACUUUCCAACUUCACCAUUCCAACAGUUUGUAAUAUGGAACCAACAGGAUUGAGCCAAGGUAUCAGGAACUUCUGAGGCAGGACAUCAAAAGAGCAGAGAAAGACGGGGUUGAAGUCCGAAUCAUAGCAGGGGAAUCAAUGGAAAUCGAGUCUCCAGUUUAUACAAGGACCCCAACAAUGUACCUUGAUUUCACACUGCAACCAAGGUCCCAAAUGCACCAGCCCAUUCCAGAAUUAUGGAACGCAUUCAUUUACGUCAUUGAAGGUGAGGGAGUGUUUGGGAUCCCAAACUCCUCACCAGUUGAAGCACAUCAUACACUCGUUCUAGGCCCUGGUGAAGGAAUGAGCGCCUGGAACAACUCCUCUUCCAAACCCUUGAGGUUUGUCUUGAUUGCAGGCCAGCCACUUAACCAACCAGUGGUGCAGCAUGGUCCUUUUGUCAUGAACACAGAAUCUGAAAUCCACCAAGCAAUUGAAGAUUACCACUACUCCAAAAAUGGGUUUGAAAUGGCGCAGUAUUGGAGUUCCCAAUAGGGAACAAGUAAGUGCUUGGAUCACUCAAAACCAAAUCUCCACAUUCCCUCUCAACUUUGAAGAAGAAAAGAGUAAAGAAUAAAAAUACACAUCCACAAACACUAAAGGCCACACGCAUAUGUGAGUGAUACUCAUUUGUGUUCCAUCAUGUAUUAAUUUAGCUUUUAUCCUCUUCCAACCUUUUACUAUUCCAAAUCAAAAGGUUGAUUAUUGCAUUGUCACACAAAACAAUGAUAAUAAAAAUACUCAAUUCAUAUAAUCCUUAGAAUUAAUUCUUUUCAUAACUAUAGUAGAUGUUUGAACAAGUGAGAACAAAAUAUAAGCUUAAUCUUAAUAGUAAUAUCAACGGAUAAUAGCACUGUGUGUCACUUAAUUAUUACCCAUGUCGCACAUAAACUACUUAACUUUCUACAUUGCACAUAAAGCCACUUAACUUUGCUUAUGCUUGCAACAUCCAAAUUUUCAUUCAAUUUAUGGAUAGACUGAUCGAAUUGAUGAGUUCUUAUUCGAGAUCUUCUGUAUGAAUAACCUCCAACACAUUAAAGAGAACAAUAAUUUAUAAGAACUGACAGAAUAACUUAUUACUUGUUUACAGAAAAGAAUGAUAAAAUAAAAAGGCAAGAAUAGAUUAUAAUCAUGCCUUGGACACUGCUUUCGAAAAAAUAUUUCCCGAAUUUAGAACACCAAUACAACUAAAGGUUAAUCACAAUAUUCACUCAAACUCUAGUGUAGGGCUUGAAUGUUGGAACUUGGAAACUUAUGCUAUUUUGAUUCCGAUUUUGAGAGUGAAAACAAAGUUUUCUGCCCAUAUUAAUCAACUAGGAUUUCCCUUUUUAAAGAGAACGCAUCCACUAACCAACAUCAAAUCCAGAUUCUCCUUUCUGAUGAUCAUCAAUGAUAAGCAGAUAUGGGGAAGGUGGAGUUGAGCUCCCGAUUUCUAGGAAGCCAACCAAAUACUUCUGUUAAGCAUAAGUCUUGAGUAUAUGCGGUAUGUAACUGAUCAUUACUGUUACUUCAAGUGGUUAGAUAAUGGUUACAUCAUCUUGCUGUUGUCCGUUGAUGACAUGUUGAUAGCAAGUUCUAUUGUAAAAGAAGUAAACAAGUUGAAGAAACAGUUAUCUAACAGUUUACUAUUAAGAAUAUAGGAGACGCUAAACAGAUUUUGAGUAUGUGCAUUGAUCAUGAUAGGCAAGUAGGAAAGUUUUAUCUUUCGCAAGUUGAAUAUAUCAAGAAAGUCUUGAAGAGGUUCAAAAUGCAGGAUGCAAAACUAGUAAAGAUUCCUUUGGGUGGCUAUUUCAAGCUAUUUGAGAAGGAUAUGCCUAAUAAUGAUCCAGAACGUGCCCAAAUGCACGAAACACCAUACAUUUUUGUAAUUGAUAGCUUGAUGUAUGGAAUGGUGUGCACAAUACCAGAAAUUGCACAUGUAGUGGGAGUUGUCAAUAGAUUCAUGGGAAAUCGGGGGGAAGCGAUUAAGUACUCCUGAGAUAGUUGAAGAUUACUACUAAAAGGGUCUUGGGCUUUGAGGGCAAAGUAAUGUAGUUAGAAGGAUUUGUCAUCAAGUGACCUUGAUAGAAGAAGAUGUACAACAUGGUAUAUUUUUACUCUUUGAGGUACCAUGGUUUCUUGGGCUUUUAAGUUGCACUGUCUAACACUCAAGCUAAAUAUGUUGCGGUAACGAAGGCCAGCAAAGAGAUGGUAUGGUUUUAGAAUUUCUUUGGUGAAUUGGGGAAGAAGAAAGAGGAUAGCAUAUUGUACAUUAGUCUUAUACACUUGCAAAAAAUUCAGCAUUUCAUUCAAAAUCGAAGCUCAUAUUGAGUUGAUGUAUCACUUUAUGGGUUGAUCUCUUGGAAAGGAAGAUCUUACGGCUUAUGAAGAUUCUAGGAAGUGAGAAUCCUAUGGAUAUGCCGACUAAGGUUGUAAAGUUGGAGAAGUUGACACUGUGUAUGACUUUAACUGGUUUUGUAACUGAAGUUGAAGGUCAGAUGCUGCUUGUAGUAGGAAGACGUUGAACAUGGAGAACCAAUGAGAGGAGUAUGUCUUCAGGUGGGAGAUUGUUGGGUUAUGGUGCCUAAGAAACUGAAGGCUUGGUCCAGUUAGUUUGUUUAGUUAGAUAAAAAUUAAGAUUAAUCUUGUCUAUUCUAUAUAGGAUUAGAAUUAAUAUGGUAGCUCCCUAUAAAUAAUCUAUAUUCAUAUCAUUGUAAUCUGUAUCACAACAAUAGUAGUCGAAAUCCUAACUUGGUUUGUAAAAAAAGAAAUUCUAGCGUGGUAGCGCCCUAGACAUACUCUUCUCGUGAAGAGGAACUAGGUUCUUAAUUUUUCAGUUUAUGAUUGCGUUUCAUUUUUUACAGGAACGACCAGAUCCAGCUCAGAAACUUCCUCAAGAUGGCGACGUUGAAGAAGCUCUGUCUCGCUAACGCCUAACAAUGGCUUCUCUAGACUGAUUCAGACUGUCCUCACCGCUGGAAAAGGAGAUUAGAUAGAAAUCCAUCUUUUAUUCCUCUUCAUUGUUUUUAUGACAAUUUCUUCUUUUCUUUUAUAAUAGAGAACUAUUUAUCACUUUUGUUGGACAUUUCUUGUUUGUUUCCCUCAAGAACUAAUAAUUUUGGUCAAUGGGUGACCACUGAUGAUGUUGAUUCUAUAAGCUUUAGUAUUUAGUCAAAUUCUUGAGUUUUUUUCAACUAGAAAAAAAAAGAAGAGAGGUUACAGUUUCAAUUAUUAAGUUUGAAGAAUUAAAGAAAAAAAACUAGACUACAGAUAUGAAAAGGUAAUUCUGAUAAUUUUUAUUGAUGAAUUUUUUUUUUGUAAUGAGUAAGAUAAUUUUUUAGGUUUUAUAAAUGGGUUUUUGGUUAAAAAUCUCAUUUAGAUAGAGUUUUUGAUGGGUAAUUAUGAAAUUUGACAUAAAGGGUACAUGAUUAAAAAGGUGGGAAAGGAAGAUGCGAAAAGAAGGUAAGAAGGAAUCAAUUCAUGGCAAAAAAGAAAAAUAAAUAAGAGGGAAGAAAGAAGACAUAUAUUGAUGGGAGGCGGAGGUGGGAUAGGGAGGUGAGAGAAAGAUGUAACAACAAAGAAGGGUUUAGCGAAAGGUGNNNNNNNNNNNNNNNNNNNNNNNNNNNNNNNNNNNNNNNNNNNNNNNNNNNNNNNNNNNNNNNNNNNNNNNNNNNNNNNNNNNNNNNNNNNNNNNNNNNNNNNNNNNNNNNNNNNNNNNNNNNNNNNNNNNNNNNNNNNNNNNNNNNNNNNNNNNNNNNNNNNNNNNNNNNNNNNNNNNNNNNNNNNNNNNNNNNNNNNNNNNNNNNNNNNNNNNNNNNNNNNNNNNNNNNNNNNNNNNNNNNNNNNNNNNNNNNNNNNNNNNNNNNNNNNNNNNNNNNNNNNNNNNNNNNNNNNNNNNNNNNNNNNNNNNNNNNNNNNNNNNNNNNNNNNNNNNNNNNNNNNNNNNNNNNNNNNNNNNNNNNNNNNNNNNNNNNNNNNNNNNNNNNNNNNNNNNNNNNNNNNNNNNNNNNNNNNNNNNNNNNNNNNNNNNNNNNNNNNNNNNNNNNNNNNNNNNNNNNNNNNNNNNNNNNNNNNNNNNNNNNNNNNNNNNNNNNNNNNNNNNNNNNNNNNNNNNNNNNNNNNNNNNNNNNNNNNNNNNNNNNNNNNNNNNNNNNNNNNNNNNNNNNNNNNNNNNNNNNNNNNNNNNNNNNNNNNNNNNNNNNNNNNNNNNNNNNNNNNNNNNNNNNNNNNNNNNNNNNNNNNNNNNNNNNNNNNNNNNNNNNNNNNNNNNNNNNNNNNNNNNNNNNNNNNNNNNNNNNNNNNNNNNNNNNNNNNNNNNNNNNNNNNNNNNNNNNNNNNNNNNNNNNNNNNNNNNNNNNNNNNNNNNNNNNNNNNNNNNNNNNNNNNNNNNNNNNNNNNNNNNNNNNNNNAUGGGUUUGUGGUUAAAAAUCUCAUUUAGAUAGAGUUUUUGAUGGGUAAUUAUGAAAUUUGACAUAAAGGGUACAUGAUUAAAAAGGUGGGAAAGGAAGAUGCGAAAAGAAGGUAAGAAGGAAUCAAUUCAUGGCAAAAAAGAAAAAUAAAUAAGAGGGAAGAAAGAAGACAUAUAUUGAUGGGAGGCGGAGGUGGGAUAGGGAGGUGAGAGAAAGAUGUAACAACAAAGAAGGGUUUAGCGAAAGGUGAUAUAAACAAAAUUAAUUUUGUAAGAAAAUAUUUUUUUUAAUGCCAUGUCAACUAGUUUGUAACUUUUAGUGUCCAUGUCAACAAACAAAAUUUUAUAAAGUUACCAAAAUUCAAAAUUUGUGUUACGAAAAGUAUUUCUAAUAGAUUGUGCCAUUUUCGGUAAAGGCUUAAUAGGUUGUGCAUUUAAGAAAAAAAAUAUUAUUGUGUUUCUACAAUUAACAUCAAUUAUCACCAAACCAUUAAAUACUAAAAACCAAUUAAGAUAUAGUCAUGUUACAAAAAAUGACUCUUGUUAUGAUUUUUUUGUUUAUGCAAUGAUAGGAUGAGAUUAAAAGGUUAAUUUCUUUUUCGACAAAACUUGUAAAAUAUUAUUAAACUCAAUUAGAUAUAAUAUCAUCUACAGUUGGUCAAUCAAAAAAAUUGAGGGUCUAUCCACCGAAACAAUCGUGGAGUUCCAAUGAGUCUGAUUAUACGCCAUAACAUGGGUAAGCUUGUUAACUUAUCUCCGGCCAUGACGCCAAUUACCACAAUCAAACUUUGCCAAAAGGCAACGAAUUAUGGACUAAAAUCCAUGUUCGGUAUGAUGAUCUUCCACAUGAUGCAAAGUCUCAACCAUGAUCAAGCUAUCACUUUCAAGAACCACAUUAGGAUACCUAUGUUGCAAGGCCAAUUGUUAGCAAAAUCUUGCCUCGACCGCCUCAGUUAAAGUAGGCUCAUAGCAACCCUACAAUUUCAACAUAUCCGCCAUUAAGUAAUGCCGAACGCCAUCCCAGAUAACCACCCCAAUACCCAUUCUGGAUCCUGUAAUGAUAGUUGCGUUUAAGGUAGUGAAACUGGUGAGUCAACAUGGGAUCGAAAAGGGACCUAGAAUCGUAAUCGUAAAAUCAAAUCGCAAAAUCAUAAAAUUUCACGGUUCUUCAAUAAUACUAAAUAUUCAGAAAUUCACCUUAGCAUAAAGACGUAAGUUCAUUAUCCAAUCUAAAAUUAAAAAUAAAAUCUCAAAUUCACCUUAAUAGGUUCUUCAGUUGCACUACUUUGAGCUGAUUUUCGAGUCUAGGAGACCGGAGACAAAAUCUGUGAACAAAAUUGUACAAUCUUACAACAAAAAACAAAAUACCUUCGAACAAAGAACCUAAACACCAAAAAUCCAAAACUAAUCUAACAAAAACAGAAUUAGAGAAAGGAAUGGGAUGAUGAGCAAAAUCAUGGAAUGGGAUGAUGAAGAAUCAUGGAAUCAAGGAAACAGAGAUACCUUCGAGCCGUAGGAGUGGCUGGAGCGAUGGGGACGACCAAAGAGGCUAUGACGAGGACCAUUGACUCCUGGUUCUGGUCUUCUAGACUUCUGGGGGACGACCGACGGGGGAGACGACAAGAGAGAAGACUGAGGAUCGAGCAGAGAUCGAACGAGCAAUCGACGACUUGCACAAUUUUUUUCAGAAGAUAAAUGAAUUUAAGGUUCGAUUUUUUGCCCAAAAUUGAACUCGGAUUUCCGUUUCGGUUCGAACCGAAGCAUAAAAACCAGCGGUCAGCACAGAGUAGUGGACUCGUGAAUCGUUGUAAACUCGUUCGAUUCCACGAUUUUCACGAUUUUGCGAGCGAUUUCAUGCCAUUAUAAGCCAUUUUGAUUGCGCGUGAAAUCUGACUCGACGGACCUAACAAAACUCGUAAAAUCGUCGAUUCCACUUCCUUCGUUGUGUAUGUACUGAUAUGGGGUUCCUGGUUUAGUGGUUGAACCGGGGUUGGACCGUUUUUAAACCGGGUCGGCCAUUUUAAAUAUUACAUAAAGUUAAAUCGGACCGAAAAAAUAUUGGAUUGAACGAAAUCAAACUGACAGUACAAAUAGUCAAAUUUUGAGAUUUAACCUUUGAAAAUUGAACAAUUUUAAAAAAUUUAUGUACAUUAUGAUGUUAUUCUUUUUUAAGUUUAUGUAAUAUAAUGAUAUUAUCUAUAGUUGAAGUCUUCCACACAUAUAUAUCUAGAAUGCUAAAGAAACCCUAAUGGAUCUUUCAAUCUUUCUUUAAUUGGGCUCCAACUACUCAAUACCCUCUCUCACACUUUUUUUCUCUAUAGAGAAACUCUCUCCCUUUUUCAUCAGAUUUUUUUCUCCUUGUAAUCUAAUCUUAUUUUUCUAAUAUUUUCAUUCUAUUUCUUCCCUAUUUGUCUCUUUUACUUUUUUCUUUUUGGAAGGUUAUUAGAAAAAGAGGACCACUAAAUAAUUCCGUCGACGUCCAGCAAUAGGGUUUUCCAAUUUUUUCACAGAUGGAUCCAUGUUUCCAAAGUUCUUUUGUUUUUUUUUCUGAUCUGAUAGUUGGUUCUUUAACUAGUUGAAUUAUCUGGUUUUCCGGGGAAAUCGGGUCAAUCCUCAGUUUUGUUCAUUCUCCUCAACCGCUAACUCAGUAUUGAUCAAAUGAUCGGUUCACAGUCGGACCGGCCGGGCUGAUAUGGUUUUGCUAACAUUGAUCUUAGUAGAGCCGACUAGAGGCCAUUCCAACCGAGCCACAAUGGCCUCAUACGAAAAACUCCUAGUUACCCUGAGUUCUUGAUAAUAAAUAAGAAUUGGAGUGCUUGUGCUAUGAUAUCACACUCCAAUUAGUGAAACUCAUUAAGCAUACACACAUUCCUUUCUUUCCAUCAGAAUCACAUAAGCAUUACCCAUCUUUCCAACUCCAAAUUCAAAACUUUGCGGUUGCUAAGUGAGAACCAAUCGCAUCAGUCAUUAGAAUCAUCAAAAUCAACCAGUGAUCAUGUUUAGAGUUACCUCAAAUCCGCCAAGUCCAUUGGCAAUCUCGGAAAUAGUGAAUUUGCAGGCAACCUGCAAAAUGGGCAUAUAUCACCAUGUCGAGGAUUAUGCUUAUACAUAUUAUACCUGUAGGUAAAAUUUACGAUGAAAUUUUCAUAAGAACUGCUCACCUUCGACGGAAUCUACAAUGACCAAGAACAAUUCCAAACAUCCGAGUUGCAAUUUGGAUUAAGACCCACUAAAAGAAAACCGUGUCCAUUAUUACGGAUAAAACCGGCCGUUGUCACUGAUAUUUCCAUGUCCCUGCCUCGUUGUCGCGGGAAAAUCAUCCGCGACAACGGGCGCCUUCAUAAUGAGGGGUGNNNNNNNNNNNNNNNNNNNNNNNNNNNNNNNNNNNNNNNNNNNNNNNNNNNNNNNNNNNNNNNNNNNNNNNNACGGCCGCCUUCAUAAUGAGGGUUGUGGGGACUAAACUAUCCGCGAAAAAUAGGGUUGGCGCGAACCCGUUAUGACCGGUUUGGUUCAAAUAGUUAGGUUGAAAGGCAUUUUAACAAGUUUAUCCGCAAAAACGGCAAGAGAUAUCCGCGACAAUGGCUAACAACAUUUGUUUUGCCGUCAUAACGGUUCCCCUAACGACGUUGAGUUUAUCCACGGCCAAGGUUGACAUUGUUAGUUUCUCCAUCCUACCCGUAAUGGUUGUUGUGCCAAAUACUAGGCCAUAAUAUCUGCGACAACAGCUCAAGUACUGCCUAAAAUUUUGUUAUUUUUGCUUGUUUCGUCCACUGUGGGCGCCUAAAAUAAAAGUUUAUAUAUGCACUAUUCUACACAUAACACAAUAUAUACCAAUAUCAUUAGCAUAACGAUAACACAUAUGAUCAUCCAAGAGUUAAUACUAUAACAUAAUCCAUAGAUCUACUCCAACAUAAUUCCUUGAUUUUUUACCUAACUAAAGUCAUUAGUUCACUAGACUACAUCACUAUCAACCUAGAUAUAACUACACUAGAGACUCGUCAUCCUCAUCCUCGUCAUUAUGACCAAGAUCCUUAUUAGCUCAAGUAUACAAAAGAAGAUAUAUAAAAUUGAAAUUAGGUUAAAACACAUAAAAUUAAGUAACAUGAACUUUAUAACAUAUAAAGAUUACUAAUAAUUUACCCGCCACAUCGUAGUCGUAGUUCUGUUGGAUGUGGUUAUAUUAUAUUAACCGCUACAAUCGUCGUUACGGAUCAUUAUCCGUGUCCGACGAUGACCUAACCGUGACACCCGUUAUCGCGGAUAUUAUCCCCCAUAACUAAUCUACGUCAGACAUCAAAUUUUGUUGUAGUGGCCAAGCUAUUCUUUAAAGCUAGUCAGCCAGUUUUAAUACCCCUAUUUUUUCGAAUAAACAGCUUUACUACUUGAAAUCCAAAUAAGCAUUCCGAUUCUUGAACAUCGCAAUGAAUAAUUUGCACGAUAGAAGUUGAUAUAGUUGACCAAAAACAGCUUUCAAUAAGAGCAGUAUUCUACUGAUAAGUCGUUCGAUUAACCAACUCACGAACUGUAGCAUCAACAUCAAACCUCAUCGGCGUAGAGGUCACAAAAUUACCGGGUACUAACGGAAGCCAUCCGUCUCCCCAAAUUCUAACGGACAUACAAUUUCCCACCCACCACCCAAGGCCACUCCAUACAAAACAUUGAGCACCAAAAAGGCUAUGCCAUAUAAAGCUAAACCCAACUCAGCUUUAAAGACAUAAUAGAAUUUUUAAAAUACUUAGCUUUCAUAAUUCUUACAAUAAGGGAAGAUGCUCUUGAGUGUAAGUUCCAAAGAUGUUUAGCAAGUAAAGUAAUGUUAAAGCCUAAAAAAUCACAUAAUCCCAUCCUAGCUUCGGAUUUCAAACUCAAUAGAUAUUCUUGACAAAAUGAGGGAUGAGCACUGGGUCGGGUCACCCAUCAAAACCCACCCGCCUAUAAUCACUCUCUACCACUACUACCCUUUUCCCCAUCACCAUAAAACUUUGCAUGCUUGUUUGUGUGUUUUUGUAGUUUUUUUGUGUGUUUUAUGUCGCUUUUCAUCGUUUGAGUAGAGAGAGAGAGGGAGAGAGAGAGGGAGAGAGAGAGAGGGAGAGAGAGUAUUUCAAGGGUUGCAUGUCAUACCAAUGAUUAAGAAUGCAUGAUAGAAGGUCUCGAUUCAAAUUAGGGUUCGGUCGGUGUCUGAUCGAAGGACGAAUGAUGCUUGCAUUAUUUUAUUUUUACUGAAAAAUUGGGCUUCUGGAGCAGCCUUUAGAUCAAUCUCAAGGUGUGUGGCUUUGCAUAGUGUGUGUCGUUUCCUUAAGUUUCUCUCGAUAGAAAAUCGAGUUUAUGGCGUGUGAUCCCACAUGCCAUGUGACUGAUUUUUGACAAAACGAACCGACCAAAGAACAACCAAAAACCCAACCGGCUCAAACCGUAAUGAACCAGAUUGAUUUUCAAACCGAUUUUCAACCAAAUCAAACUGAGUUUGACCAGACGCAUUGACCCUUCGUUGACCGGCCGUUGCCCCCGUUGACCGGUCACCAUGGAAGAAAAAACAUGGCAGUUUAGUAGUAUUUUGGGCAUAACAUUUUGCUCGGGAGUCUGAUUGACACAAGGUCAGUGACGUUGGAAACUUGUUCAGUUGCCUACAACUUUGAUGUCAUGAUGUGGCCUAAAUCCAUGCAGUUUGUGCUCAUUUUUCUUGGUUUGGAUUGAUGGAAUUUGAGAAAGUUUGAAUUGUGGUCUUGUUUGGUUUGAUGAUUUGGUGCGAUCGUGAUCAAUUUCUUGAUAGUAUUAUAGUGAUAUGUUCAUUGCAAAUGCUAACGUUUGGGAUGGUUGUCCAAAAUGGAUAAUUCUAGCUUUGCAAUGUGAAGAUUGCUGGAUGUUGAGACGUGAUCACUUUGUCACUCUUGUAUCGAUGGCAUGUUGUUGAUUUUCAUGAGAACUUGGAAUGGCAUCAUGAUGCUUCAAAGUGUGGUUGAACGUAGGUUGUUACUAGGCCUGAGAGUCGGUUAAUUUGGUUACUAACCAUCUGCUUAAUGUUCGGGGAAAAUGAUUUGGAGAUUAAAGUUGGUUAAUCGGUUUAACUGACCGACCAUAUGUAAUGGUUAAAAAGCCGACCAAUAACUGAUAAAUCGGUUAAAUAACCAAUUAUUAACCAACAGAUUAGUCGGUUAAUCCUAUGAACUGACUUUGAUUGAUUGACCGACUAUACCGACUUAACCUAACAAGAUCUGAAUCUCCAUGCUCAUCUCUGCCAUCGAGUGAGCCACGUUCUGCUCAUGAUAACCGUUCGUCCAAGCAUUCAUACUCUACUAAGAAAGCUUGCCAUGGCCGCCACUCUGAACACCGGUCAAAGAACUGAAUACUUGUUCCAAGAUCCGAACUUCCAGAACCGUCUCCAAUCCAUCUUCCCAAUUGUAGUUUGGACAAAGUUUCCUCAUCUGAAUUUUUACUCAAUCACACAACUACAACCUACACGACAACCAUAAUCAAUAGAGUGGAGGGGGAUAGGAUGAAACAGAGGACUGGUUGAAAUUAUAUGGGCCUAUGUUGCAUCCUCAAUAGCUCGUCGUCGCCAAGCCUCACUGAGCCGUCCCCGAGAGAGGAAGAGACGUAGAGUCUAGAGAUCGUGCUUUACUAGUGCUCAACACUCAUGGAGCCGUCACUGAGAGAGGAACAUAAUCCCUAAUGAAUCGUGAAAUCGAGAAUGAACGGGGAUAAGUGAAUAUGUUUGUGUGUGUGUGAGUUUGACCUAAAAAUGGGGGGAUUGGGAAUACGACGUAGACAUUUGGGUUCAGACUUGGGGUUCUUUUGACCGAUUAAUGUUGGUUAACACAAGUUAACUGACGGGUUUUAACCGAUUCACCGUUUAACUGAAGUCAGUUUUUCUCUUUGACCGUCCCCCAACCAACCUGUAGCUCGAUUAAACCUUCCUCUAACUUAUUCGGUCGGUUAAUCAAUUUUAAACGAUUAACCGAAACUGAAUUCCUACCCUUAGUUGUUACUAGGUGCUUUUGUUGCUCCCAAUUGAUGAUUUGUGAUUAUUUCCAUGCUCAUUUAAUUUGCUUCCAUUGCUCAUAUUUUGUCCUACCAUUACCCUUGAUGACUCAUUGGUUACUCACUGUUUUGGUAAAUGGUUCAAAGAAGCAUGAGGCAUAUUACUAGUCCAUUUGUUCCUGUAAUGAUAUAUCUUUGACCUCACCUUUUGGUAUAACUUGAAUGAUGCAUACGUUGUCACUUCAUGCUUUGCAUACACUCUUUAUGCUCGUUCUUGUUCAUUGGACUUGGUCAACAUUUGUGAGGAUUUCUUUGUGGCAAUUGAUGAUAAAUGAGUUAAGGUGGUCCCAUAGCUUUUGCUUACCCUUGUCUUACUAAUUUAUGAAUUAUAGGAUGCUCUUGUUUAGGAUUGCUAGUUAGUCUUGCUUGAGAAUAACUAGUUAUCUUCUUCAUUGGUUUUGCCUUUCUUUUACAUCUUGCCUAUGCCAUGUCUACUUAUGAGCUAUUUAUUGCCUAUCGUUGCCUAAUUCGAUUGGAUGCUUAUUGAGGUGGUUCCUUAGUGGCCGUAGGAUUAUGGGUUGACACCUCUACAUGCUUGAUGUGUAUGAUUAUUCUCCAUUUCGAAAUUUUCAAUGAUACUUUAAAGUCAAAUUUGAAUGCUCUUUACAAAUGUGUCAAUUUUGGCACAGUUUUCAAGGAUUCAUCAUUUAGUGUUUAUAAUUCAUUUUCGUUUUAAAUUUUCGUUUCCCACAUUUACUUUUCAUGUUUUGUUGCUUUUAUUGUUUUAAAUUUUAUUAUUUUUAUUUUAAUAGGCUUACUUUCCUUGUAUAUCCCCAAUUGUAACUUGGUAUCCGUAUUCUCAACUAAAUCAACAAAUGACACCAAAUAACUUAAAAUUGAGAACUAUAAGAGCUCAAAAGAAGGAGAUUUAGCAGAGUCUCUUAUAGGUUUCAAAAAAGCGAGGAAGGAUCUUCAAGUGGAGAGGACCCUUUCUCCUCCCUAACUCCAAUGGCGAACAAAACUCUAGCAUUAGACCACCUAAAGUCAGACGAUAAGCCAUGCAUUCAUCUCGUGGACUUUAUCUUCUAUUGCGACACCAUCAAGCUACACGGUGUUUCUGUUGAGGUUCACAUCGUGUUCCCCUUGAGUUUCAGCAACCAUCCACUCCAAGCACCUUAAAUCAUCCGUCUUAGUUUCUGCUUGUCCCCAAACACCGUACAUCGCAUGUACUUCGUGAUUUUUCCAUUCUUUGAGGCAUUUAGCUCCUCCUUGUACAUCAUACAGUUAUGAAUAAUGCCUCGACGUUGUUGUGUGCCUGAAAUUGAUAAAAAACACAACGCAACAACAUCAAAUGGACCCCAAACGGGUAUGAGACACUAAAUCGAGAUAGAAGUUACAAAUGCACAAAACAUCAUGUCGUGAAUGUUUCGAUCCGCGACACCGAUGGCUUGAAAUAUUUCAGAGUCGCCACCAAUCUGUUGAAGCGGAUUGGACGCUGUCGACAUAACCCAGGUCCUUUUGGACGUGAGUUAGAACAGGUCUGCGGAACAGAGAUCCUGGAUUCGAGAGGCGGUUACGUGCAGGGAAGGAUUAGCACCCCCAUAGCGCCCGUCAAACCGGUACUACUAAAUUUGAUAAGUUAUGUUUUAUUUUCUUAGUUUAGUGGUUUAAUUAUGCUUUAGUUUGGACGCAUAAGGUUAUGUAAAUUUUUUAGAGAAUAUUUUUAUUCAAUUGUAAGUCUUUAUGAGUUCCCACUCUUGUGGAAAUUUUUUUUUAUGUUGAUAAAUAUUUUGAGUUGAACAUUCUUAAUUUAAUUGUUUGGAUUUACGAAUUCCCAUUCUUGUGGAAAUUUUGUUUUACGCUGGUGAAUAUUUUUAAGUUGGUUAUUUUUAAUUUAUAUGUUUGGACUCAAGUCUUACGACUGCCUACGUACCUAAUUCUUUGGGAUCAAAGAUCAUGUAGUUCGUUAUGGAAAAGUUGAUUUGAGGAUUUUUUGUAAUUUUUACUAUUAUAAAAACCACGUUAUCAUGCUCAUUUUUUAUUUGAAAGACAUUUAUUUGGUUAUUUCAAAGUUGGAACUUUAUUUGCCCACUUAUGAUUAAAUGAUAAUUCUACAAAAUUCGAAACUCUUGUCACGGAUACGAAAUUCAUAUAACAUUGCUAUAAUAUCUUUAAAGGAUUAUUAUUAAGGAAAUUUCACAUUUUUUGCCAAUCGAAAAAUUAAUUGGUUUAUAUCAGUUAACUUAAUUUGACAUAAUUAAAAAUGCAUUACAAGACGGUUAACGAACUUACAUUUAAAUAAAUAUGUCACAAGUAUUUUUGGUGAUUUGACAAUUCUAUUGUGGUUAUGUUAAUGUUAAUUAAAAUGAUACGUUGAUUUGAAUAAUUGUAAAGUUUUGAGUUUUUAAGUUUACAACUUUAAGGUAUAAAUAUCAAAUAGGAUUAAAGAAGGUAUGACGUUUAUUCUGUUAUUCUUCCACACUUAUUUCACUUUUAUUCCACUCUUAAUAUGGCCUUAAUGAUAUAUGAAUAUAAUUGAAUCGACUAAAGGCUUGGCCUUUCUAAAUUAAUUGUGCCCAAGCUCGAGCUCGGCCCAACCGAACGAUGAGCCGAACCGGCGGGUAAGAGGAGGGCAGCCCGCGUGCCAAACUGGUCGAACCGGUUAUCCACGGUUCGAUCAGAAAACUCAAAAAGAUGAAAUUGCCCCUAGCGUUCCGUGCGCUGAAGAAGGGUGGCAGGGGAAAUUUUGUAACUUCACCUUAAACCUAAUCGGCCUUAUAAAAGGGCCUCUUAAAUCGAGAAAUGACUCAUUUGCAACUUCCCACUCUCUCUUUAUCAUCCCUCUUUCUAAACCGCCGCCCUUCUCCCCCCCCCCCCCCCCCCCCCCCCCACCCACCUUUAUCACGGAGUGUGCUGUUUUUUUCUAGUUCCUUUCUCUUCUUCUCAGCCGCCCUUUUUUGCCUCCUCUUACCUCUCAGGACCCCUCUUUCUACCUCCGUUUUUUCGAUUUUUCCAGAUUUGGACUUGCAUGUCAUCGGAGGAUACUCCGGUGAGUCCUCCGGCAAAAUGCAAGUCUCGAUCUGUAGAUCUAAUGUUUUAUUUUGGUAUUAAACAAUUUUGGUUAUUUGAGGGUGGUACCGACGGGGGUGGCGGGGAGGUAGAGAAAUGGAAAAAAGAGAAAGUUAGGUAAGUAAGAUUUCUUCCCUAUUCCUUUUGAUUAAUGUCUGGUUAAUUGCUAACGAAGCUAACUACCGGUUUCUUUGAUGACUUUUUUUAUGUCUUUGAAAAUGGGCAUAGUCGACAUGUUUUGGAAAAUGAGAGGAAAAGGAGAAGAUUGCUUUUAGGAGGUAAGACAGCUAAUUUUGAACCCAUUCUAAUUUUUCUAGGUAGAAGUAACAAUUCUAUUUGUUGAUAAGUUGCAUAAGAAACUAGGUUUGUUUUGUUACUGAAGUUGUAGUAGUAGUCUAGGUGUUUUAAAAAGUUUUGUUUGAAAAACUUUAUUUUUUUUACUAUUGUUUAAAUUUUUUUAGCAACAUUGUUUAUUCCAAAAAUCCGUAUUUUAACUCGAUUUUACUAUGAGUUUCAUAGUUCUUUAGGUCUUUGGUGCGAAAAUGAUGAAAGAUGGCUAUAGGUUUCGUUGUUAAUACUUUCCAAUAACUUUUAGUUCAUUUUUGAAGCUUAUUUGAUUGAUUUGUUGGUUGUUUAUUAAAAUGAAUCAUUUAUUUGAUUAGUUGCAACGAAUCAUUGGGUUCAAUAGUAGUUUAGAAGGUUGCUAAGUGAUAUAGCAUAACAAUGUAUAUGUAUGAAUGAUGUGUGAAUGCUUCAGAAUAGGGAUGUUUUGAAUGAUUACCUUCAUUCAAAAUUUCUCUUUUAUCGUAUUUCAGGUGGCGGCGCCUAUCGUGAGUGACGUCAAACCGAUUUGGCGGCUUCUAUGUGUAUGGCGACAAAAGAUGUUGUAAAACUUAUUUUUUUACAGUUUUGUAAUUAUUUCCCGGGACUUUGAACGAGUGAUGUUGGUGUAUUAUUUUUGGGGGUUUUGGGAAGAACUGGGGGACGAAUUUUGAAAACUGUAAGCUCCUCUUUUUGCUGAUUUUUGUCAGUCCAUUUAAAUGCAGAAAGGGCUACAGUCACUUCUUUUAACCAACCACAUCUUGCAAAGUUUUCUGACAAAAAUAAAAGGUGGCAGCUCCCCAAAUAAUAACCGUAACGGGCCCGAUAUUGGGCUUGAAAUAAGGCCUGGAAUCGGGCCCGAAAUCAAAUUGGGUCUAACACAUAAAUAGUUUCGAGAUAAGGGAUUUUGCCGAAUUUCGAGAUAGCGGACUUGAGGUCCACUCAUUUCGGCCGUUUCCGUUUAAAAAGAUCUAAAACAAAAUCGGCUUAGAACAGUCUGUAACAUAAUAAUUACAUCUCGAAAAUAUGCUAUUUGGCUACCAAGUUCUCCCCUAACGUGCACUUUGAUUAAUUUAACUGAAUAAACUUCGCAACAAGUAAAAUCUCGACGCUAAAUCCUUCCUAGAGAUGCUACGACUAUUUAGUGAAAUGACACUGGCGUGCAUUCUUCACUCGAACGAAAUUUGGUUACUACAGUUGUCCCUCUUUGUAUUACUUUCGCUUGGAAGUGGAAAGUGGUACAAAGACAGAAACCAAAUUUCGGACGAGCGCCUGAACUUCUCACGUCAAGUCCACUAGGGUCCAAGGAUCUGCCACAACAUCGGGUAGAAAACAAAAUUUGCAACCUGACCACACAAACAACAUGCAAUGCAUUUCCCUAUGGGUGUUAGGGUGAAUGUACUAGGGACUCAGCUUGACUUAUCUCCCGUUCCAUGGGUUGACUAUACUAGGGACUCAACUCGACUUAUCUCCUGUUCCAAGGUGCAAUCCGCUUUCCCCAGGAUGCUAAGGGUUGAUGUACUAGGGAUUCGACUAGACUUAUUUCCCGUUCCAACGUGCGAUCCGUUUGCCUUAGGACGCUAAGGGUUGAUGUACUAGGGAUUCAGCUUGCUUAGUUCCCGUUCCAUGACUACAAAUGUGUUGAUGAUGAAUGGUUUCGAAAGAGUUUGAGUAAGGCUCCCCCUUUUUGAAAAAAACAUGCAUCUGAUGGCAAUGCUUGAUUGAUAUUUUUCAUCAUUUUCACUCCGACGAGAUUCACUGUUUUGUUUUCUUGUCGCUUAGUUCGCACUACGUGCUAGCGCAAUGGUGUCAACCCUGCUGAUAGCUGGGUAACCUUUAAUGUAUGUGCCCAUUUUUCUUUGUUUUUCCCCCGACGUCUUCAUAUUAUUCCCAUGCCUUGGGAUUUUAAGGAUCUCUUUCCUACUUUGUCUCUACUUCUAGAUAUAAUGGUAAGAUAACGACGACCUUUGUAAAUUUCUUUCUUCGGUUAGGAAUAAGUGGAGAAAUCCUGCCAUCCGGGCUUCUUUUCUUUAACCCUUCCCUUUUACUAAUUUUUUCAUUCUUUCAACGGUUUUCAUUAUUAUUACUAUUAUUUUUCUCCCUUUUGUCUUCACUUUACCGCUAAUUUCAUUUGAAAAGACCUCCUAAUGAUUAAUUAGAGCGAAGGUGUUUGCACGAACGCAUUUGCCUCAAGUUCCUGUGGGGUGUUGUACCUCAUCCAUUUUGUUUGGUGAUGCGUGAACAAUGGUUAGGAGAGUAGUAUUUGAGAAUUCAUGAAGUAUCCAAAACUUAAAGUUGACUUAAAUUAUCACUUUAUUGAUGGAAAACCGAUCACGUAGAUCUCCGUCAGGAACUUUAAGCAUAGUACUUGUUUACUGAAUAAGAGUUAAAUAGGUAAGGGAGCUUGUCUCCGUCCAUGUUUGCCAGUAUUAAUGCCCCCCUGAGAAAGCCCUUUCCCCUACAUAGGGCCCUUCAUAGUUCGGCUUCCACAUUCCUCUUGGGUCCCCUUGUCAAAUGGAAAUCUUCUUCGUUACCAACUCUCCUUCGCGAAAUUCCCGUGUUUCACUUUUUUUUAAAAGAUCUGAUAAAUCUGCACUGAUACAGGCGUUAGUGGUGGAUAGCUGCCAACCUUUUCUCAUCAAUUUAAUUUAACUGGUCGUAUGCCGCUUUUACCUACUCAACUUGUUCUAACUUCGCCUCCAUGAUAACCCUUAGUGAAGGCAUUUCUACGUCCAUGGGAAGCACUGCCUCCAUCCCAUAGACCAAUUGGUAAGACGUCGAUCCCGUUUAGGUUCUUACUGAUGUUCAGUAACCGUGCUGGGUAAAUGGUAGAAUUACGUGCCAAUCGCGGUCGGUAACGACCAUUUUCUGUAUGCUUUUCUUGAGGUUUAUUGUUUGUCAGCUCGACCGCUCCGUUCAUCUUUGGUCGGUAUGGUACCGAGUUGUGGUGCUUAAUCUUAAACUUGUUGCAAAGCUCAUGCAUCAUCUUGUUGUUGAGAUUUUUCGCAUUGUCGAUUAUUAUUCUUUCCAGGAGCCCAUACUAGCAAAUGAUUUCCUUUUGUAUGAACUUUUUGACAACGCUCUUGGUAGUGUUUGCAUAUGACACAACCUCGACCCAUUUCGUGAAAUAGUCGAUGGCUACUAGGAUGAAACGGUGCCCAUUAGAUGCUUUUGGUUCAAUCAUGCCUAUGACCUCAUGAUGCAAAAGGCCAAGGCGAUGCCAUAAUGUGCAACGAUGAUGGAGACACGUAUUUCUCACCGGCAUAAACCUGGCACUUAUGGCAUUUUCUCACGUGUUUUACAUAGUCAGAGUUCAUCUUCGUCCAAUAGUAACCCAUCCUUAAUAUCUUCUUAGCUAGCGCAUGACCACCGACAUGUGUGCCGCAGACUCCCUCAUGGACUUCUUUUAUUGUUCUCUGAGAUUCAGGGGCAGCUACACAUCUUUGCAGCACAAAAUCAUGGCUUAGUCUGUAGAGGGUAGUCCUAUGAACAUAGUAACCCAUCUCCAAUCUCCGUAGAGUCCUUUUAUCAUUUUCAGAUGCCCUAGCUGCGUACUCCCUUUUAUGUAGGUAGGUCUUUAUGUGAUGGUGCCAGGGAUUCCUCAUGCUCUUUUUGGACUCUACCUAGGUAGGCAGGUGCAUUUUUCUUUUUGAUUUUGCUUCAUGGGUUAACCUCGGUCUCGUCCAGUUUGUACAUCGAGGACAAUGUGGCGAGAGCAUCCGCUAUUUGAUUGUCGACUCGCGAGAUGUGCUCAAACUGUAUCGACUCAAAUUUUGCGGCCAUUUCCCCUAUGUAUUUAUGGAAUGGGACAAGCUUAUGACCCCUAGUUUCCCAUUUUCCUUCAACUUGUAUAUUACUAGCGCUGAAUUACCAUAUGCCUUCAAAUUCUUAAUAACCAUUUCGAGGGCUCCUCGGAUCCUGAAAGUGCACGAUUGGCACUCUGUUAUGUUGUUGGUGCAAUCGAAGCAAAUUUUGGCAGUAAUAGGGCACACCCUCCCUUCAGAAGAGACAGAAACGACGCCGACGCCCUGUCCCAAUGAGUUUGAGGCCCCGUCAAACUUCAUCACCAAUGUUUUUUGGACGAAGCCUUCCACUAAUUUCUCAGUGUUCAGUAUAGUUUCAUCCGGAAAUUCCAUUAACAUCGGAUUCGUGUCCGAGAUUGCAUGCUCCGCUAGAUGUUCUGCCACUACACUCCCUUCAAUGGCCUUCCUUCGGAUAUAAACGAUGACGUAUUCUGCCAGCAGCACUUGCCAUUAGCCUAUCCAUCUGGAGAGGGCCAACUUUUCGUGGACAUCCUUGAUAGGGUUCAUUUUUUAUAUUAGGAGCUUCGUGUGAUAUAACAUGUACUAUCUCAGCCUUAUGGCUACCCAUACAAGUGCUCCGCAAGUUUUCUCGAGCGAUGUAUAUCGAGAUUCGUAGUCAUGAACUUCUUGCUGGUGUAAUAUAUUGGCGCGCUCUUUCCUUCCCGAUUCAACAUGUUGGGCCAACAUCGCGCUUACCAAAUUUUCAAAUACCGUGAAGUACAAUAUUAGUGACCUUCUAGAAGUUGGUGGGGCCAGAACCGGAGGGUUUAAUAAACACCCUUUGACUUUCCGAAAGGCAUGAUGACAACCUUCAUCCCACUCGACAUUCCGGUUCUUCUUUAAAAGCUUGAGAAUGGGUUCACACGUUAAGCUCAAAUGCGAUAUGAACCGACUAAUGUAGUUCAAGCGUCCUAAGAAUCCUAGCACCUCUUUAUGCAUUUAGGGAGGAGGUAUGUCAACCAUUGCCUUCACUUUGUCAGGGUCCACUUCAAUCCCCUUUUGGCUAACCACGAAACCGAGCAGCUUCUCCGAGGUGACUCCGAACGUACACUUUUCUGGGUUCAGCCAGAGCUGGUACUUCCCGAGUCGCUCGAGCAAUUUUCAUAGCACAGUUACGUAGUCGUCUUCCUUUUAUAACUUUGCUAUAAUGCCAUCCAGAUAUACCUAUAUUUCUUUGUGUAUCAUGUCAUGAAACAGUGUGACCAUGGCCCGCUGGUAAGUUGCCCUAGCGUUCUUCAGCCCAAAAGACAUAACUUUAUAGCAAAAGGUUCCCCAUAAAGUGAUGAUGGUCUUUUUUUCUCGAUCAUCCGAAACAUCCUGAUAUGGUUGUAUCUUGAGAAACUGUCCAUGAAAGAGAACAUAUUAGUUGACGGUAUUAUCAACGAGGACAUUUAUGCGAGGCAAAUGGAAGUUGUCCUUUGGGCUUGCCCUAUUUAAAUCUCUGUAGUCUACGCACAUUCUCAUUUUUCCAUUCUUCUUAGGCAUAGGGACCAUAUUAGAGAUCCAAUCGGUGUAUUACGCCACCUGUAAGAACCCGAUUUCGUAUUGUUUCUGCACUUCUUCCUUAAGUUUGAGUAUCCAUUCCGGUUUCAUCCGCCAUAACUUUUGCUUUACUGGCUUGCACUCCUCCUUUAUUGGCAAGUGAUGUGUUACUAUUGUUCAUCGAGGCCCAACAUAUCUUGAUAAGACCUUGCGAAAACGUCCUAGAAGUUCUGGAGUAGUUUGACGAGCCUGUUCUUUUCUGCUUGGUCUAAACUGUCCCCUACCUUAACCUGUCGCCGAUUGUCCUCUGUUCCCAAAUUCACGACCUCUACUGACUCGUAGAAAGGUUUCAAGGAUCGCUCUUCUUAUCCUGCCAUCCAAUCUGUUUCUAGGUUAGAACCAUCACUGGCUUCCUCGGUUUCCAUCUCAUAAACUGGGUGGUGAAAGUCAACUUUAGUGUUUCGUACCUCUUCAUUGUUUUCAAACACAUCUGUAACCCUGUUACGUGACGGGAAAUAGAAAAGGGAAAAAGAAGAAAAGCGGAAGUGAAUAAUAUAGACGAUGCACGGAUUGAGACUUAUGAAAACAUGCUUUAUCAAACAUGUGAAAAUGUGAUACAUGCAUUCAGGAUCACUUAAAAAACACUAGGAAGCCCUUGCUUAUUUUAUUUAGUAGUCAUAUUUUAGAGUUAUUACAUCUGCAAUGGCGAAAGUAACUCCAAAGCCUCCCAAUUGCUUAGCUCUUCCUUUGGACGGAGCUGCCGCACCCAUUUUAUUCCGGUCAUAAUUCCCGUACCCAGCAUGCUGAUGAAGAGAUCUGCAAAAUCCGACUGUAACUCUUUGGUGGUCGGAUCAGUGUAGUUUUUCCUCACAUUUAUCUUUCCAGCAUUCUUGCUUGUGAUGUGAGGUAUGAAAGUCAGGCCUUCAUCAUCUUCUGUCCCACUUAACCUGGACACCCUCCUCCUUAUCCGUUCCUUUUGGAUCCUCCUUAUAUCAUCAUCGUUUAGAAUGUAUCGCAAUCCCGCACGGUUCUUAUUUUCUUUGACCUGGAUGGGUUCUUUCAGCACCUCCUGCCAUUAGUAUCAUAGAUUCCAUACUCGAUAUUAAUCUAACCGAUGUCUCGAGACUAAUUAGAGUUAAUUACCAAGUGCAUUAAUAUAGUACAAUGAUUAAUCUGAAAAUUAAUUCCAAAGCGGAUCGACAUUCCGCCCCUCUCUCAAGUGUAGCGGAGACGACGAUAGACCUUGGCGUUUGGGGAUUUAGUCUCACUUUCGUAUCUAAACCAAAUCCCAACAAUAAUCUUACAACUGGAAUUCGACAAUUACAAAAUAAAGCAGUAGCUAUAUGCAAGAGAAAGACAAUAACGAAAUUAAUGAUAGUUCCGCUUAACACAAUCGAAAUUAUGUCGUAUUAACACAUAAUCAAGGUUUCAUCAAUUUCGGACAGACAGCUUAGUUACACAUGGUGAUCAAAUUAAAAACACAGAAAUCAAGAUAAUACAUGAACCUGGAGCUCCAUGCUUCAUGAACGCUCUGCCGUCGUAAAAUUCAGCAAUGUAGGCGGUCCGAACGGAAGUUCCGAAAUGGAUUUCUUCACCUUCGGAGCUCGAAAUUGCAUGCGGUUUGAAGUGGCAUGUUCCUGGGUUGAAGAAGGACGUCUUGGGGCAGAGUAGGAAGGCUUGCGGGUCUGAUAUGGUGUGUGUAUGGUGUGAUUUCGAAGUGGACAUGACUUGCCCUUAUAUAGGCUCGAAAAAUGGCGUAUUAAGGCCUCCGACAUGGGCAUACCAACUCCAUCAUCUGUAUGCAAGCUGUAGCUGUCCCUGGACUGAUGAUGGACGGAUCUACAUGUGCUGGACGUCCUCAACCAUGCCCGGUUAUCCUUCCGGCGAUCGGUUGAGCGGUGGAUUGUAAAACGGGUCGUAACUUCUUCGUUGCAAAUCUGAUUUAGCUCCGGUUUGUAUCGUUGGAUUUUUAAUUCAUCCCUUUAUAAUACGUGACCUGAAAUUUUAUUAAACACACUAGAAGAAAUAUAAAAUUGGACCAUAAAGGUCCAAGGGUUGAAUUUACGGAAUUAAGUGCAAUAUAACUGAUAUCCGUCGAAACUUUUGUUUGCAAUUGAUAUUAUGACUUGAAGUGUAGAAAGUUUAGUGCCAAAUAUUACGGUAUGUUAUGAUGUGAUCAAAAUACCCCACACUUAAACUUUUCUUGUCGUCAAGAAAACUGUAACUUAACCCACACGAAAUACCAAAGAUAGUUACCAUCAUUUAUACAAGGUUUAGGAAAUGUAAUUUUACAAUUUACGAUGCAACAGAGGUUAAAUGCUUGGCCACAUCGGUGAGAUAAAUCUCUAGUUAGAAAUUCACGAGACAGUGCACACCAGAUUAAUCAAGAUUCAAAUGCUAAAAAUAAAAGGGUUAAAUGCAUUUGUUGCAACUAUAAGAUUCAUUUUGCGCUUCCUUACGAAAUUAUGAAAUUUUAUUUCUUUUUUAAAGUUUCAAAAUUUUGAAUAACCCGUAGCCGAGCAAGACUAGUGAGUACUAUACUCAACCUUUUAACACAUUUCAUUCUUCCCACACACACCUCAAUUAAGUCCCGUAUGGGAGGCAUCUAAACUGGCUGCCUAAUUGGCAGGGCAGCUAAUGCAGAGGUGCUAGUCCUCUACCACACGCGUUAAGUUAAUCAUUGAAUUAUUGAGACAAAUUAAAGAAGCAUUUUGAUUUAAACAUUUUUUUAUGGCGAAAGUUGAAUCCAGUUUUGAAUUUGCAGAUUUAAACCAAACAUUUUAAGCAUUUGCAUCAAUUAAUCCGAGAUGUACUAAAUACAAAAAUGAAAGUCUAGUAAAAACAAGUGGUCAUUCCGCAACAACUACCAUGUCACCCAUAAUCGUUACAUUCCCAUUGUCUAUUUUAAUGUGAUCCCUAAAUUGGUAGAUGUGUAACCGCUAGUACUGUUUGUGAGGAGAUUAAAGUAAAGUACGGAUGAAAUGUUGAAAAAAAUUUAAAACACCUCUCGUUACACCAUCACCCAACACUUGAAUUAUACAUUGCCCUCAAUGGACUAUGAAUCUGGGAUAAGAGGGAAACAAGUAUACCGAGAUAUCGAGAAUGACAAUGCCAAAGUAAACUGCUCUAUAAUACCUGUCUGUCGGAUGAUAACGGUAACACAGUGAUAACAAAACAAAACAAAACUCAAAACACAUUUGGCAAAUGCCACAACUAAAAAUCAUACUAAAUCACACCACACAAUGAUGCAGAUCCAAGAUAAAUAUAUUCGAAAAUGUUAAUAUUUUGAAAUACAUCAAAAAGAAGAAGAGAAAAAUACACAUCCUAGAUCGAAAAAUCAAUCAUAACUAUCGGAUCAUAUUCAAAAUUUUGGGCAGAGUCAAGAUGAUUUUAAGGGUCUUGGAUGAUUUUAUUGAAUGAAAUAAGAAACUUGGGUUGUCUCCCGAGGACCACUUUUUUAUCGUCUUUAAGUUAGAAGUUUCCAAGAAAAUUAUUUAAUUAGCCAGGUGAAACACCUCAUGGAUGGUGAGAGAGUCGCUCGCAAGGUAGAGUUUCAACCGAUGACCAAUAACUUUAAACAUACCAUGAUCAGGGCUCGAGAUUUCAACAAUUUCGUAAGGAAGAACUUCAGUCACUGUGAAUGGGCCCAACCAAUGGGAUUUAAUUUUCAUGGAAAGAGGCGAAUCCUAGAAUUAUAUAGGACUAUGUCUCCCGGACGAAAGUGUUUUCCAGGUUUUAACCUUGCGUCAUGAAGACGCUUUGUCUGUUGCUUAUACAAAUUGCCAUUUUAAUAGGCAUGAAGAUGGAAUUCCUCCAGUUCAUGUAUGUGGAACUGAUGGCGAGGUCCAGCGACACUCAUAACAAGGUUUAGAGAUUUAAAGGCCCAUAAUGCCUUAUUCUCUAACUCAACAAGCAGAUGUCAUGCCUUUUCGUAGAAGAGACGGUAAGGGGUAGUGCCGAUAAGAGUUUUAAAAGUGAUAUGCCCAAAGUGCAUCGUCCAACUUUUUUUACCAAUCCUUGCGAGUCCAGGUGACAGUUUUCUCCAAAAUCUACUUAAGUUCUCGGUUCGUUACUUUCGCUUGACCACUAUUAUGUAGGUAGUAACCAGUGGACAGACGAUGAGUGAAACCAAAGCGGCGACACACAUGAUCAAACUGUCCCUGACAGCGGGUUCCUCGAUCGCUGAUGAUAGUGCGAGGUGCUCCAAACCGAGUGAAAAGUAGUUGCACAACUGGCUUAUAAGCUAGCCUCUUCCAUAAGAACUUUGUGGGUAAAAAAAGAGGGAGAGAUGCUUCGAAUAUCAUAGAUUUUCCAAGAAAUGGCCUUAAUAUGCUCUUUUAAAAGGGUGAUGAGACGUCCCUUUUAUUCCGGAAUGAGGGAGGCAAUGAUACUGACUAGAAGCUUCGAGUAAUCCAUCAGAAAAGCAUACUUGAGGUGCUCCGGUAGUGCUUUCAUCUUCAAUAUUGGAGGCUCCUCAUAUGAGGGUUUGACGGGCUCAAUCCUUGAGAGCUUGACAGGAGGUUCAGGAGCAGAGUCUUAGCAAUCUGCUCAAGUUGUUGUACCUCAUCAGAAGCAUCCCAAACACCAAAAUAAAAGGCACAACUCGAGAGGGUCUUAGCAAAUGCCCUCAGAUAAGAAGAAUACUGAUCCAACCUCAAUGGAGUCAGCAGGAUAGUUUCAGUCAUCCUGGACAUGGGCAUAUUUCAUCCUGUCAGCAUGGCGAAAUGUGGCCUUUCCUUGACCUACUUGAAGAGUAAGCUCGCCUUCAUGGACAUCAAUGAUGGUGCGAGCCGUAUUUAAGAAUGGGUGGCCAAGAAUGAGGGAGGCAUCUGAUUCAUUGGUGUCAAUGAUAACAAAGUCCACCGAAAAGACAUAAGGUCCCAUCUGCAUAAGUACAUCUCUCAGGAUUCCACGACAAAUUCGAGUGGACUUGUUAGCCAACAGGAUGGUCAAUUGAGUCGGUGUUGGUUCUCCUAAAUCGAGCUGUUGGGAUAUCUUGCAUGGCAUUAGAUUGAUACUUACCCCAGAGUCAGCCAAAGUCUUAUCCAUGCAGGUGUUGGUGAUAUAGUAACAUAAGGUGAAAGAAUCGUGAUCCUUAUGUUUCUUAGGUAGCUGGUUCAGAAUGGCAGCAUAACAUUCAACAUCAAGAGUAACAGACUGAAUCUCAUCCAAUUUUCUCUUAUUGGUCAGAAUCUCCUUUAGAAAUUUCGAGUACUAGGGCAUUUUGGUAAUUUCCUCAAUAAACAGGAUAAUGCCAUUUGCCGUAAUCAUAAGUUCAAUGAACCUUUUGUAACUGGCACCCAUCAUAUCACUCCUUAGACGAGAAGGAUAAGGAGGUUUUGGUUUGUAGGGUGGUAACUCUGGCUUAGGGGGAGAUGGUUACAGUAGCCUUUGGAUAGGUGGCCGAGGUGGCUUUCUCAUCCUUCUUCUCGACGCUAAAGUCAAUGAUCAGCGUUGGAGGAAUGAUGACAGGUGUGGACUAUGGAAUGGGAGGAUCCUUACUGGUGGUUCCACUCUUGAGGGUGACACCUUCACAAGAUUCCGAAGUGUCAAAUCCUUCAUUAGUAACAAAGAUUGCUUUUGAUUCUUCUUGCAUAGAAUUGUUUUCUGUGUUGCUAGGGAGAGAGCCUUGUGGUCUCUCACUAAGAAUUUUGGAAAGAUUUUUCAAUUUCAAUUCAAUGUUAUGGAAAGUGGUUUGUUGCCCACGGAUAAUCUUUUCCAACCUCUCGAGUCUGGAAACUUCAUCAGACUUGGAUGUAGAAGAGGCUUGAAUAGGCGGUUAUUCAGGCUUUUGCCCAAAACCAGGAGGUCAUUGGUUAUUAGUAUAGUUCCUCGAUUGAUAGCCUUGAUUAAGACGAGAGGCAGAGUUUCCUUGGUUGAAGGUUGAUCUGUAAUAGGCAUGUUCAUCUAAUUUGUGAAUGUUUUGCUGUUGUGACGGUCCUGAGCAUUGGGUAUCAUGGUUGGUUUGGUAAGAGUUUUGGAAAGACUUGGAUUUAACUUGAUUUCAAAAGUUUGAGUUUUAAUUUUGACCAAAAAUUUAUCAAUCUUGUGGGUAACCACCACCCAAAAAGUCAACUUCUUCUGUCUGGUUAAAAACGGUAUCCCCAGAGUAACAGUCAGUAGAAUCACAUCCUUGAUCCCCUCAAGCAACAUAGACAAAGAUUAUUGCCGUCGAAUUCUAUAGGGUCCUGACGUUCAGCUUGCUCACUUUUUGAGAAAGCGCAUGCAGCUGAGAGAGAACGGGAGAAAUAACCGUCCCAAGGGUUUCAUGACGAAUCACAAAGGAUGAAGUGGUAGGCGGGGUGCUAUGAUGCUUCCCAUGUUGCCUAGUCAAAGUAUGACUACACAUAUCACAUCCAGCAGCCAGGUUGAUCAUUUGUGUGCUUUCCCGAUUGAGCCUUCAAUUGAAAAUAUCGGCUUGGUUUCGGUCAUCGAAGCUGUGAUGAGCGCAAGAGCGGAGGAGGGCUUGGAAUCGAUUGCAUGCUUCAUAUAAUUGUUCAUUAUCUCAUUGCAUGCAAUGGAUAAUUCUCUCUUUUAUCUCACCGCGCUUCUAUGGAGGAAAAAAUACCUUGAGAAAGGCUUUAGCGGGACCGUCCCACAUGGUAAAACUCCCUACUGGUUGAGAAACAAGCCAGAUUUUUGCAGCUCCCUUGAGAGAGAAAGGGAAACGCUAGAGGCGAAUGGCAUCAUGGUGCACCUGUUGGAGUUGUAAGGUGUCGCAUAUUUUGAGUAAGUAUUUGAUAUGUUGGGUGGAGUUAUCGUCCUCUUUCCCCAAGAAUUGGACUGUUUGUUGGACCAUGUAGAUCAUAGCGGGUCGCAAUUAAAAAUUGUUGUCUUCGACGUGGGGUCGGGCGAUGGAGGACCCCAGGUUCUAGAGACUUGGUUUGGCAUAAUCGCCAAGUGUCUUCUCUUCAGCCAUGGUGAAGGAUCCUUUGGGGGAAAUGCUUACGUGAUCUUCGCCAGAGUACUCAUCCUUGGAAUCCGUUCUACCGAGAGCCGGAGGUGCAAUUGUAAUUCCUUCAAGGACAUGUUUAGAAAAUUACCAAGUAAUCCGUCGAGUCAUUCAUUUGACCGAAUAGGAGUUUGGAAGAUGGGAGGAGAGAGGGAAGCAGAAUGAAUGAAUUCGUUGAGUUUUAGGUUUUGGAGGUUUGAAGAAGAAGUUUCGAGAGAGUGUUAAAGAAGGUGAGUGGGAAGAUUAUGGAGUACUUUACUUAGAAACGCCGCCUUGUUGCCAAAACCAAAACUUUCAUUUCAGUUCCAAGGAAAGUAGGGGAGUCACUCAGACUACUUAAAUCCCUUUAAACUUUAGGUAGCAUCUCUUUACGAAAGCCAAAAUAAUCCUCUCAUCUUUUUUAAUUCUCCUUUCUUAUGAUUUUAAAUUUUUUCUAUUUUUCUAUUUUUAGUGUUUAAAUUCAUAUAAAUGAUUGGUAGCAGAUUUUUUUAUUUUUUAAUUAUUUAUUUGGAUUUUUUUGUGGAAUAGGAAAGAUUCGGAGAUGAGUGGAAGAUAUGGAAAAGAUUGAGAGUUCAGUUGAGCAAGAUAAAAUAUUGAAUGGCUGAAAUGUAGAGAGAGAAAAGUUGAGUGACCAAGAGGGGAGCAUGGGAAAUAGUAUCUAGAAAAUAAAUAUAAAAUAAUUUAAGAAAAAGUAUUAUUAUUAAAAGUGAAAAUUUAGUAACUGUUUCGUACAAAAGGAACGAGGUCCACGACAACGACGCCAAAAUUUGAUCACCCCCGUAGGCAAGUUUAAAGAUAAACUCGGAAAAACCGAGGUCGUAUUCACGCGGAUUCAUUCCGAGUAUUACUCCUGAAAGUGCGAAGAUGAAAGUCUAAUCGUUGGAAUAGCGGGUAUGAAAGCACACAAAUCGCAAUCGAGUAUAAUGGAUGAGUGAAACCUGUCCGGAAAUGAAUUCACCAAGAAUCAGAGCAAGGAUGGUCAUUGUAACCCUUCUUCCUUGUUGCAGUUUCAUCAUGAUAGGCUACACCUUUUGUUGUUAGAUUAGGGAUGAUGUGGAUGCAAGGAGAAUCCCCUCAUAAUGAGGGAUUGGACAAGAUUUGGAUGAUUUGUGGGCUUGCUUUGGAUGAAUGUAGGGAGAUUGAUGCAUGUACACACUUGAUUAAACUAGGAGUGUAUCAUUGAAUGAGAAAUUGGUAGUAUACGAGGACCUUCCAUACCCAAUUCAUCCAUCUUUUUUUGUAAAUUGCAUUGACGCAUUUAAUCAAACAUUUGGCGUGCAUUUUGGUUCUUUCUUAGUGGACCAAACUAGGUUUAGAUAGAGUCAUUGGGUGUUGAUGUGACCACAUUAGCAUCCUUCAUAGGUGUUUGGGGUGCCUUAUUUCCUUGUGCAUCAUCAUAUUAUUCCGAUUGAACAUCAUUGAAUGCACUUUUGGCUUAUAAGUUGUUUGUGACCACAACAAGUUAUAAGGUCCAUUGGUACUGUUAGAUAUGACCAUGCAUAUAGACUUUAACGAAUAGGAAUGCAUGGAAGCUUGUAUAGUUUGGUACCUAACAUUACACUUUGGUCAUAAAAUACCCAUCACAUAAUCAUAAAAUAUUCAUAACAUUUGGUUUAUGUUUUUCUCGCAACUCUUUUUGUUGGAUUUAAUAAUCACCACCAGGAUGCCGUUUUUAGAGUCUGUUUAAUGUAUGAUGAUAGAAUUAAAUCAUUUGAUUGGUUAUUCCGUACAUUUUUACAGUGCCUGUGAGGGAAGGCACCCAAACCAUUUUCUCAAAUCAGGACCCGACCAUGGAUGCGGCAUUGAAGAGUGCCAUGCCAAAUACAUACCACGCGACGGCGGUGGGGUAUGAUAGGAAUCCUCUGUCGACACACCCUAACUGUGAUGCAUGUCAUCGGGAGGUUUGAAAGCGAGAAGUUCAACACACUUCCCGCAUAUACAUGUUGAGGAGAUGGACUAGAGGAGCCAAAAUUCGGUUUCAUGACAUAGUUAUUACGCGGCUCCUCUCUCAGGAUGGUGAGGAUGGUGAAAGACUUGCUGAAGUUUGUUUCUAUGAUUAGGGUUGUUUAUAGGGUCGAUCAGUUUCAUAAUAUGUUGGAUGUUGUGGUAGAUGGGUUGGCCAUUCAGGUAUGCAGUAAUCAAAGUAUACUUAUUUGUUAUAUUCACCGUACAUGACUUGUAUAUGGUCAUAAUAUACCUAUUAUGAUAGUGGUAUUUCUGUAGGUUGAACAAGCAUUGACCUUGUAUGAUGGACAACAGCCAAGGGAAACUGUGGUGGCAGAUAGAGAUACCACCAGCGUUGCAGUCGCUACGUGUUGUAGUAGUGUGAUCAGGAGAGAGAUUGCAACGAAGUACACCCCGCAGAGCAGACCAAGUAAGAACAACCAGCGUGGGAAACAUAUCACAGAUACGGUCGCAUGAGGCAGUGUAACAAGUUUAGGAAGAUUCGUGCAAAGGAAGUUCAAUCCGAACAAGCAGUCGCAAUGGACGUGGAAAUGGAGGACUUACUCAAUAAUGAUGUUAUACAUCAGUGCAUCGCAUUUUUGCAGGCACAGGAGAGCACCACUGCUACUGGCAACCCCCCUCGAUUGAGAGUGGCCCUUGAUAGGGUAAUCGUUAAUUAUUUAAUGGUCAUUAUGGAGAAAAGCCUACCUGUAACGCUAGCAGAACUGUAGCAUUAUAUAUGUACACUAGUCACGUAGUUAUGUAAGAACAUUGCCAUAUUAUGGGUAGAUCAGUGACAUAUUUUUGGUAAAACAGUACCAUAUUUUGGUAGCACAGUCUUGUAGUGUUGGAAGAAUAGUGGCAUAUUUUGGGAUGUAGAAGAAGACACAUUGUUCGGAAUUAUAAUAUUAUAUGUGGUGCUAGUAUUGACAUAUUCUGCUACAAGGAUUACACCAUGUGGUAGGUCCACUUCAAGGAAUACAACAAGGAUACUACUGUUACCCUAAACAAUAGGCAUAACAUCAAUGUACAAUAGCCAUAACAACGUUACACAUACUUUCUUAGGUUCAAACUGCCAACCAUUGUUCUUCAAAUGGAAAAUGUGACCUUCAUCGCCAUGGCACUCAAAUGGAAGGCCGUCUGGAUGCUCUGAUAUGAUAGUGCGAAUGACGUUCCCUGCUUCCUUGAAAUUGACUUUAGCCUUCCAAAAGGUAUCCUUCCACAUUUCAAUCCGACUGACCAAGUCAACGUGGCUGCUCCUUUUGUCUCCAGAGUGAAUGAUACCUUGGUCCACGAGGCUCCCCUAUCAAUGAUUUCCAUGCAUAAUACAAACACCCACUACUGUACUAGUAUCAACCAGAACUGAAAGUAUACAUAUCAUUUUUCAUAUUCAUGCAACCUUACUUUCCAAUCGUGACAUUCUAGUAAGUCUCUUGUAAAGCUCCCCAUACACAUAAACUAUGCUCUUAAAUAGGGCAUAAUUCAGAAACCAUUUAUAACGAAACCGUAAGAGUAACAUGGUACUAGCAUACCAUACACAUAUCCAUAACAUAACAUAGAUAUCUAACUAGGAGGGUUGGUCGAAGUUCCAGCUUCUAUGAGGAGGUCCACUACCCCUUCAAUUAAAAUAUGGGGAUGAAGUCGACUCCAUUGUGAGAGGACCAGGCGACAGAAGUACUUGAGCAUGUCCUUAAUCAUAACGUUCUCCUCAUCCCACCACUUCGUUUGGUCCGUUGUAAAACAACCAAUGUGUUGCCCCAUAAAACGAAGUGCCAUACAGGCCACACCUGUGAAUGUCAGGCUUUUGUGGCGCAGACACCACCCUCAACUUGAAGUCCUUGAUAUCCACGUGAGUGUUAAGAAGAACAAAUGACCUCGCAUAUUGCAUUAUCUGUGUUCUUGUCGGCUUGUUGUAUGGCUUGGUCUCAAAGUCCUUCUUAUAGAUAAGGCUAUUGAGAAUAACUCUUUCCUUUUUCUCCAUGUCCAACCCAAAGACAUAGAAGUGCUUGAAACUAUUUCCCCUUAUGUUGGGAAGAAGACCGAACACACAAAUAUAAUAUAGUAAUCACAUCAGAUUGUAUAUCAACUGCAUACCACAAAUACAAUACAUACAUAUUUCACGGAACUCAAGCCCUGGAGGUACUUCUUAUUUAAGAAAUCCUUGCAAGUUGGUGGGAAUUUAGAUUGAGUUAGUGAAAACUCAAUCUCAUUUUCAACUUUUGUCCUAGCAGGAGUUUGAAGCCAUAACACAGUCUAACUACACACAUAAAAAAUCACACUUACUAACAAGGAAUAGUCAGAUUAUACUCAUAACACAGUUAAAUUGGCAACAUAACAGAGGCAAAUUGUAUUCAUAACACACACAUAACAUAGAAAGACAGUUAAGUAACUUUGACGAUUCAAACAAUACUUGUAGUAAUUGAAAUAAGCCCAUAUAGUCUUUUUAUUGUGUUGUUGUUAGCCAGUAAAUUGUCAUUAUUGAACUGGUUGCAGAAUGCAUCAAUCAGUUUUGAUGUGCACCUGGUUUGAAUAAUAGACGGUCUCCAACUCAAGCUUCAUGACUUCCAUGCCUUUUUUUCCGGAAAGUCGCAUAUAAUGCAGCUGUUGAUAGGAAACAAUACUGCACUAGUUGUAGCCAUAACACAAAUGUAACACAAACGUAACAAAACGUAACACAAAUGUAACACAAAAAUAAAGGAUAUAUAACAUAGUGAGAAAUGAUAUGUACUCCCUUUCAACACUAGAUAUGGCAUAAGUUACUAUCUUGCUCUCAACUAGUGUUAAUUCAUGUUGAAGUCUAUUUGUGAGAACGAUCUUCAUGCUAGUCUUUUGUCGGUAAUAUGCAAUUGGAAUUGGAUUCUCUGAAUCACCUACCAAGUCCACUACAACUUGUCUCCACCCGGAGUUGCCUUUGUCGAUCCACCCACUAACUCCAAGAUGGCUUCUUUUGCGGUCAUUCUGUUGGUCCACUUCAACUUCCUUCUAUUUUCCUUGGCAACCUGCUCCUCUUCCUUUUCCUUUUCGGCUUCAUUAUCUUCAACCUUCUCUUCUUUCUUUUCUUCAUCCCUAUCAUCUGACUUCUCAUCUUACUUUUCGUCUGCAUUUGCAUCCUCCUCACAGUCACUACCAUCACAAUUUUCACCCUUGUUGUCAUCAUCAUCAUCAUCAUCAUAACCAUCGUCAUCUUCCUCCUCAUCUUCACCAUUGUCUUUAUCAUCAUCAUCACCAUCGUUAUUGUCCAUGAAAUCACCGUAGCUCUCGUCUUCAAACUCAUUACGAAACUCCACGUCAACAACUCCCUUGCCCUUCCCUAGUAAUAGGUUCUGGACAGACGCACUCCUAUCCAGUCACAACUAUAAUUAGCAAGGCAGUUGUCCUGCAUUGCACCUCGAUCGUCGCAACCUCUGCUAACAAUGUUUGCUGCAAUCAUGGUAUGAAGAUGCCUUCAGAUUAACCCAUAUACGAGAUAUAUAACACUUAGGUAAUUCAAAUAUACCACCAUCAGAACAGUACAAUAGUCGUGAAAAGCAGUUCACUGGCACAUAACAGAACAACAACAUAUCUUACGUUUAACGUCCAUAGAACAUUGUAAUAACACCCAUGGAUCAGUUACCUGUUAUGAAGAUGCAAGUUGUACUAUCGCCGUCUACUUGUCCAUUCUAGGGUUCGUUAAUCAUGUUCCCCUAUGCUGAUGCACAUUCACCCCAAAGGUAAGGAAAUCUAGCUCGAGACUUUGUCGAAAAUGUCUUGAGCCUAAGUGGGAGUAAUAGGUUUCAAGCCAGCUACAAGAGACGCCCUCUCACUCAACAUGAAUGACCAGCUGCCGUUAGGAGUACUUAUCCUUCUCAUCAUUUUGAUGACAACAUCGCAUCUUAGUAGGAACAAGUGGGAUGCUCUUUCGGAUCGAUACCAGAAAGAUCAACCAUGUCCAGAAAAUGCAGCUGACACAAACAACCGAGGAUAUCAAGAUUAGACAAUCAACCAACAGUAGUCUGCAUCAACAUAAGAACACUGUACAACUAUUAUAACACAACGAUAGCAUAAAUAUAAUAGCAAUAUAACUUAACAGUAACACUUACCACCAUGAAGUUCAUGUCCCUGCUGGGAUAGGACGCCUUCUGAUUCUUAUAGUAGUCCUCCAGACCUCUUAGCAGAUGAUUUGAGACGUCAGCCGCCCAAUUAGGAUUAGCAAUCUCAAAGUUGUGAAGGUGAAGAUACUUGGAAAACUUCAUUAUAACCCACCGGGUAUUUGUUGGAACAAGCAACGACUCAAGGGCAAGCAACAUGUACAACUUUGUAUAAGCCGUGGGAUCUUUACAAUUCUUCAUUGCAGCUUGGAGUUGAACUAUGUUGAUGUGAUUGUACUUAUUGCUCUUUGUACCGGUCACCCUUUCAAACUGCUUCAAUACCCUUAGCCCGAAAUGUUGGACAUCCACGUCGGCUAGACUUGUAUACAAGGGCAGACCAUAUACAUGGUGCACGACCUCUGACGUUACGCCCAACAGCUGACCAUCCGGGAACUUGAAAAGACCAAGUUCAGGAACAAAGGAUUGGAGGAGGAAUUGAGGAACCUCCUUAUUAAUCAUCUCUAGUUGUAGAUACAACAACCCAUAGAAGCCAGCGUCAUUGAGACAUAGACAGAUGUUAGUACGAUGCGGGUGGUCGUUUUCAAGUAGAUCAUUGGCAGCCACCAACUGUCCAAUUUUGCAACAGAAUGGCUUGCCAUUUCCCUUCUUUUUCUUCAAGCCAAUCUCCCCUAGGGGGCCCUUCUUUACAAUUGGUUGCUUUGUGGCAACUGCCUUUUCGUUAGCACAACCCUUCUUUGUCGGAUUAGUUUUGGCCACCAGACAAUCAAAUAACAUACUCAUAUUCAUAAUGUACCAAUGUCAUUAUGAUUCUCAUAACAACAAGACCAAACAAAGAUCGACAAUCAUACACAGGUACGUGAUCAUAUCAUAGUAAUAUCAUAUACGUAACAUAGGCAUUACGUAAUACUAAGAAAUACAAAUAGAUACACAAUCAUAUCAUAGACAUAAGAUAGGAAUAACAUAGGCAUCUAAUAUGCAUAACAACCAUAAACAGAAAGAUAAAUUGUAUUACACACAUAACAUAGGAACUUCAUACUAGUAAGUAGCAUAAACAAAAUAACAAUCAUAUCAUAGACAUAACGUAUGCACUUCAAAAUUGUAACAAACAUAGGCGGUCCUCAAAUCUCCCUUUUCUUGGGGGUUAACAGACACUAAUGGUGUUUUGUAGUUAGAGUCAGACUCCAAGCUCUAAAAGGAGGACGAUUCUUUCCGUUUCUGUUUCCACUUUUUGUUGCAUGAACCUUUCUGUACCCCACGUUGAGAUUACUGUAGCUCUGUGAGCCAUUUUAAAGAUUGAUGAGGGGAGAUGAGAACUCCUUUGUUAGUCUUCUCUAUAGGAAACUACGAGAAAGGAGGAAAACUUAUUAGAGCCUUAUAAAAUACCCUAAAAACCAAUCAUAUAUAUACGAAGCCUUAAGGAAGGUACAACAUAAAAAAAAAGUUAUCAGGUUUGGUGGUUCUAACCGUCAAUGUAUAGGUGGAUGAGGAUGAAUGUAACUGCUUUGGUGGAUGAGGACGAAGGUAACUACAACUUCACCAAGAGAGAGGCCUACAAACCUGAAGCCACCUUCAAAACUUCCACCCAGUACUUUGGAUCUACUGGCGGAUGAAUUUGAUUCCUCCAUGCAACGGCUUCACCGUCGCCGGUGAGAGGAGAGAGAUUAACAGGAAGAGGGAGACACUGAUGUUGAAGAAAGAGAUGGAGAGAAUGAAGAAAGAGAUGGAAAAGAGGGAGAGAAUGAAGAAAGUGAUGUGAAAGAGGGGUGACAGAAUAGUGAUAUGACCGGUCUGACACAAGGAUUGAAAAAAAUCGCAAAACAUUUUCAAUUUCCCAUUCUCGAUAAUGAAAUUCGAAUCUACGGAUGAAAAAAAGAAUUGAAUAUUAAAUAUAAAUAAAUAAAUUCUCGUUCCCAACCCCUAGAAGAAAGAUAGCCGUCUGAUCGAAGUCAACGAGGAGACGGAUUCCCAGUCGUCAGAUCAAGCUGUCUAGCCGUACAACUUGACUUUCCAUGCCAAUCAUUAACAUUUUUGCCCAACCGAGGCACCCUGUUUGUCUCCAGUUUGAUGAGUUCUUGCCGGUGAACCAAUCAACAAUGAAGAAGCUCCGAUGGAGGGCCCAUAAACUCACUAACAACUAGGUAAGGAUCAUGAAUGUUUUCAUAAGCUUAAUUUAAUAUUUUCUUAAGCUUAACCAGAUCUAUACAACCCUCCAUUGCCAGAUUCAAGUUUCGCCAGAGCCGCCGCCGUCUCUAUUUCUCAAUUUAAUCUCCUUUAUUUUGAAACCAGGUGAGGAGAGUUUCCCCUAAGUUAAUUUGGGGCUUCACAAUGGUUUGAAGUGGGAUUGAUCUCACCUGAGUUGACCUCCAGAACCCGAAUUUUGGAAUAUGGGUUUCGGCUCAUCGGGGAAGACGACUGGAAAACAUGUCAUGACGGUGCCUGAAGUUCCAGUGAUUUCAAUUCAGUCAUUGGACUUCUUGAGGCCAGAUCCGGUCACCUAAAUUUCCUAGAUGGCAAGCGUAAAACAAUACUUUAAAAUGUUAACAAAUUGCUUAAUAACGAGACCUAUAUAUCUGUUGUGACUCUAAACUUUAGGAUUAUGACAUUUGACCCAAAUACAUAAAAGAUAUUUAAGUGUUGAGGGUUAACCCUAAUUGAUCUUGAUAUGCUAUUCAAGGACAUUAAGGAUAAAUACAGGAUUUCUGAACUCGUAAAAGGAUUAAGGAAAAUGGAUUCUUUCGUUAUAAGGGAUCAUUAGUAAAAAGUAAUCAUGAUUUUGGAAAAGCCUAGUUUUUCCUUAUCACUUUAACAAUGGAGAUAAACUACAGAUACUUUGAGUCAUCACUCAGAUCUUUUUAUUUCAAAUCAACUCUGAGCCUAAUACCUAAAUUCCCGUAAUCAGGUUCUCAGAGUCGAAACCACUUUCAAGCGUGGAUCUCGACCUUUUUUUUGGGACCCUCACCACUUCACUUUUCUAGGCAAGUGGUUUAAGGGGGUAAAUUCUUACGUUGCUGUGUUUAGGAAUGAACCUAGAAUUAAAUGAUUACUUGAUCUAUUUGUUACUAUGUGUUUUGUAGUGAGUUAUGAUUGGUCCUAUACUCAUGUUGAUGUUAUGUAUCAUGCUUGCGUGUUACUUCCUGAUUAGUUAUGUUACUAGUAAAUCCUCAUCGUUGCUAAAUUCAUGUUGAUGCCAUGUGUCAUGUUUCCAUGUUUUUUCCUUGAUAUGUUAUGUUUACUUUUAAAUUCUUAUCCUUACCAUAUUCAUGUUGUUACCAUGUGAUAUGUCUUGGUUAUUAUCAUGUUAUGUUAUAAAUCACCUAAACAACAAGUAAGCCUAUGAUAGGCAAUAUAAUAACACGUAUCUCGCUAACUAGACCGCCACCCUCUUAUGUUACCUUCAUGUUUCACGUUUGGGCGGAUGGUAGGAAUCAUGUUUAUGGUUCGAUGAAUACGUACUCCCGGACUCUCACGUUUACAUUUUGGUGGUUUGCUAGUUAAUCAGGAGGCCCCUAGAUGUCAUGUCAAGUAAGCAAGCCAAGUAAAUAAUGUCAAGUAAACCAUGUUAAGUAAAUCAUGAUAAGUGAAUCAUGUCAAGUCUAAUCAUAUGUAAUCCCUAAUAACAUUAUUGUUUGGAUUGCUAACCUAAUGUGAAUGUGUACUCAAGAACUAAAAGCUUAUGUAAAACACUAAUAGUUAAGCACGCAAGACUGACCCCAAACCACUCACCAGGUCAUACUAGAGAUACCGGCAUAGAGACUACCUAAAAGAACUUUAGUGGAUGUUGAGGAUGUCACAUGAGUUAGAGUGAGUGAUUUUGGAGGAUGGACUACCAUGUUUACUCUCUUUCGAGUUUCUAGUACUUGAGACUUGGGUUUUGUUUUUUAUUUUUUCAUACUUGAUUUCAGAUGUUCGGGUUGCUCACUUGUAAGAGCCGAUUUACUUUGGAUUUAUGUGUAGUUUUCAAAAAAGUCUAUACCUUUCUCUUUUGACUAUCUUGAGUCUUGUGAUCUCUCCAAGGAAAUUUGGUAUUUAAAUAAAUGAAAAGGAUUUGUGAAAAUUUGGGUCGUGUCACAUACCACUUCCCCUUGCAACUCCUUUGAUGCCAAUAAACCUAAAAUACUCACAAAAUCACCCAAAAACCAACAUUAAAUGUCCCCAAACGGGCCAAGUGGAUAAAAACACAUAUUUGAGUUAAAGUUCCUAAGAACUACCCAGAAUAGCAUGAUAUGCACGAAAUUUGGCUUAAAAUACGAUAGAUGAAUGCAAUAAAUCAAACACUACAACUAACCCCACACUUAAGCUUUGCUUGUCCUCAAGCAAAAAACUGAUAAAAGCUAUGAUAAACAUCCACAAUUGAAUGACGUUACUAGCAAGGCAAAGCAAACCCAUAUUCCACAAAGUACCCCUAUAUUUCAACACAUGCAAGUAAACCCUUAAAAUCAACCAAUCUAGGAAGUAAGGGUCUCAUCAAAAGUUGUCCAACUUUUCAUACAUCAUCCGCCAUGGUAUACCACCCAUCUAGACUUUCUCUCAAAUGGCACAAUUUAAAAAUGAAGUCAAGAUCAUCUCACUCAAAGUGUUUAGGGAUAGUGUUUGUGAGCUCAUUCCUCAACUCUGACGCAAACUUCAACACUCGCACAUCAACCUACUUUUUAAUCAUUACAUCAUAGAACUUCAAACACUAUUCUAGAGGUCUUUUAUUAAGGAUUGUAAUCUGAAAAAAAGAAUAAGAGGAGAAAUGAAUUUGGUGGUAGGUGUACAUAUUGGCCGACGAUUCAGUCCACUCUAAACAUGGAGCUAAAGCUACUUAAAACAAACAACCACGAUGCAAGGAUUCAAUUUCCAUCAAGAGCUUAAUACUAGCUCCUCUAUCCCUUAAAUAAGCUACUACUCCUUCGAGCUUUUCCAUCAAGAGCUUUAUACUAGCUCCCCUAUCUCUGAAAUAAGCUACUACUACUUCAAGCUUUUCCAUCAACACUUGGCCUCAUGUGCAACAAAAUCCAGAAACUGGGUGAGGAACACGAUUUAGACAACAAAUGUAGCAUCCUCUGAUAAUGCAGAUAAUAUUUCCUUAAGACCUCAUGUUAAGGCAUUAGAAAAGAAGCUAAAUGAUUUUACUUUGAAAGUUUCUAACCCCCUGCUACUUAUGUUUAUACUUGUGCUUGGGGUGAUGUUCCUUACAGCCAGGUAGAAUGUGAUAUUUUCCUCACCAACAAAUUCAUGAUGAUGGAAGAAGUGGAUUUUGUGCGACAGGGCUACCCCUUCAAUCAGCAGGGAUAUCAGGAAUUCAGAGCAAAGAACGCCGAAGGCCGACGAUUCAACUUCACAUACCCUGGAAGGCGUUGUGACUUCUACAAGUGUAGGAUGGAGGAUUACAAUGUCAAAGACAACAUCACUCCCCAAAGACAAAACUCACACCAUUAAGGAAACUCGAGCAACAACUACCAAGGUCCACCAGGAUUUCCAAUCAAGCCAACUAAGCAGCAACAACAACAUAAUUCGGACCCUGCUGGAGGAAUAAAUGAAGACAUCAUCCAGAUGAUGAAAACCAUGCAUGUCUUAAUUAUAGCUCAAAAGCCUGCCAACACAAACUUUAUCCUCACUCCAGAGGAAAUCAAGAAGCAUGUUCGAUUCUAUAUCCAUUGGUAGUCAAGAAGAAGGGGCUUUGAAAGGCAUUUUAGAGAUUUAUAGAGAUCAUCAAGAAGAAGGAGGUUACAUUAACCUUUCUGGAAGCUUUCAUAAAGAUUCUAGCAUAUGCAAAGUUCUUGGUGAUGCUAAACAAGAAGAUAAAUCUUAGUGAUGCCACAGAGGUCUCACUCUAUGAAGAAGGAGCAAUAAUCCAAGUUGGAUCGACAAAGCAAAAAGACCUAGGGAGCUUUACUUUACCAUGCAUGAUUAAGAAUGUUAAAGUCUAGGGAGCUUUAUUUUACCAUGCAUGAUUAAGAAUGUUAAAGUUAGUUAGAGUCUUGCUGAGCUAGGUGCUAGUAUAAAUGUUAUGCCCCAAAGCUUAUAUGAGAAACUAGAUAUAUGUGAACUUAGACAAACUAAGAUAGUUCUUCAACUUGCUGAUAGGUCUUUGGUAAAACCCAGGGUAGUCGUAGAUGAUAUUUCAAUUUGUGUAGGACCUUUUGAAUUUUCUGCUAAUUUUGUUGUUCUAGAUACCCAUGAGAAUGACAGUCAUUGGCUUAGUCCUACGAAGGUUGUACCUAAGAAGGUGGGUUUCAGGACCAUUUUUGUUU